UUUUUUUUUUUUAUCAAUCUCAAGUUCCCAAAGGUCAUUUUAAAAGAAAACUAGUAGAUUGAAAAAGUUAUUUUAUGUGGCUACCCGAUUCUGCCCUCUAAAUUUCAGAUAUUUUGCUCCAUCCAAUAAACAAUCAUAUAAUCUUAUACCUCAUUUACAUCCCAUCAUAAUAAAGGAUCGUAUUCGUUUUUCAAUAUAUUCUUUCCAUAAUUUUUUUAAGUUAAAUUAAUGUUUUAGUCCUUACUUUUUUAUUUUUAAUCUCUACAUAUUAAUUCUUAUAUGAAAAAAUGUUUAUGAAUCAUCCCAUAUCGUUUGACAAAAUUACAACAAUGUUAGUAUUUAGUAUUUACUGAGCCGAUUAUGUUAAAUUAAAAAAAAAAUCGUCUAUUUGAUAUUCUUGUUGUUUUUAGUUCAUACACAUACAAAAAAAAGUGUAGACUUCAUUUUGGUCUUUUAUAUAAAAAAUAACUCUAUAAUUUUAUCCUUACAUAAAAGACAAUUCAUUAAAAUCUGACAUUAUAAUAUGUAUACUUCAUUUUGGUCUUUAUAUAAAAAAUAAUUCCACGUUUUGAUCCUUACAUAAAGGAUAAUUCGUUAAAAUCCAACAUUAUACUAACUUUAACAAACGGUAGAAACUGAUUUUAUAAAUUUCUUUCAUACAAAAAUAAAAACGUAACAAUUUUUUUGUGAAGAAUAAAAUGAAAAUUUAUAUCAUAUGGAGAAUAAAUUAUUAAGCUCGUCUUAUAUUGCCAACUUAUUUGUCCCCUAAAUAAAAAGGAAGUGAAGGAGAAGUGAGAAAUUUUAAAUAUAUAAAUAAUUUUAUUAUUAUUUGUAAAUAUAAAUUGAGAAAGCUUUGUCAUCUUCAAUACUUUUAUCUGUCUCGAACCUAAAUAUAGGUAAAAAUAAUAAAUGAUUUAUUAUUCAUUAUUACGAUUCAUUUGUAUACAUUGAAAGUUUAUUCUCUUAAAGAAUAACACAACUCGCAAUUAAUAUCCCUUUUCAAAUUAAUGUUAAAAUUAUUUCAAAUUACUAAUACAUAUUGUUUUAAAAUUAAAUAUUUUCAACCUAUUGUUAGAUUUAUUUUGAAUGGGGUUCACUUAUAUAUAUAUAUAUAUAUAUAUAUAUAUAUAUAAUUUCAUAUAUUUAAUUUGUUAAACAUUUUAUAUUUACCUAAUUUUAAAAACGUUCAUGCAAUAUACAAAAUACAUGCUGGUCAAUAUAUAUGCCUUUGUUGCAGAAAUUCUUUUUAUAUUUUUUAAUGUAUAUAACUUUGUUUAAUAUCAAAAGGCAAAUGCUAUAACGUAAUAAAAGGUGAAAACAGUACUUUCAACUUAUUUUUUAAAUUUUAUCUUUCAAGUUUUUAACAUUAUUUUUAUCUUUUAGUUUACAAAUAAUAUUAUUCAAAAUUAAAUCUUCUUUAUAAAGAUAAAAUUUAAGGCUUCUUUCAUGAAAUUCGAUUUAAACAUGGUAAACAAAUUCGUGUCAGCGUGUACACAUUUCAACUUUAACUUUAACUUAUUUUGACUAGGGAUGGAUAUAAGUAUGGAUAAUAUCUAUUUUUUUUUAAAUGAAAAGAAUAUAUAUAUAUAUAUAUAUAUAUAUACUUAUCAUCCAUACCUAUGUGACAUAUAUAAUUACUAAAUUAUUCAUAUUUUAUGUUAUGUAUAUUACUUAACUACUUUUGUUAAAUUUUUAUACUUACUAUUUAUUUUCUAUUCUUUUUAUUAUUUUGAAGAUUGAAACUAAAUCUCUAAGGACAAAUAUAAGUUAUAAAAGAUUAUGCUCUCUCUCAAAUCUCAAGUCUUAGGAUUAGUUUUUAGGUUAAGAGGAUAUGAUUUUUAUAGGAAAAUUUUGACUGAAAUAGAAUUUUAUAUUUAAUUAUGAUAAAUUGAUUGUCUCAUUGUUGAUUUUUUUAAAAAUAAUUUUUUAUGUUUUUUCUUUCAAUUUAUUUAAAAAAAUUAUUGGACUGGGAUGAAUAUAUCCUGUACCCAACGGGGAUAGAGGAAAACAAUUCAUACCCACCAAAUAAAAAACUGGAUUUUGGAAAGCAAGUACAUGAAUGAGGGAAUUUUAUACCCGUCCCGCACCGUGCUGUUUCCAUGUCUAGUGUCAUUUGGCUGCCUUCAAGGGAAUCUGUUGUUUUGCUCAUUCAUUGUCGAGUCAUAUAUUGAUUUGCUUUUGUUUAUAUGGAAAAUCUGUCAUUUUUAUUCUUUCUUUUAGUUAUUUUACCAUUUUAUCUAUAAAAUUAAUUAAUUGAUUUCCAAACAACAUUAUAUGUUUUUUAUCGAUGUUAAUAAUAAUAGUAAUGUCCUUUUGCAAAGUUUUUAGCUUUCUUUUUUUCAAACAACUUAUAGAAUUAUCUCAUUCUUUCCUUUCUUCUCCAAACCAAAAGUAUCAGUAAAAUAAACUACCCUUGACCCUUCUCAUUAUAAAAUAAAGGAUAAAAUAUAUUUUUAAUUUUAAAAUUUUCAGUAAAGCUUAAUUUUAGUUUUCAUACUUCAAUUUAAUCAUGAAAUUUUAGAAAAAAAAUAAUGAUUUUCGUCUUUUCUCAAAGUAAAAAUCUGUGAUGAGGAACCAAAUUAUUUUUUCAAAAGUUUAGGAUUAUUUUAUCAGCAUUAAGCUAGGUAUGGAAAUUAAUACCAAUUUUUACGAAAAUACAGAAAUUAAAAACAUAUUUUAGUCUAAAAUGAAAUGCUUCCAUAGUAUCCCAAAUGGUAAUUAGUUUUCUAUCCAAACAAAUACCUUACAUAUACAUACAUACAUAUAUAUAUAUAUAUAUAUAUAUAUAUAUAUAUAUAUAUUUGGCUUCUUACAUUUUUCUCUCGAAAAUGACCCUUCAUACUAAUUAGUUUCCCAUUUUGUACAGAAGAAUAGCGUGGUGAAUUGUGGGAUUUGGUUGAUUCUCACAUGUGUAAAUGUCUAAUCUUUUAAUUGUUUGUUUCGAUCAGCUCUUGGUUUUAAAGUCAACACAAACAGUAUAAAUCCAAGAACAUAUACAUAGAAGCAGCAUGGCCAUUGUUCAGUAUCACUUGUCUACUCAUUAAUUGACCACUUAUAAUAAACAUCCAAACCAACUUUUUUGGUGGACGAAAAAGAAACACCAAGCUUGAUUUCAUGAUUUAGAUACAUACAUGGUGCUAGGAUGAGUCGAAUAGCAAUGUUCAACACAUAUAUAUCUCUGGCACUUAUCUCAUAGAAUUUAUUGAAAGCAACAAACAACUUUGCACUUUUCAGCCUUGCCGAUGCCAAAAUUAGAGGCAAUGAAGAGAGCAAAAAUUGAACACAUGACACAUGUUUCCUAGUAGCAUCUCUAGCUCCUCCAUUAAGAGGCCCAUAAUAUGUGGCAUCUGGCUAGUGCAUGCCAAUAAUGGCAGGCUUUAGUUCCUAGUCUUUAUCUACAGUUGUUACAAUGGAUGUAACUUGAUGGUUACUAUUUCAUAAUUCACCGAAUUUUCUUCAUUGAACGGUUUACAAACGCUGUCAUGUUUUCCCCUAAUGUACUGAUGUUGUAAAAAUAUGGAACUUAUUCUCCUGCUGAAAAUGUUCCUACUGUCUAUGUCCAGAUCCUGGACCAUUGAUUUUUUUUUAUUUUUUUUUCGUUUUCGAGUUAAGUUCAUCUUAACCACCAUUAUAAAUUCUCCUAGAUUGAGAUCGCUUUUUGAUGUUCAUAUUUACGGAGAAAUGUGUACGUUCAACUUUUUCCCCCUGUUAUGAUACUUUCCUUUUUUAUUUUAUGAGCAUGCAAUGCAGGGCAAAUAUCUUUUUGACUUUUUUUAUAAUUUACAAAUAAAUUUUAUUGAAGAUAAUUUUAUUCGAGUAGAAUCGUUAUGAAGGAUAAAUUUUUUUUUCCAGUAUUUAGCAUAAAAUAUCUUUUUACCUUUAAUAAAGGGAAUAUAUAGCGACGAUAUAUAUCACUAUGGUAAAUGUAUUAUUGAAGAAAAAAGAGAAUAGGAUCAAGGAUGCAUGGCUCUCUAUCCUACCUUUAUUUUAUAUGAUAAAAUUCGAUGUUUGUUAAGAAUUGGUUACUCCAAUUUACUUACGGAAACUAUGUGUCAUAAUUUCGUUCGGCUACACUAAUUGGUUAUCCAAUAAAGUAUUUAAACGUGCAUUGAUGAAUACUUUACAGAAAAAGUUUUCAUAUCUCUAGCAGUGCUCUUCUAUAGUUUUGGCACCACCUAUUUUUUUAUAUAAUUAAUAAUCAAUAAUGAGUGAAUGAAUAUUAUUUAUGAAGGGUGACUUUUUAAUGAAAUUUAAAUAUAAGGUCAAAAAAUUUAUUGAUAAUCUAAAUUUAAUUGAAUUAGUUCUUUGAUGUCAAUAUGAAUAUUAGUUCAUUUGAUGCAAUUAUGAAUAUUUUCUAAAAUUAAAUCGAUUUUUUUUCUAAAUCGAUUCUGACCAUUUAAUCAGUGAAUAUUAAGUCAACAUAGUUGGAUAUGAUACAACUAAAAUAGAAUACAAUGAAAAAACAGAAAGAUCAUGUGCUAGUCUUCCUCUUCCUCUUCCUCUCAUAUGUAUAUAACCCACUUUAAUUAGUGCCUAUAUAUCUGUGUGGUUCUCAAUGAGUUCCACAUGAUGUUCUAACCUUUAUUUCUCUCGAUAACUCAUAAAACUUUCACGUCACUACUCCUAUACACAUACCUCAUGGGUGCUUGAAAAUACGAUUCUUUGCCUUGCCCAUAAGAAGAUCUCGUAUUCAACUUCUUACCCCAAAACACAUACUUCCAUACCCUAAAGUAGUUCCUCAACUAUUCACGAGCGUACCAUGCAUCUUCAUGAUCACACAUUCUUUGAUCAUACUAUCAAACACCGAAUAGUCAUUAUCUUAUUUGUUAUUUAAAAAAAAAAUGUACCUGACUGUCAGAGUCUUAGAGAAGAGGUAAAACUUCUUUCAUUUCCUCACUAUGAUCGAACUACAAAAAAGGUAUUUUUCUACACAAAAAUAAAAUAGUGGGCAUACAAAAGGGUGGGUGCAAAUAGAAGCCCCAUAAUAUUUAGACUAACAACAAAUGUUAGAAGACAUUUCAGCUUCCAUGGUCCAUGAUUUUUCAGGUUGCAAUACAAUCUCAGCCCAAGCAUAUGUUUGAUAAGAUAUUCAAUAAGGAAUAUAAACGAGCCCAAAAUUUAAAAAGGUCGAGUGAGCAAUGCUAUUAGGACUACAAAAGAAAAUAAUAUAGCCUGAUGAUGCAUUUAAGAUUUGAUAAUUUAAUUUUUUAUUUGAGAACUUACUUUUGUUUUGUUUUUUUCUUGAGUUUUGAUUUCUUUCUAAUAAUUUGACAUUAUAAUUAUAAUUAUAAUAUAUUAUAAUAAAUAUUUAUAAUAACAAAAUCAAAAACUUUUAUGUCUAAUGUAUUGUUGGUGUAUAUAUCUUGUUAUUGAUGUUAACUUAUUAGAUUUAUAUAUUUUGUUAAUAUAUGUGUUAGAAAUUUAUAUUUUUUAAGGACAAAAAUAUUAAUAAGUUGUUAAAUUUAAGGAUGUAUUUAUCAAUAACUUUAAUUUUUAUGUCCACGUGAACAUUAAUUUUGUAACAUUUUUGUCUUUGCAUGUAACUUAGGCGAGUUGUCUAACAUUAACGGAUGAAAGUUAAUGGUGGGACAAUUUUAUCCUACUUUUUAUAUUUUUUAAGACUAAAUUUUAUUUUUUAAUCUUUUAGGGACAAAUUUGCUACCGCAACAAACUUUCACGAACAAAAAUAUUAUUUAAAAAAAAUGUUAGCAUAUGGAGUAAAUUUUAAAGCAUUUUUAACACAGAUUGAUUUCAUUUCUUCUGCCGCAGAUUGAUUUUUUCUUAAAAUCUCAGUUAUGAAUAUAUCAGUCUGUGGUGCAUUUUGUUUGUUCUGCCACUAGCUUUGUUGUAAUCAACUUUAUUUUGAGAGGAUUUUGCCUGCUCAGGAAAACCAAAAUUGAAUAUCUGAGGCAACUUGAUACCAUUUUCCCUAUUCACACUUUUAAAACUGCAGACAGAGCCUUUGCCAAAAGAAAGAAAAUUUAUUCCUUAGGUGUCACAGCCGGUAAUUUCUUAGGAAUGUCCACCUUAUUUUGAGUUUUGUGAAAUGCACUUUGAUCUUCACGGGUCCCAAUUUGUACAGGACUUUCCUUGGUUGUUACUGUGUCUUGUUUCAGUGAACUAAAGCUGGGUGAUAAUUUUGCAAGAUUGAUGAAACUAAUUCCUUUAGGUGGUAUAGGCUGUUUCUGUACAGUGUUUGUCACCUUAUGUUCAACACUGGUGCAAGAAUGAAUUCCUGCAGACUUAGUCAAGUGGUUUUGCUUGACAGAACUAGAGACAUGAUUGUUGUUAAGUGGUGUGUGCUGGAAUUUGCAUUUCCGGACAGAAGUGGAGACAACUCUGCUCUACACAUACAGAUUUAUAAAUUAUUCUUCACAAAUAACAGAAUAUCAUUUAACUGAUGUUGAAAUGGCUUCAAAAGAGGUUGACUUAACAAGCUUCAAAAUCCAUAUCAAAAGUUAACAGUAAUAUAACAUCAAGAAAGAAAAUCAAAACAAUAUCAGAAGAAUACCUUCUUUUUUCCUUUAUUCCCACCACACUUAUUCUUUUUACUGGCAUUAUCCAACUGCAGCAGAUGAUCAAAAUUUAGCAAAAGAACCAAUGUAACUAGUCUUAAAAUCAUUACACAGUCACUCCACAAUAUGGAACUCCACAUAAUUAAGGUGUCCAUAUAAAGACUUUGGAUAUAGACAUACACAAGUACAACAAUGUGAUCACACUUUUUUUUAUUGGUUACGGGAAAGGGUGGGUAACUGUGUAAAACAUUGCAAUGCUAGCCUAAAAUAUUUGAACUUACUAAACUAAAUAUAUCAAAAGGAUCAUCAUUGGAUCAAAAUCUUUAAUUCAUCAUUGGUGGUACAUACUAAGAAAAUUGAAAGUAAUGAAAAUAAAAUGAAGCUUAACGUGAUCACAAUUCACAAGUUAAGAACAAUAAUACAACAUCAAGAAAAAAAAUUAACAAUAACAUUAGAAGAAUACCUUCGUUUUAUCUUCCUUCUGACAUUCAAUAGUUUCUUUAGACAUUGCUACUUCAACUCCGCAUACAAUCCCUUUCUUGCCACUAGUUCUAGGCUCCACUUUUUCACUAUUAUUGGCAUCUUGAAGUGCAUUUACCAUAGAGGAUUUAGAGUCGUAGCCUUUUUCCUUUUCUUGAUUCUCAAUCUUAGAAAGAUAUAUCAUGUUUCCAGUUACAUUUUCAGGCUUCUGAACCUCAUCAACUUCCAUCUGUUGUAAUAUUAAAGCAUCUGCAGAAGCACAUCAAAUGAAUUGUUACUAUUCCCAGGUCUCCAGAAAUUUCUCCUUCUUCCAUUUCUGCUUGUUAAUCCAUCAACCCAACUUCACCGCCAUCACUAUGUGCCUUAUCCAAUCCCAAGUUCAAGGGGAUUAAUUCACUAUCACAAAUAAGAUCCUCAGUUCCUUUCAUAACCUGCUCGAACUCAUUCAUUAGCUUCUGCUCCUUAUCAAAACCAUUUGCUUGGGUAAACAUGUCCUCUAUUCCCAUCAUAUGUUCUAUAUCAUCUAGGACCAUUUUGUUGGAAGUAAAAUCCAUAUCCUUGACUCCAACCCCCUUCAAUGGUUUCCUGGACCUCAUGUAUAUCCUUCUGGCGUAUAGGACCCUUGGGAUCCAAAAAAUCAGAAUCAACAACUUCAGAGCACUUAGGCUCCUUUUCCUGGUUUUCUUGAUCCAUUCUACCACAGCCAAACGGGGAAAAAUAGCAUUUUUUUUAAGAGUGGUAAAUAAAUAUGAGAAGAACACAUUGAAUUGAAACUAACGGCAAAUAGAACCAUAACCAAAAACCUGAUCUUAAACUCUAAUUCCUAACCCAAAUGGAAACUUAAAAAAAAAAAGGUGCCCUUUUGAUUUCAAUUUACCAAAAAUUGAAACAACUUUUUUUAAAAAAAAAAUAUCAGAAGAGCACAAUUGAAUUGAAACUACCAACAGAUUGAUCCAUAAUCACAACACAAUCUUAAAAACCUUCAAACUUGAAUUACUAAUCCAAAUGUGAACUUAAAAAAUUUAAAGAAUUUAUUUUGACGAAAAAAAGUACCUUUUUGAAAUUAGUGUACCAAAAACUCAAAUAAAUUGGAAAUGUGGAACUUGUUUUAAUAAGUUUAAAUAAUCAUUUGGUCCCUUCACUUAUUUUUAUCUUUUUUAUCCUUAUAGUUUAAAACUGGUUUUUUUAAUCUUUAUAAUUUACAUUUUAAAAGUAAUUUUUUUAAUUGUAUCUUAAUUUUCUUUUAAUCCCUAUAGUUUAAAAAAAUGAUUUUUUUAAUCCUUAUAUUUUAUAUUUUAAUUACAUUUUAGAUUAAAAGAGAACUAAAAUACAAAUUAUAAAAAAAUAUUUUUAAAACUAUAGACACUAAAAGAAAACAAAUUAUUAAUUUAACCUUUUAAAAAUAAGAAAGUCAAGAUUAGAGAGUCAAACUUAAAAAAACUGGGUAAAAAAAUAAAAUAAAAAGGUAGGAUUUUGAAGUUGAAAAAACAUAUACCGGGAAUGUUGAGGGGUUGAGUUGAAGAGUAAGCAGAAAUGUGAGAGAAGAGGUGAAGGGGGGCACGGUAAGUGUUGCUACGCAAUUGGGAUCGACGGUAUGGAGAAUAAUGAUUUUUCAGCUGUGAAACGCAAUACUUUUGGGUGUCGUUUUGGUAAUGUAAGAAAUCUGGGCGCUAUGGAAAGUAAAGGGAAGGGAAGACAACUCAAAAACAUUAUGGACUUCAAGUAAUAAGAAAAAGGCAUUCUUCACCAAAAAUUUGAAACAACAACACAGCCGAAUUCACCUACUCCAAAACUGCAUUUUUUUUACAUUCCAUUUGAAUCUUAACAUAACAGAUCAAGGGAUAAUUUCAACUCAGCAUAAAUUAUCAAAAACAACGUUCAACAAGAUUGACAAUGAGAAGAAUUUUUCAGUCACACCAACACGGACUCAGGGGAAUCAAAGGGCACAUAUACAUACAGUGAGAGAGAAAGAGGGAAUGCGAGAACGAAAACAUAAAGGGAUAUUCCGAGACCAACAAGGCAGUGGGGUUUCCUUUAAGAUAUUGAUUCAGAAGAAGUGUUAAUGAUAGGUUUUUUCUCAUAAUUAUGAAAUAAUUUUGUUAAUUAAUUAAGAUGUUAAAAUGCAAUAAAAAAUAAAAGAUUUUAAAAAGUCCUUGUUUACUUUCCAACAUAUCCCAUCCUAUAAGUGAUGACUAUGUCAUUGCUAUCUCAAAACUACAAUCUCAUUGAUAGAGUUAUUGACCAUGAUUUUAAAUGAUAUAUAAAAAAUGAAUAAUAAUUUAAUUAAAUAAAAAGAUGUUAAAUAAAAAAUAAAUAAUAUAUAAUUUGAGUAAAAAAGUUAUUCUAUACUUUAGGAUUUCAUUUAGGAUUUCACAGAGAAGAUAAUUGUGUCGACUUAGUUUCUUUAUUCUUUAAUAAGAAAAGAAUAAUGAUUUAUCUAUAAUUUUUAGAUCUUAAAUAUUAUGCAAAAAAAUUGAAACAAAUUCUUGAAUUAAAUUUUGGUGUAUGUCAUUUAAUUAUUUAAUUAAACAUAAGAGAAAAUUAAAAUUUGAUUAGAUAAAAGAAAAAUAUCCGUUAAAUUAGUUUAAGUCAAGAGAUAGUAAGAGAAAAAUAAAUCUAUGUUUAAAUGAUUAUAACAAUAAUUAAAAAGUUCUAAAACUAUAAUAGAACAUAGUUUCUUCCAAUUCAAAUAUUAAGGAGAUUUAAAAUAAACUGAAAGUGGGAGCCAGGAAAGUGAUUUGCUUCUCCAACUGUGGAGACUUAGGAUCCCUCCAAAGGUUAGUGGUUUUCUAUGGAGGGUCUGCAUUGAUAGAGUAGCAACUAGCUAGCUAGGAAAAAUUUUAAAAAGGAGAAAUAUCCAAGUGGAUAAUAACAAUUAUUUGUGUCCUUUAUGUAAGGUUGAUCAGAAGUAUGUAAGGUUGUAUGGUGUUCAAUAGUAUGGUGCAUUUGGAACUGCAGGAACAACAUUGUUUUGGAGAAGGGAGUUAUGUCAAUAGGAAGUUGUUGGAUGAGGUUAUUUUAAUGGUGUGGUUUGGGUUGAAAAACAGAAUGCCUAUAUAUUUUUAACUAUUCAUGGGUAUCUAAUCCGAGAGUAUGCAUCUACUCCUUGGCAUGACUCAUGGGAUAAGGGUACUAUCGGAGAUGAGAGAUAUGAAUACGAUUCGGUGGCAUUUUCUGAUAUAUUAACUCGUUUUUGUUUCUCUUGGCUAUACUGAUCGUCUGAAGAUGUGUGGCAAUAAAGGGUAGUAUAUAUACUAACGUUGCCAUAUGAUCUCAUUUUGCUUUUUACAAGGGUAUGUAUAUAGUUUUGGUCUUUUAGUUUUUUGGCUUUUAGUUGCUCUGAGUUAGUUAGGUAGGUAUAGAUGGAGAGGCAUACUUGUGGGUUACUUCAUUCUGGGUUGUUAUUGCAAUUGAUGGGUGAGAGGAUAUAUUUCUUAUGUUAUCUAGGGAGUUACUUGUUGGAGCAAGCAUAUCUCGAAUUAUAACUUAUUAAGGGGCGUAUGGGAACCCUUUUAUCCUAUAUCUUCUGUCUAUAGAAGUUUUUCUUUGCUGAUAAAUUUUUUAAAAAUAUUUUUUUAGUUUUUAUAAUUUAUUUUAUUUUUCGUUCGUACGUGUUUUAAAAAACAUUUUUUUCAUUGUUGAGAAUUAUCUAAAAUAUUUUAAAGAAUAAAAUAUUUAAAAAAAUAUAUAAAAAGAAUAAAAGACCCAAAAAAACAAAAAAAGAAAGACAAAACAAAAGGGUUAGUUAAUGAAAAUAAACCUGUGAACUCUAAAACUCAAGAGAAGAAACACAAGUCUUAACAAGAAAUAAAAACAAAAACCUAGCUACGACUUAGCCCUAAGGUUCAAGCUAAAGAUUAAAGACAGGUCACACCUAAGUUAAGCUAGUUGGACUUGAGAGAGUGUUUGGGAGUAUUAGUGUCACUUAAACUGAAAGUCCACUGACUCAAUCCUCUAUACUUUCAGACAUAAUCUGCGGAUAGAUUCUAAUUCUAAUUCUAAUAAUAAUAAACAACCGUUAUGGUUUUAGGUGGAUAAUCUUUGUAAGAGCCAAACGAAAGAAAGGAAAGUUUAAGCUUACAUAUGAAUUGCUCUAAAGUGGAGCAGAAUAAAAAAAAUGUUUGACUAGCUAUGAGAACUGCUUGGCUUCAAAUUAGGUUGAAUUCUAACACCCUUUCUUGUUAUGGAUAACAUAUAUAGAAAGUGUUUUGCUACCUUUUUUGUGUUUAAGUCGUGAAUGUAUCAAUCGGUAAAAUGAUGGAGGUUUUUAUUGUCUAAAGUUUACAGAUAUAGGUCCCUUGCAAGCAUAAUUUGCUUAUGACAUAUAUAUGAUUCCAAAACCAACUAGAGUAUGGAACUAGUUCAGCUUAUAGAACCCAGGUAUGAAACAUUUCUACCCCCACUAGCACCCAAAAUUCUAAUUUUAUGCAAGCUCGUUGGUGAAAGGACCGAAUUGAUGCACCCGAAUGCUCUAUGAUAUAUCUGCUUCUGCGGUCCCAUAUAAUAAUGUCAUCAAUGUUGGACAUAAAUCACCUAUCUUUUUUAUGUGUUUCCAUUCUUGUCACAUAAUAGGAAAAUAAAUACGUCAGUAAAAAAAAUAAGAUAGAGAUGGAAUGUUACUUUUGAAAACAGAAGUUUUUCAACAUGUCAUUUUUAUUGAGAGAGAGAAAAAAUAAUGACGAGUGAUUUUUAUUAUUUGUCAAUUGUUAUAAUAGAACAAUGAGCUAAUGACUAAGAAAUUGAUUUUUUACAAAAUAGAAACCUUGAUGGUGACUUCACAACAACACAAGAGAUCUCAACUAGAUUGACACCAGAAUUGAUCCCAAGACACUGACCAAAAAAAUAGAUACAAUAAUUAAUCCAAAAGGAAUCCAAAAAAUAAGAGCAGAUUGGGGGACAAGAACCAAAACUCAUGCUGAAGGAAGCUAUGUGAAACCAUAGCUAGGUAAAUCUAUUAUAUUUUUAUUCAUUUCCGCUGCAACAAAAAAAGUUGAAUGAUCCCACCAGCAGAAAUUAGAAAGAGAAGAAGCAUGAGAAGCAAGAAUAUUUGCACAUAACUAAGAAAUUGAUAGUUUUGCAUCAAUACAAAUAUAUGGUCUAGACAUAUCUAUUUUCCAUGUAUAUUCAAGUUUUAAAUUCAUGAGAAAGAACUCUUAAUUUUGUAUCAUUAAUCAUGUAGAAAUUAAGGAGAACCGUGACAGUCUUGAUCCCACUUAAUAAUUUCUUUUGAUAACUAAAUCAAGAUAGUGCAACCCCCUCCUACAAUUCAUUAACACAGGAACAGAAAAUAGUCCCUGAGCACUCAAAAAGGGAAAAGGAGAACAAUCUCAAAUAGUUUAGAUUCCUUUCCAAGGUUGUAGAAGUUGGCCAACUAAUCCUCAAAAGACUUUGUCUCUAAAGUUCGUUAGUGGUGGAUGUCAUUGAGAGCACAACAAAAUAUCCAAACGCCAAAAUGAGGAAAGCAUCGGCCUCACCAAUUUCUUUGAGGACACAUCAUGCAAGUUAUAGGGCCCGAAUUCCAUUUUCAAACAAUUUGUUGUCCUCAUGUACAACCUCAUUUAAGUCUAGUCUUUUAAUAAACAUUAUCAUGAAAUUGUUUGAUUUUGGACACGGGCACUGACCUAGCACAGUCUUUUUAAAUGCAAUUAGCCUUGAAAUCGUUGUCAUCUCCCCAGCUAUGCCCUUUCGUUUUCACGUUAACAAAUUCAAUAAAACAAAAUAGAUGAUACGAAGUUGAGUUCAGUCACAUCAUCAUUUAAACAAAAACCGCAACUAAAGGUUGCAGACAAGAAACCAACCACUAAGCGAUUAUAUAGGGAUAUGAAGAAGGGAUGCGAUAUGACUAAUUAUGAAAGUAUCCUUUGCGUGUAAGUUAGAAAUUUAUGUUACCUUCAAAUAAUGGCAUGAACGAAAUUUCGUACCUUGACAUAACUGUCAGAAUUAUUUGAUUUAUUUAUGUAUUGGUAUUAUAGCUAGAAAAAGGACUGUUGUUGCUAGCUUGCUAUAAUAUAUGUUCAAUUUCAUGAGCAAAGUAGACCAAUGACUUCAACUUAGUUAUGAUAAUUUAAAUGAAUAAAUGAAUCAUGAAAUAUAUGGACAAUGACAUUUUCUCUAGCCAUCUACGUACAAAACACCGAUAUAUAUGAUUAAGCAAAUAAGUAUUGGCUGACUUAUAACAGUACGAAUUGCAACUUAUGCACGAAAUCUCAGUCAUAAGGAGUGCUAUAACAGUAAAAGUUUGGUGCUGAGGGAAUGGACGAUUUAUACGGAACUCAAAGCACUUGUUUUUCUUGAGUUCAUCUAACAACACAAAUUUCAUCUAGCAUUUAUAAACUACAUAAAAAUGCUAUGUGAUCACUAUUAAGUAAUUAAUUAUAAUCAACUGCAAAGCUCUUUAUCGGCCGAGUUAAUUGACACCUUGAGACAACAAGCCAAAAAAAAAAGUUCACUUAAUAUAUAGAGUGAAAAGAUUGAUCUAUAUAGGCUAUACCAUUUAUAGUUCAAAUAUUAUACUGCAUUUAUAGUACUUUCUUUGCAAUGCAUCUAUUUUGAGUUUUCCUGUUAAAUUUCUUGAUGCAACUUCUCCCGCAUUAAAAAAAAAAAAAAACAGUUGAAGUCCCUUGAGACACCCCAACUAAGUAAUUCGUACAAUUGUAAGAUGUUUAGCAAGAUUACAAGAGUGUGAGAUCGGGUUCAAACCUUAAUAUAAAGUGUUACUCAUGUCAACUCUGUUUAAAAAAAAAAAUCUUUUAUGGUGGACAAAAAUUUAAAAACAAGGACCAAUGAAUCUUAAUUAAAUAACUAGUUAUAUUUCCAAGUGGCUCUAUUCUACUCAACUGAACUGAAAUUAGUUGAAAUUUAAAAUGACUUCUAAAUGUUAAGGAUUUAGGAAAAAUAAAUAUAAAAAGACCAAUAUUGAAACCAGCGAUUAUUUGUUGGAUUGCAUAAAGUGCUGUAUGAUGUUAAGCAUAGAAAAGUACUCUACUAAUGUUUUGGCACUUGAAUAUGAUGAAUCAUAUCAUAGAUCCGAUGUUAGGUUAUGGGUGGCAGAAGCCCACGUCAAACACUUCACCAAUUAAUAGAGUGGAAUCUGUUCGUACGUUGAGAAAGAAACAAUGUGGAAAAAAAUAACUUUUGUUGACCUAAGUGCUAAAACAUUAAUUGCUCAUAAUUAAUUUGUGAAAAUAUAUCACUUCACCCGAUCAUUGUUAAGAAAAAAAUUUUAGUAUAAAAUUCACUAAAAUUUGUAUCUUAUAAAAAAAAGCCAAAAAUAAUACUAUUUUCUAUUCUUUUUCUCGCAUGAGUGGUAGGCUGGUAGCACUAUUUUUCCACGAUCUUUUGUCAUAUUGAUACAUUGAAAUCUUUAAUAUUAACUCACUACUUUGUAAUUGUAACUAAAUACACAGACAUGGGCAGAAGUCUUUAAUUUAUGCUCUUAAUUAAAAGCUUAAUUCUAUUCUCUUUUUUUUUUUUAAUUUUGACAUCUACGAAAUUGUGAUGUCAAAAUAUUUGUAAAUGGAAAAUCACUUAUCACAAAUGUAUGAGGACUAAAAAUAUAUACAAUUCCAUGUAAUAUUUUAAAAAAUAUUAAUAUAAAUAUUGUACGUAUACAGCUCAAUGACUCGACUAAUACAACCUGAAUUUAUUUGAAUUAACAACAAAUUUAUUUGACUCAACUAAUACAACCUCAAUUUCAAAAGACCAAUCUAAACUCACUCCGCAGCAAAACAAAUAACAUGAUUCCCACGCAUAUGUGAUAGCGCUUGUGUUCUCACCAAUCCACCAAAUGUGCUCCCACCACGUCACUUCCUGGCAUGUAAUAGAAAUCAUGAAAAUGUUUAAAAUCAUUCCGUGUAAAAUAAUAAAACGAAAAAGGUACAUUCAUUUUGUCUUAAUAAUAUAUUUUUUACUGAAUUGCGUCUACGUGUCUACAUUUUUUUUUAUUUUUGAAAUUAAAUUUAUUGUAUAUAUAAUUGGUGUAAUUUUUUUAUUAAUGUAACUAAUGUGGGAGAUUGAUAUAUAACAGCAGAAUAAUUUGCAAUUGUUGUUAAAGGAUUAAAAAGUCUUAAAAAAAGAGUGGACCGCAUAAGGAUAUAUCCUCUAUUAUUGUUAUAGAUUAUAAAUAAGUUACUAAAAAUAAAAUAUAUCAUUUUAAUUUUUAAAAAUAUGUGAAUAACUUUAAUAUAACUUUCGGUACAAUUCUUUAAUUUAGUUUAAAGAUAAACGUUCGUACGUUUAUUUUUUUCAAUUUGGCACACCUCUUUAUUAUUUCAAAAAAUAAAGCAAUUUCCACUUUGUGGAAAAAGCCAAUGGCAUUGCCCUUGUCAUUCUCUAGCCUCUAACGUUACCAUUCCAUUAUUAAUAGGUCGACCCUCCCUUUGUUAUCCUAUCCACUAAUAAAAACACAACACAACUUGCUUUCACGGAUGUUGUCUUCCUCUCUCAAUUUCUAAUAUUUUCUUCUUCUCUCUCCCUCUUUCAAAUUCUCACAAAAACAUGGUGGCUUUGGUUUCUCAAGAAAACGUUGUUGCAUUGGUUUCUCGUACGGGUAGGGAGUUGCAACGCUAUAGAAAGGGUCGUCGCCAAGUCGUGGGGUUUGUCUCUUAUUCUUAAUCCUAUUCCUAUCAUUGCCGAUAGUAUUUUCUUUUAUUUUUCUCAAAUUUUUAAAACCAUGUUUGAUUCCUUUAAAUUUGUUCUUCUAUUUAGUUUCAUUUCAAUGGCGACUGAACGUUUUCUUUUUUUUUUUGGUGGACACACGUGUAGAUGCAUACCAUACAGAUAUAAAAUUGGUGAUCAAACUUCCUUGGACGCACAAGAAGAAUUAGAAGUUUUGGUUAUCACUUCUCAGAAAGGCAAAGGGAUGCUAUUUCCUAAGGUAACCGCACACCAAAACAUUAGUCAAUGAAAUUCAACACCCCAAAUGACAUAUUAUUUUGAUUUAUUUACAUUUUUAUUCACCCCAUUUGUGUUAUCCGUUUGACCAAACAACAGGGAGGGUGGGAAUUGGACGAAUCCAAAAAGGAGGCAGCUUUGCGAGAAACCAUAGAGGAAGCAGGGGUGCGAGGCACUGUUGAGGUGAGGCCACUUGAUUUAUAUAAAAUGUUUCAUAUUACUAACUAAGUAAUAAGAAAUUAUUUUUUAUAUGAGUUUUAAUUAAGAUCUUUUUUUAAAAGUCAAUAAUCAAUUAUAAAUAAUAAUUAUUAGUGUUAAUAUUAUUUAUUCAAAGAAUAAAUAUCAGCAAAACUAUUAACUAAUAAAUAAUGUCUCGUUAAGAAAGAAAAAUCUUAAAGGGAUUAAUUAGAUUUUCUAAUAAUCAGCGAAGUUGAAUACUUCGCACUAAUAUCAUAGAUAAAAAAAUAAUAAUAAAUCAUUGGCCACUAAAACUUGUUUAAGUUGAAAUGAAAUGUUCAUGAAUAUUUAUUAAAUUUGGUGGGUGCAGGGUAAAUUGGGCAAGUGGAGUUUCAAGAGCAAGACACAUGAUACAUUUUAUGAAGGCUACAUGUUCCCUCUACUUGUUCAAGAGCAAUUGGAGUUGUGGCCCGAACAGAAUGUUCGUCAAAGAAUAUGGGUAGGUAACUAAAAACCAUGGAAUACUGAACAUAGUCUUUGAAUUUUUCUUUUUGUUACUUCUUCCAAAUGGCCACUUUGAUAGUGUUUGAAUUAUUCUUUUUCUUUCAUUCUUCUAAUGAUCACUAAGAUAGUGUUUGAAAAUUUCAUUUUUGAGAUUGUAGAUGAGCAUUUCUGAAGCAAGGGAAGUUUGUCAACACUGGUGGAUGAAGGAAGCUCUAGAGAGACUAGUAAACCGGAAACUUGGUCGUGUGAGACAAAUAGAAAUAGUAGGUUCUAUACAUUGCAUAGGAGAUGGCAAUUCUGACUUGUAAACAGCUCUACCCCUUUUAAUUAGCUUUUCUUGGACGGAAUGAACUCAGGAAUAUAUAAUAGUAUAGUACAGUCCAAACAAGUGAUUGAAUUAGAAAAAGAAAAAAGAAAAAUUAAUAGGAAUGGUAAAUUACAUAGAAGUUGUCAAUUCCCCCCAUUAAGAUACAGUACUUCAUAUCUGAUUGGGCCACAUUAUGGAACAUGGAUGUGAGAAUUCACUGCAUCUGUGUAGAGUGAGACUUCUGAAAAUCCAUUGUUCAAUAAAAUAUUUGAUUUUGUUUGUAUGCAACAGUUGAUAACAUCUGAAGAAUUUGGGAGAACUACCAUGUUAAUGAAAAAAAAUAUUGAGUAAAUAUUAUAAAGUUCAUAUGUUAUUAACAUAAUUAUAAAUUAUCAUAUGAUAAUUAAGUAUGUUGAUUUCAUAAUAAUUAUAGUUAUAUUAAUGAUGAUUUUUUAUUUGAUGAUAGUGGAUAGAAUUUAAACUACAUUAUAUGUGUACUUUCAAUUUAUAUUAACUUUUCUUAUUAUACAAAAGAGAGAGAUUAGAAGAAGAAAGGAAAUAUCUCAAAAAUAAAAAAGGAAAAAAAUAUAACCUACGGUGAAUGAUUGAUGGAAGGAAAUAAAAAAAAUGAAUUAUUAAAAAUAUUGUACAAAAAAAAAAGUAUGAAUAAUAUAAAUCUAUAUUAAAUUACUGCACUAGCAAUUUCUGUAUAUAUGUGCCUAUAGUUGGUAAGUAGGGAUAAAGCUUUUUUAAGCAGAGACUGUGCAAUGUUGCAACUAGUUACUGUAUCAUAUGCUUAACGUGUUUUGCCUCUGCCCACCAAAAAGUUUGAUGUUCAAUGCCCUUUCAAGGAAAAAGGACAUUUUGUCUAGCAUGAAUAAUACUGAAGCACUUGAAUCCAAGAAAAGUUGAAGAAUUGAUCCAAUGGGUUCUAACGAUCACCAUUUGAAAAGUAGUUUGCUCUGCAUCUGAUGCCUCCUAUAAAUGUGACUUUUUUGUUCUAAUUAAUGAUUAAUAACAAUUUAAACCUUUUAAUCAAGAGCAAAGUGAAGAUAAGCAUCUUCCUUUUUUUAUAUUUUUAUGUAUAUUCUUUUGUACAAUCAACUUGAAGCUAAGAUUAAAAGUAGUAUUUUUGGUACUCCAAUCACUUUGAGGUAUGAACAAAUACUCCAUUGGUGAAUAGAGGAAUACGUGUGGAAUUGGUUGACUAAGUCCUUAUCAUCAACCGUAGAAUUCCUUGGGCGAAAUUGAGAACUGAAAAGUUGAUGAAGAAUUUUAUUUCAAUUUUUUGGUCAACAAAAGAAACUUUAUUUAUUUAUUAUGGUCUUUAACGAGAGAAAUUAUAUAGUAAUUUUAUUAAAGAAGGACCCAGCAAAGUGUGGGCUUCAGAGAAAGUUCCUAACCUGAAAACAACAGAGCAGCCUCUCAAAUAUGAAAACUGGUCAAAGUACCAUAUUGGGCUUUGAAUGCAACAGACGCACAACAUUUAUUUCCAACACUCUCUAUUGUUAGUAAUGAUUGAAACUUUUUUUAAAAAUGAUCUUUACCAAUAUCCAAGUCGUUGGUAAUUGUUCUUUUAAGUUUUAUAAUAAUUAUAUAUUAUAAUCAUGAAAAACUUCUUUAGAUUAUAUAUGUUAUGUUAAAGUAAAUAAAAUAAAUUAUAUUUAAAUAAAUAGAAAAUAAAAAAAAUCAAUUGUUUUAGUGGUCGAAACAAACAAAUUAUACCAGCAACUACAUGCCCGUUAAAAAUCUUCCUUCCACACUAGUUGAUUUUCUUAUAGUGGAAUCAAUUAGAAUUACAUAAAAUGAAGUCUAACUUAGAAUGUCUUAUUUCCACUCAUGGGUUAUAGUUAGUUUUACUAUCUUUCGGGUUUCAAAUUUUAAACUCGCAAGAGAACCCGUGUACCCAGAUCGGGUUGGAUGUAAAAAAAUGAAAAAUGGAAUUUUCUUUGCUAAAUUGUAAGAAUCAAAGUUUUAAGAAGGAUUUUUUAUUAAAAAAAAAAGAAUUUAAUUACUCCUUUAGUUUCUAUACUUGCAAAAUCUUUACAAUUUAUUUCUUAUUUCUUGAAAUUGCUCAUGUUAAUUAGUCCCUAUGCAUAUACCUUUUAACAUAUACCUUUUAACAGGUUUUAGUCCUUUUUUUUGUUUUUUACAAGGAACACGUUUUAGUCCUUAUACAUACUAUUUUAAUUUAUUUUAGUCCUUAUAAUUUUAGACAAUGAAGACUAAAUUAGAUUUGAACAAUGCACCUAGGAAGAUUAAAACAAACAAAUUUCUAAGUGUAUGGACUAAAAAAUGUAAUAAUAUAUAUGAGAUCAUAGGUGUGAAUCUUGUGCAAUUAUUAUAAAAAAAAAGUAUAAGAACUUAAAAAUAAAAAGGUCAAAUGAAUAAUUAAACUUUUUAAGAAGUGUUUUUACUUUUCACGAGUUUUUUUUAUAAGUAAAUUGAAGAUUUUAUUUAUUUACUUAAAAUUUAUUUUCAUGGGUAAACCAAAUACUAUGGGUUUUUUUUUUUUUCUUUGAGUUUGGGUCACUUGUAAAAUCUUAUAGUCAAAACAUUUUAUUUUUAUUUUUUUUUGGAAAAAGAAAAGACAAAAACGUAUUUUGUUACGAUAGUGGUUCGUUUGAUGCAGGCAAAUCGAGUCAUGGAGGUGUAAAGAGUAAAGACAUUUGCUAUAAUUGUUGGAUCAUUAGCUGGAGUGGCUAUACUUAUUAUUUGUCUUGCUUUCAUGAGCAAGAUUUGUGGGUGACAUGGUAAGUUGUAUACUAUAUAUGUACAAUUUUUUCUAUUUGUGUUCCUAUCUAUUUUAAUUUGAUUUAUUAUAUUGAGAAAAGAAAACAUGGAUUCAUAGCAAUAUACUAACAUAACUCCUUUUUAUUAUAUCUUUCUCGUGCAGGUAAAUAAAUUAAAUUAGAUUUGAAACUCAGAACGGCAAUAGGCCAAUAGCACUUAACAAUUCUCACUUGUUGCCUUCCUAAUCUCGUGUUUGGUUUGCUUUUCUAUCUCUCUUGCUUCCUUUUUCCCUCCUUUUUUUCUUUAUUUUACUUUCACCUAUUAUGUUUCAAUUUUAAAAUUUGAUAAUUAUCCUUAAAAACGUUAUUUUAAUCACCACUUUGUGGAGAAUUAUGUCAAUAUUUCAUUAUAUUUAAGUUUGUUUGACCUUGUUUAUAAUUAAGUUUUGAAUAAAUUAGAAUAGCUUUAGAAUAGUUUAAAGGUUUGAUUUUUCAUCUAAUUUUAGUUUAUUUUAUUGUAAAAAUAAAUGAAGAAAGAAGAGAGCUCCGAUUGGGAUUCAAUUCAAGGCUUUUUCAAAGAAAAUUUUUGAGACUAAAGGGGUCAGUGUUAGGAUUUUAUUUCAUAUUAGAUUUAACUUAUAAGUCAAGUGUAAUCCAAUCAUAUGUAGUAACUAAACUAUCAUCCAGAUCGUCUCUCAAAGGAAUAAAGGAGGAAUUUCAUAUGAUUAUUUAACUAAGAACUAGGUUUUGUAUUUUUGUUUUGUGAUUGUCAUGAAAUAAAUAGCAAAAAAUUAUAAUAAAAAUUAAAUGAUAAUAAAAUAAUUAAGUAAAGAUAGAAAUACUAGAUUUAUAUGUUGAUGUCAAUCUUGAUGAAUGAAUGUUUAGGUUUAGACUUUAAAUUCGCUUGAUCCACUAUAACUUCACAAUUAUCUGCUCAUCCUCAAUUCACUGAUGUAUUCUACUUUAGCUCUCACUUGGUCACAGAUUCUAACUUACUUUUCCAAUAUCCAAUUCCUUGGAUAUACUGAUACAAGCAAUUAACAUUAAUGGUCGUGAAUUAGUGAGACUUAACCAAGAUUUUUCUAUUCCUUGAAAUUAUUACAAUUAAAUACUUGACUCAUAUUCGAGUUCCAACAAAGCUCACCAAAGCCCAAGUCAAUUUUUUAAUUCAUCUAUAAGAUGAUCCAUCAAAUAAAAGCAUUAAGUAUGAAAACAAAUAAAGAACUCAAGAUGAAGUAUUGAAUUGAGAAUUAAAACAAAACAAGGUUUAUCCUUUCAUCUCCUAGGUGGAAGGAAUUGUACUCAUAAAAUAAUACAAUAAAACUUAAAGUGUCUAAUAGAAUAAUGUAGGCGUUUAAUAGGUAGAGAUCUAAAAUAUAAUUUUAAGAAUUGUUUAGGACUUCAAUAUUGUUACAUUGAAUGUCUAGUCUCCUAUUUAUAUAAUUGUAGUUAAGUUUAAUUAAGGAGAUAAUCACAAAAAAUUACAAACAAAUAAUAUCUCUAAUUAAUUCAAGUAAUUAUCUUCUUUUUUUAAGUUGAUUUAUUCUUGAAAAAUAUAUAUUUUUUAUUUUCUUAGCUUUUAUCAUUAAUUUUCAUAAUUUCUUCUUCUAAAACUGUUAAUUUUAAACUUUUGAAGCUCGGGUCAGAAUGACAUGUUUUUUUCCCAAAAAAAUCAAAAUUUCAUUAAAAAUAAUUAAAAGAUAAUAUGGCUGGUCAUGACUGAUGACUAUAUAUAGCAAGUAGGGAUUAGAAUUAUAAACCAAGACAAAACUAAUAAUAACAUGCAUUAAUUUAGAAACCCAUCUCUUUCGGCGUGCCAGAAUUGGGGUUAGCACCCACCUUGCUCCUCUCUCCUCACUCCUAAUGCUGGCAUAAAAAACCAUAUAUAUAUAAUAGAAAGAAAUUAAGGAAAUAAAGUCAAUAUCAGUAUAGGUUUUGUUCUUUAGUUAAAGCAAGAGCCACAGAUCAAUUGCAUGCAUUAACUUCAAAUUCAAAUUAUUAUGAUUCUUAUAAUUAAUUUUGUUUGUCUUUGAAAUUACACCAAAUUAAUUAAUAGCUGAUCAACAUUAUAUAUAAUAUAUUUGUCUUUGAUAUAUAGUAUACUUCGAGUAGGGUACCUAUUAAUUUAUAUUUGUCUUUGAUAAAUAGUUGAUCACCACUUGCAAUAUUGUAAUUUAUAGAGUGCAACAUGACGAAAAAAAUAGUCAAAUUCUCUUGUGAUUUAGUCUCAGAACUGUAAAAUUUUCCGCCACUACUAUCCUAUGGUGAAAUACAUACUUUCUGCUAGCUAUAUUAAUAAUCCUUGUACACCUAUUAAAGACGAUAUAUUAUUAACCGAUGCAACAUAAUUCAUGUAAUUGAUGAACUAUUAAUUCUAGGCUUUGCUAAAGUUAGGAUGAGAAUUGAGGGCGGUUGUGCGAUGUCACAGUUGUCCUUGAGUGUCUUCAAUCGAAAAAUUUGAGAUGGUGUUGUGUGUGUGUGUGUCAAAGGAAAGUGUCGUAGUCCUUUCCUUUAUCAGCGUGAACUUUACUUAGCAAUUAAUCCAUAGAGGCAUAGAAUAAUAAUAUAUUCAGAAAUCAUUGGUAUACUUUCACCAAGUUUGAUAAUGAGCACAUAUAUAUCUAACGCCAAUAUUACACAAUUAAGUCCGUGGGCUUUGGCCAAUGUUGCCUUUCCACACAUGCAUCAUGCAUAGACUAUAUAUGCUUUAGGAAGAUGAUAGAAGCAAGUGUGUAUAUAUAUAUAUAUAUAUAUAUAUAUAUAUAUAUAUGAAACAAUAAAAAUAAAUUUAAACAUCAUUUUAAGAUAGUUUAAAGUUUUAACUUAGAACGAGUCAUGCCAUCUCAAAAACAAAUGGGCUUGUUUUAUUACGUGGAAAGUGAUCACUUUAAAGUAGCUAGUCCAUUCCCGAAAUAAAAUGCAAAGAAUUGAUCUGUUGCUAAAUGAUUGCACGAUUGAGCUGCCACAAAGUAGUAGAAUAUAUAUAUUUCUGCAAAAUUUAUUUGAAAAUCAGUGCUUCAAACCAGUGCUAAAUUUAUUUGCACCUAUAUGAAUUGAUGUUAAUUAACGUAUGAUUCCAAAUUCGAAGAGGUUUCAAACAACUCAAUUCAAUUAGAGAGAAAUUUCUUAUACUUUUGUACCAUUUCAAGUGUGUAUUACUGACUAACGAGUAGCUUAGACUGUCGCUCUCUCCAACUUAAUCAGAUAUUCAGUGCUUACCGUGCAAUUUUUCCCUCUCUGAUAAGAUCUAACAAUCUUCAAUUCCUUCGAUUAAGUUAACUUCUCCAACAUUUAAAAUUAGAAUAUAAUCAACAAUAAAUUUCUCAGUGGUUUAUAAUUGCAAGAAUUUUAAAUUCAUUUUUUUAAAGAAAGAAACUAAAGUUGCUACUUUGUUUGAAUUAUAUCAACCAAAAAGAAAAGCAACCAAACUAAGCUAAAAAAAAGAGUUCACACCGACUCUAAAAUAAUCGAAGAGAAGCUUUUUUUUUUCGUUAUUAUGUAGAUUUUGCUUAUUUAAAGCAACUCAAUGUGGUGGAUCUCGUUCCAUAGUUCAAAACCUUCGUUCAAUUCAAGCAAAUAAUAGCACCCAAAAAAAAAAACACUCACAAUUUCACAUGCAUAUAAAAGUGCUGCCCUAGACACUCAAAACCCUACGUACGUCAACAUCUGGGAAAAAUAAAAAUGGCGAAAAGGAGCAAUAUCUCACACACACUAUUGAGUAGUAUGUAUGUUUUUUUGUGCGUGGUUGGGUUUUCGGAGUGUUCGAGCAUAAGCACGUUCCUCUACAGCGGGUGCACGCAGCAACGGUACACUCCCAACUCGCCCUACGAGUGGAAUAUCAACUCGUUACUCACCUCGCUGGUGAACUCGGCGACGUACUCUGCUUAUAACAACUUCACGGUCGUGGGGUCCACUCAGCAGGACGCGGUGUACGGGCUCUACCAGUGCCGCGGCGACCUCGCCAUGCCGGACUGCGCCGCCUGCGUGGCCCGAGCCGUCACGCGCGCCGGCGACAUCUGCCGCGGCACGUGCGGCGGCGCGGUGCAGCUCGACGGCUGCUUCGUGAAGUACGACAACGCCACGUUCCUCGGCGCGGCGGACAAGACGGUGGUGCUGAAGAAGUGCGGGCCGUCGGUCGGGUACAACCCCGACGCCAUGGGGAGCCGCGACGCCGUGCUCGCCGGACUCGCCGCCGCCGGUGGGAACUUUCGCGUCGGUGGGUCCGGUGGGGUACACGGCGUGGCGCAGUGCACCGGCGACCUGAGCUACGGGGAGUGCCAGGACUGCGUGGCGGAGGCGAUCUCGCGCCUGAAGAGCGAUUGCGGCACAGCGGAUUACGGUGACAUGUUUCUCGGGAAGUGUUACGCGAGGUACUCCGUUGGUGGGGCCCACGAUGAGUCCAAGGCCCACGGUAAGGCCCAUCAUCAUGAUCAUCGCAUGCUUCCUCUUCUCUUACUACCUCUCAUGGGUUUCAGGUUUUAAACUCCAAACAAUAAUAAGCUUGUAGAUUGGAAAGGAUGUAAAAAAAUGGAAAUUGUAAUUUUCUUUGUGAAAUUGUAAGAAUUAAAGCUUUAAUAAAGGUUUAAUUGCUUCAUGAUUUUAAUUUGGUUGCGGUGAGAAAAAAAUCUUCACACAUUAUAGUCAAUUACGAAAGAAUACAACUAAUGUAAUAAAAAAAAAACAUGUAAUUGUAGAGUGUCAAAAUAAUUUAAUCUUGCGCACUGUAAUUUAAAACUAUGAAUUACUUCUAUAUUUUAAUUCUCACAUAAUCACUUUAACUAAUUUUAGUUUUCUUACAUAAUACUUUAAUUCAUUUUAGUCCUUUCAAUUUUAUAUGAUGGGAACUAAAAUAAAUUAAAUAAUGUAUACAUAAAGACUAAAAUUAUAAAUUUUUGGUGUAAGGAUUAAAAUAUAAAAAUUGUGCAAAUAUAGAAAAUAAAUGAGUAAUUAAACUUUUAAAAGUUGUUUUCUUUUGGAUAAGUAAAUUGAGAGCUUUGUUUAUUUACUUAUAGUAGUCGACCUUCAUGUAUAAACAAGACUAUGGUUCGUUGCUUUUGCUUUGAGUUUGGCUGUUUGGGUCACUUGAAAACAUAUAUUUUUGUUACAAAAAGAAAGAAAAUAACUUGUUUUAAUUUUCUGUAAUGGUGGCUCGUGUGUUGCAGACAAAUCGAAUCAUGGAGGUGUAAAGACAUUUUCUAUAAUUAUUGGAUCAUUAGCGGGAGUGGCCAUACUUAUUAUUUUCUUUGCUUUCAUGAGCAAGAUUUGUGGGCGACAGGGUAAGUAGUAUAUAUGUACUUUUUUUUUCCGUUUUUCAUAUAUUUUAAUUUGGUUUAUUGUAUUGAGAAAAGAAAAGAAAAUGAUUCAACAAAUAUUCUAACAUGAUUCCUUCUUUUUUAUUGUAUCUUUCCCAUGCAGGUAAAUAAAUUAAAUUAAGCUUGAGAUUCAAAGUGGCAUGAGCACAUGUCGAUCAGUUUUCACUAGUUGCCCUCCCAAUCUCCUGUAUUGGUUUGCUUUUGUGCCUCUUUUACUUUUUUCUUUUAUUUUUCUUUCUUUAUUUUACUUACUCUUUUUUUGUUUCAAAUUUAAAAUUCAAUUCGAAAGAGAACUUUGAACCUUGAGGAGGAUACCAUAUGAAAAAAAAGAAUGUACAAUGAACAUUUGUAUUUGAAAUUUUGAAUAAAAGUUUGUGCUGUCUAAUGUCUCAUUCUUGUAAAGAAAAAAAGUGAAUAUAUUAUUCUUUUGUUUCUUUAAAGUUGUAUAAUAUUUUUGCUUUGCUUUUCAACCUUAUGUGCGCCCACGAACUUUUUGGACGGUUACUUAAAAUUUGUACAAGAUUAACUAAUCGGUUUAAUGGUACAUUAAAACAUUGCAUGAAUGAUUUAACAAGAUUUGAUUAUUGUACAAACACACUUGAACCACAACUAAGUUAAGGAAAACUUACUCUACCACGAAGAAGUUUAUACUCUACCUCUUUGACCUAAAAUAAUACUACAAUACUAGUCAAACCAAGGAUCAUUUUGCAGAUCUUUAGUGUUUGUUUAGCUUGUCAAUGACCUCAUAUACUGCAGCAAAGCUCUCUAUCUUAAAUGAUUCCAGUCCUAAGAAUUUUUUUAAAAAAUGACAAUAUUCUUUUUUAAAACUCACAAGUCACAAUUAGCUCAUGUACCUCACUUUGAGAUAUCGGAACACUGUCUCUAUCAAUAAUGUACCUGUGUUUGUUAUCCGUGAAUGAAAGGAACAAAAGUGUAACAUGGGGAAUGGAAUUAUGGAAACUUCCCAUAACUUGAAAGAGCUAUAUAUUAUUUCAUGGAUACCGUGUUUCGGUUUUGGAUUGAAAAUCUUCAUAUCAUAAUUUAGAUUAAAGUUACAUGGAAUAAUCUAGCUUUUAUCUAAUAUUUAAAAGAUUUGAAACUGAAAGUUAAGCAUAUACUAAAAGUCUAAAACACAGUCAAGAACUGAAAAGUGAUUGUCAAAAUGAAAAUUAAAAGGAGACUUGAAUUAUGAACCACAUUAUUUUAUCUUAUAUAUACUGUAUAAUAAUAAAACCAUUUUUUUUUUGUAUUUGUGUUUCUUUUUUACGAAUUGCAAGCCCAAUAACUUGUCCUAUAUUUCCAGCGCCAGACUCUAAGUCAUAUAUCACAGAGAGUUCCUAUUGGCCCUUUCAAGUUUUGUUAUUGACCCCUACACCAGCUUGAAAAGUUCCUUCUGUCCCCAUUUCAAAUUCUUUACCCCCUCCCUGUCCCUGGCACCCCUUCCCCUUCUCCUUUAUCCUUUAUCCUUCCUCCUUCCCCUUUCUUCCUUCUCCUUCUAGUUCUGCUUCUCCUUACCCAAGUCCAACCCAAAUGAACCCUUACCUUCCCCUUUGUUUUGUUAUAUUUUUUUUAUAGUUUUUUUAUUCAACGGAAUCACAAUUUUGUUUUUUUUAAUAUCACAACGGAAUCACAAUUUUAUUGUUUAAUUUUUUUUAACUCAAAAAAAUUGUGAUUUCAUUGUAUUGUGGAAACAUAUAAUAACUGAAUCAUGAUUUCAUUGUAUUAAAGGAGUGCUAAAAAAAAUAACAAUGGAAUGUGAUUUCAUUGUUACGUUUGUGCUGACAUAAAAAAUAUACUUGUGAUUUCGUUAUGUUUGAGGGGUGGGAGAGAAAUGGUUGAACAAUAGAAUCUUGAUUCUGUUAUACAUUUUAUUCAACGAAUUAUGAUUUGGGGGAAAAGACAUUUUUGGAAUAAAAAAGGGAUCAGGGGCCAAAAGCAAUUUGAAUGGGGCCAGUAGCAACUUCUUACUACAUUACUAAGCCCAAAUAAUUGGGCUCCAAUUGGAAAACCCAGUUGCAGCGUACUUCCUAUUUCGCUUUUUAGUAAAAGAACCCAAAACCAUAACAGCAGAUAAUUGUUAAUUGAUGACGAACAUAGGAUCAAUCAAAGAACAUUCUGGAGUGUCCGCGACCACUAACACAAAAUACAUAUUAUAAUUUCAUUGUUCAUCACAAAAAUUGAAAGCACCAUAUCAUUAGACAACGUGUUUUUCUACUAGAGAUCUCUUUUCUCUAGCUAGUGUAAUAUCAUUAAUCAAUGGCUGGCACUAUCUUUGGAUACCCUUUCAGACACUUCAUCUGGGGUCACCCACCAAUUUUCAAAGAAUGGUCCGGCUCAACAGCCCUCUUAGAUUGGCUCGAAUCACCCACUGCCCACAUCUUAAAAAUUAACGUUCCAGGUAACAUGUUAAUAUUUGUAUAAAAAAGAACUGAAGAGUUAUUUAUGUGCUUUUGAUGUUAUUUUUUAAUCUGAGAGAAGAUGUAGCUCAUUUGAUUGAACAAAGAGUAUUAGUUGUUGUUGUAAAUCAUCUGGUACCGGUCUUCAAUUAUGAAUUUUUUUUUUCAAAGUUUUAAUUACUUUGAUUUGAUAAUCUAUGUUAAUAUUUAAUGUAAAUUUUUGUUACACAUGUUAUAGAAGUGAAACUCCAAUUCUAAUAAGGAGAAUAAUAGUAAAAUUUUGCCUAGAAUUACAUCUAAAAUGUGUCCUUUAUUUAUCACACUCUUUCACCCUUUCUUCACUUUUGAUGACCCGUUAGAAUGUUGAGUGGUGAUUCUGUGUAUGAUGGUGAAAAUGAAAUCUUUUUGUGGGUUUGACUUGAUUAGUGGAGUGGUUGAAUGAUUAUAAUUGAGUUUUGGAUGAUGGGUAUUUGUGUGGAUAGGAUUCAGCAAGGAAGACAUAAAGGUGCAGAUUGAGGAUGGGAAUAUUCUUCACAUCAAAGGGGAAGUUUGGAGAGAGGAGCCUCAAGCAAAGGAGAAGGAUACUGUUUGGCAUGUGGCUGAGAGAGGCACUGGGAAGGGAGGGUUCUCAAGGGAAAUUGAAUUGCCAGAGAAUGUGAAGGUGGAUCAGAUUAAGGCACAGGUGGAGAAUGGAGUCCUCACUAUAGUUGUGCCUAAAGAUGCAACACCCAAAACGCCUAAAGUGAGAAACAUUAACAUCACUAGCAGGCUUUAAGGUUUUGAAAUCUAGAAUAUGUUUCUAUGAAUAAUAAUUGAGAACAAGAAAAAAAAAAUGUGUUAAUGAUGUACUAAGGAAUAAGACAAUAUCGGUUCUUUUGUAUGUGUGUGUGUGUAUAGUGUCCCCUCUUUGAUUGAUAUGAACCUUGUGUAAAUUUCAUGUUACUUUGUUGAAACCUUGCUAAAUAAACCAAGAGCUUGCACUAGUCUAAAAGAUCCGAUUCCUCCCACCUUGAUCCGUCUGGAAACAUAAUUUGGUAUGGAAAAAAACCAGAUAUUAGAAAUGAGGCAUACUCUAUCCAACUAUCCAUCUAAUCAGUCAUCAAUAGUGUGAAUAUUAUAUUGGAGCUGUGUAAUUGGUAGCAAGUUACCAACUAGAUUUCAGAGGAACGUGAGGUGUGUGAAUAAUAGUAGAUAGAAAAUUAGUUUUAAGAGCCUGUUUGAUUUUCAGUCCAACUUGUAGUGUACAAAUUUCGAAUCAAAAUUCAAUAGUCCAUCACAAAUUGAACGCAAAAGGAAGGUUGUGAAUGUUUUGAUUAUUCAAGCAUGCACUAAGUCUCUGGCCUAUAGAUUUGAUUAUCAGUUGAGCUGAUACUGUGGGGGACUGGGGAGUACUGAUUUGGGCCUUUAAAAAAUCUUUUAUCAAUUUCUAUUUGCAAGCAUAAGUAGCACCAAAACUAAAAAUUAUGUUAUAUUAUUCUGACUUCUUAAUUUUAGACUCUAGAACUUUCAAAAAUCUUAUAUUUAUUGAUCAUUUUAUUUUUACAUACAAUUGCUUCGAUCGAUCAUAUUUUAGAGCUGUUAAGCCAUUUUUGUUACUGCCUAUAAGAGUAACUUUAAAGGCAAUUACAAAAACUAUUUUACUGUCAAACAACGAUACCUUAACAAAUUGUAUCAAUAGAAAUUAUUUAUUAUUAGGAAUUUAUAUGUAAGCAACAAUUUUUUAUAUAACUCUUUUUAUAUUUUAUAUUCAUAUAAGUGAGAAUGAUUUAUUUAGUUAGAAAACUUUAAUUUUUAUUAUGUAAAAUUUUCUUGAACAAACAGUAGUAUAAAAAAUAAGAUUAGUCUUUAGACGAGUGGAUUGAACAUCUAUGAUUUAUGAUUUUAAAAAAAAUAUAAUCCUCCUGACUUAUUAAGUGAAAAAAGUGGACUCACAUUGUAUAGUUAUUGAACUAAAAUGAGUUGCAGAAAUAAUUAAAUAGAGUUGUUACCUAUGCCAUUAGCAAGAUGAUCACCCCAAUCAAUCGCCUUGGGCCUUGUUCUGGCUGGGUUUUUUAAAAUGGACGAUGGGCCACAUUCUUUUUAUUAAAUGAAUAUGAAUAUUGUUUGCGGUGAAACGAAAAAGUAUCUAAGAUGGCUUAUCACUAGCAUCUUCCAAUCAGUGUUAUUAACAUCCUCUAAUCAUUGCAUGUCACUGUUGCCACCUACAUGCUUUUGUCACAUUGUUACUAAUAGUCUUUUGAGAUAUCUUUUAUUUAGUGGAUUUCUUUAAAGCUGACUUUGAUUUAGAAAAGAGAAAUAUAAUAAAUGAAAACAAAAGAAAUAAUUUGAAAAAAGAGAAAUAGAAUAUAAAUAAAGUAAUAUGUUUAUUGUUUGAUUUAAAAUAAAUAUGUGAGAAAUAGAAUAGAAAUAAUUUUUUUGUGAAUAGAAUAGAAUUUUUUUUUUUGUAAAGUUACUUUGUAUGGAUAAAAUAAAAAAUUUCAGGGUGUGUUUAGUUUGUAUUUUUAUUUUCUGAAAACUGUUUUCAUUUUUAAAAAAUAUGAAUUCUAAAAACAUAUUUGGUUUGACUUCUUGUUUUCUGUUUUCAAGAACUAAAAACACUAAAAAUGUGUUUUCAAAAGAAAAUGUAUUUUUAAAUUUGCUUAAAAUUGCAUUCCUUGCCACCGGAUUUUCAUUUUACCCAAAAUGAGGUUUCUAAUUUUAACUGAAAAUACUGAAAAUGAGAUUUUAUUGUUUUCAGUUUUUGAUUCAUUUGGGAAAAUAUUUUCACUGAAAAUGUUUUCAAAAAUCCAACUAAACGCAUUUUCAUCACCAUUUUCUAUUUCAGUGAAAAUGAAAACAGAAAACAAUCAAACCAAACACCUCCUAAUGUUUUCUGCACCUACAAACUAGUAACUUAUUUCUGCAUAAAAUCAUCCACACCAAAUUUUGAGACAACAUUUGUGUUUUAUUUUUUCCUCAUCAUGAUAUUAAUACGAAAUAAUUUUGUGAAAAGUGAUAAUUAAUUUUUGUUGGGGACUAUAAGCACAUAUUAGGUGAAUAUUUCUUUUCCAAUAUGAUUUAUUUCAUACUAAGGGAUCAAUCAAGAUUCAAAUCUUGAAUCACUCGAUUAAAAGAUCCAAGUUGCUACCACUUAUGUCAAUCAUUAUUGAUAAAUAAUAUUUCUGUUUGUAUUUUUUAUUUGUUCAACCAAAUAGAGCAUAAGGCUAAAAAACAAAUAGAGAGCCAAAUCCAACUCAAUUUUACAAGAAUAAAUUUGCUUUGAAACUAGGCUCAAGUUUAAUAAAUUUUAGUGGGUUUUUUUUUUAUCAUAAUGGGUCAUUUUUGCUAACUAAAUAUCAUUUUAAGUUGGUCUCUAAUGUACUACCUUUCGUUCUAUAUACAAGAAACAUAGGGCAAAUCAUCAAGACUAAGAAAAGUGGUAGUUACAUUUAAUACUAUCAUAAAUUUAAAUUUUGUUCUAAAAGUGUCAUUAAGUUUAAAUAUUGUAAGUGAUGAUCUCAUUUAAUGUUAAUACUCAUAAUCCAAUGAGUGAAUGCCUAAUAAAUAGAGUUAACAAUGAAUUAAGGGUAUAAAAGAAAUUUAACCCUUGAUAAGUUUGAAAACUAGUUAGUGUUUCUUAUAAUUAGGACCAAAGAAAAAGUUAAUUUGUUGCUUAUAUAUAGGACAUGAGGUAGUAUUUAUAGAGUGGGUGAUUCAAGCUACAUAGGAUUUCGAUAACCCUAGUUACACAUGGGUGGUGUCACUUUGCAAAGUGUUACCUGUUCAGGUGGCUUCAUCCAGUCAGACAUAUUUUUUCAAAAUAGUAUAGUCUUUCUAACUUGGAGGUGUUACCCUGCAUGGCUUCACACAAGUUUAAUAGAAAUAUAUUUUGGGCAUUUUUGGACUAUGUAGAAAAAAUAUAUUUAUAUACAAUUUUAAUGUUGUGAUUUGUAGAAAAAAAUAUAGUAGUAUAUAAAUUUAAUGUUGUAUAAAAAAUGUUUUAUUUAAUAAUUUAAUAGAAAAUAGUAUAGUUGAUGAAUAAAGUUUAAUAGAAAACUAUUUUGGGCAUUUUUUAGUUUUGUAGGGAAAAUGGUUUUAAUUAAAAAAUUUAAUAGGUAAAAUAAUUUUAUAAUAAUAUUUAAUAGAAAUAUUAUUAAAUAAGAACUACAUGAAGCCAAGCAUCACCUAUGUGAAACUAUGUAGGGUGGUGUCACCAAUUCAGAAAGGUUGUGCUAUCUUAAAAAGAAACAUGUUUGACUAGGUGAAGCCAUAUAGGGUGAUACCACCAAAUCACUAAGUCACCUAAACUAGUGACAUUUUGUAGAGUGACGUCAAGUAGAGAAGAGUUGACCCAUGUCACCAAAAUCCUAUGUGACUCGAAUCAUCCAUGUUUGAUAAAUACUUUUUUAAAAUGUUAUAAUAAAAGUGCAUUAUAAAAUAUUAAUAUGUAUUAUUAACAUUUUUCUUCAUUCAACACUUUUUUCAGCACUAUUAUUGUUUUUUAUUUUUUCAUAUUUUAUAUUUCUCUAUUUUUUCUUCCUUGUAUAAUUUUUUGGGCAAUUUUUAUGCAAAAAAUUCUAAUAAAAUAUUCAAAUAAUAGGAUUUCAAAUUGGUUAAAAUUCACCCUAAAUAUUUACUUAAUCCAAAUAAAAAAAUGGACAAAGAGAAAAUAGUAUUUAUAUCUUUUGGUUGUUUUAUGACUUAAAUUUGUUUAAGAUUUCUUAUAAAUAACUAAAUUUUGUUAUAGGCCUUUAAUAAAUUUUUAUUGUUUUAUAUUUCAAUAUUAAAAAUUUUGUUGAAUCAAUAUCAUCAAUUAAAUGAUAACGUGAUUUAAAUUUAUGUAUGGAUAAAGAGAUUAUAUCAUUGUUGUGAUUCUACAUAUAUACAUGUUGUCAUGUCCAUUAAAUACUAAUUGAAGGUUAUUGCCUUUGAUUCCAAAUUGGAUAAUCAUUUGACAUGCAAAGCCUACAACUUAUAUGACAUUAAAUGGUUUUAAUCUACUUUUUCUUUUCAACACGAGAAAACAAUUUAUAGAUAAGUAUAUGAUAAAUAUACUUAUUCAAUAAAUACUUAAUUAAGUUGUUUAUGCAAACUAACUCUUAUCUCUAUUUUAUGUUAACUACUGCAGAAAAUGGUUUGGUCUCCUCGAUCACAAUGAUUUUCCUAUAGUAACCCAACUCCACAAUCCAUAUAUCCAGUUAAAAUAGAUUUUCUAUAUUUACGCAUUCAUAAAUCAAAUUUGUUGGAUGAAAAUCAAAGAGUUCAUAUACUUCAAAUAUAUAUUAGUAAUUAAGUUAAAAUUGCUGAGAUGAAAUAUAUGAACCGUUUAAUUUGAUUCAGCCAACAAUUUUUAUUAGCUGAAUCUGUGAAUGUAAGAAAUCCUAAUGGUAGAGUCCUGGUGAGUAAUUUCUAGCCAAUAUUAAAGGUGUCAUUACCUGGUUAAGAAAACUAAUCAAUGCAUGCAGUGGGUAUCAGGCUGAAUAAAAAGGAACGAUGUGGAAAGAGUUAUUCCCCGGAGUUAAUAAAUAAAGCGUGUAAUGAAAUAGUAGUAUAUACUAUAUAUUGUUUGAAGUAACUUCAUCAAAUCAAACAACUAAUUAAGAUUUCUUGGUCCAUAAGAAUCGGUAUAUGUAAAGGCCAAAAAUCAAAAGAUUGUGAUUAAGAAUGGGGUGGUUCAUAUACAUUAUAUUUUUCUUCAUUAUACCUUGUGAUUAUAACAUGUACAUGCUUAUAAGAGGACAAGGCAAUGCUUACACGGAAACAGAAAUAAAGGGUUAUGUUUAUGUAAUGUCCAAAAUGAAGAACAAACAGAAAGCACUAAUCAGCAUCCACAUAUGUCAAAAAGUAUUAAUUAAUAGACAUGAGCAAAAUUAGUUUAUUUCUGUAACCAAAGAAGAAAUUAAUUUUCUUUCUCUUUCAUAUUCAAUUCUUUUCCUCCAACAAUAAAAUAAACGUCCAACAGGGUGCAGAAUUGCAGAUUAACCUUGCAAUUCAAUGCGCAUGUCCUUUCCUAUCCAACUAAAAGGUCCCUCGUGGGCUCCACCGAGGCAAAGUCAAGAUAUAUUUGUGUAAGGAGGUAGUAACAUUGUAGACUUAAUUAAAAUAAAGUCUUAUAAUAUAAAAUUUUUAUUAUUAUUAAUUGAUUAUAUUAUUUUUUAUGAUACAAUUAUUGACUUUCAUAAUAAUUGUUUAAUAUAAAAAUAUUAUGUACAACAUGAUAAUUGAUAAAAUAGAAAAGGGUGAAUAUCUAAUUUUUUCUCCAAAAAUGUAUAGUAAUCAAUUGAUUCUUGAAAGAUGAAAAAUAUAAAUUUAAUUUUUUAAUAUAUAAAAAAUAUGUUAAAUUAGUUUUAUCGUUAAAUUUAUAAAAUUAUUUUAUCAUUAAGUUAUAAUGAUAAGAAUUAAUUCGAUGAUAAGUUGUAAAAUUUAAAGAUUAAUUUGUUAUUAAAUUAUUUGUAGGAUUAAUUUAUUAUAUUUUUUUAUAUUCAGAAAUUAAAUUUAUAUUUUUUUUUAUAAACUAAUUUGUUACUACAUCAUAUUUUCAAAGAUAAACAAUGAAAGAUUUUAAACUCGGGACUAAUGAGACAAUUUAUUUAUAAAAAAAAAUCUAAUAAUAUAAAAGAGUGAGAAAAAAGAAAUAAUAAGUUCAAACACAUAAAAAUAGGAGGUGUAAAUAUAAAUUUUUAAGAUUAAUAUUUCUAAUUUUAUUAAAAUAAAGACAUACAUUUUUUAUCCUCGUUUCUAAAAAAUAAUUAAGGAGAUUCGACCAUAAAAUUAGGAGAUGCAAAAUAGUAAUACAAAAUUUAAAAAUAAAUACAUGUAAUUUUAUUAAAAUAAGAAAAUACAUUUACUCAUCCUCAAAUACAUAUAGUGCUGCCUCCGGAGAUAAAUUUGAUAAUUUAUCCAUAAAAAAAAAAAAAAAAACUUUUACGUGUUGGCAGGAGGAGAGGUAUUAUAAGUUAUAACGUUUAAGUUAGGGAAAGGCUUAUGUACUAACACUGAUAUGCUAUGAAAUGGCCCCAGUUGGCUGUUGUUAAAACGACAGGAACAUGGAGCCAACAUGUUACCUUUUUGUUAUUUGCCUUAACCAAUGUUUUAUCAACACGUGUUAUUCUCCAAAUUCCAAAUUCACCACCCAAUCACUUGUAACAGGCAUUAUGCCUAAUUGGUCCGUCGCACCGAAAAAGUAGGAAGUCAUAUUAUAUUGAAAGGAGUUGUCUAAUCUAUUUCAAAUAAAAAUGAAGUUAAACAAGUUCACAUAACAGUGAAUUUUUUUUUAUGUAUUAUAAAAGGAUUGGUUGUGGAUAUUAAUUAUGCUAAUUAAAUGUAAUGAGAUUUUUAAUUUUAUUUGAAGUAAAUUAAACAAUAAGUAAAACUUACUCAUAUCUAUUUUAAGUAAAGUCUUAAAUUUAAAUUUUAAGGAAAGAAAAUCCAUUUAAGAUGAUCGUUGAUAAAAUUAAUAAAUAUAAAUAUUAUGUACUGACUCAAAAAAUAACUUAUAUUAAUAAUAGUAAUAACUAAUGAGUUCGGUUCGGUACAUACUUAACAUAUAAAACUUUUUUGCAAAAUUAAUCACUUAUUAAAAUUAAAAUUAAAUUUUUUUAAUAUUAUAACUGUCAUUAGUAUAUUUUUAAUAAAACUUUUUGUCUGUUAAUUUUUUAAAUUUUCCUAACACUAAUUAGGAAGACGAACUAUUUUCCCACUCAAUAGCAACCAGUUUCGGCUAGUGGCUAACUGCUAACGCCUAACACCACACCGGCUUGAUACGACCCUACUCCGGAAAAAAGUGUUGUCAUCAUGAUAUUAUAAGUAUUUGACCAAUUGAAAUUGUUGUUAUUUUUAAUUUUUGAUAAUGUAUGGAUUAUCACUGUUGUAUGUAAAUAUUAAAUACUAAACUAAAACUGAAUUAUUUUUUUUAUUAUUUAUAAGACUCAAAUUUAAAAUGAUAUUUUUUAUAAGACUUAAUUUAUAAAAAUUUUGUAUUAAUAAUUUUUAUAUUAAAAAUAUCUCUAAUUUAAAAAAUAAAGAUAAAGAUAACAUAUUGACAAAAAAUUAAAAAAAAACAUUAAUUACAAGAAUAAUUUAAAAAAGAAAAAUUUAUUAUUAUCAAUUAAAUUAAUUAUUUUUUUAAAUCUUAAUAAAUUGAGUAAUAGAUUCUUAUAUAUAAGAAUACGAAGUAUCUGCUAUUUAAUAAUAAUUUUUUUUUUUGUGAGUUACAUAAGCCUAUUAAACUAUUUAUAAGUCUUCUGACUUGGACAACAGUUGCAUGAAUAGGGGGAUUUGAUUGAGAGGAAAAAAAAGUUUAGUCUCUGUCUAUUUAUAUCCUUCAUGACCAUUUCUGGCCAUCUUUUUUUGUUGCUUUUGGGAAUAGUCAAAUAUUAUCUCAUUAUUAUUAAUUCUUUUCAAAGAAAUAACUUACCUCUUACUUGAUAUGCAUUUGGAGCAUCCUUAAAGACAAUGAAAUAUUGAAUUUAAAAGCUUUUUUUGGAUGUUAUUAUAUAUAUAAAAACUUCAGAAGAUUUUUUUCCUCGUAUGUAUAUAUAACAAUUCUUCCCUAUAUUUUUUUCUUAUACAAGCAUGAUCUUAACUUCUCGAUUUCUCUAAAUAUCUAAUAUAAAAAGAAUCAAAUUAUUCCUAGAGUAACUCUAAGAAAAUUACUCCUUAUCAUCAUCAUUAUUUAUUUUUUAAAAUUUAAUAAUUAAAAUUAAUUACUCAUUAUAAUAAUAAGAUUUUAAAAAUAAUGAUAAAAAUAAAAAAUAACUCUCUUAAAAUUACUUUUGAAUAACUUGAUCCCCUCAUCUAAUUUAGGUACAUAAAAGGGUUUAGGUUAAACAUGAAAUUGGUGUAUCAAACUAGAAUUGUAUUUUAGAAAUAUUAUCUUAAUUCAGUUAAAGUUGGGAUUGUUUCAUAAACAUAUUUUUGAGUUAAACUUCUAUUCUAUCUUAAGUACUAUACUUAUUUUCGUGCUCUAACAAAAGAAUCUUAUAGCAUAUUAGUUGUCAACGAAGACUAUUAUUGCACUUAGCUGAAAAGACAAAAUCAUGAAUAACAGGGUAGCUUUUAUUAGCUCUUUCGUAGUGCAAUAAAGAAUAGUUUCAACUCUUACGAUGUGCCUCAACCACCACGAUUACUUCAUUAUCAGUAUUUGUUUUAUUUAAUAUUUAAAGGUGAAUCCUCAUUUUUAAAGAAAUAAUAAUACUUUUAAAAUUGUAACUAUAGUUUCUUCUUACCUUAUUAAAUUAAAAUACAAUAGUAAGAAUGAAGAAUCUCUGCUUAAAUUUUCACCUUAAUUAAUUUAUCGCAAUCUCUAUGCUUUGUAUUUCAUUGAUAAGAAUUAAGGAGUUUAUUAGUUAUUACUUUUUUACAAAUUUAUUAGUAUUACUUUUAAGGGUUUUUCUGUUGCCCAUGUAGAGACACAUAUUAAUAACAUUUAUCAUAUUAAUUAGAUAAAAAUCUUUUGGUGUACAAAAAAUAUUUUCACUUUCAUGUAUCAUAAGUAUAAAAUGAUGACAAUUAUUUUUCUCCAACUUUUUUUUAUUUGAGUCUUUGAUAAAGAUGAUAAUGGGAUGAGAUAGAUACAGGUAAUAGUUCUUUCAUACUCAUCCAUACUUAACAAGUAUAUGUAAAGUGAGUACUCGCGAUUUUAUAUAUAUAUUCACGGACACUAACAAAUAUUUGUAGAUACUUGUUAAAAUAAAAUAAAAAUGUUAUGUAAAAAUAAAUAAAUAUUCUUGAGACAUAUAUUUAUAUCAAAAAUAAUUUUAUAACAUAUAUUUAUAUUAAAAACAAAUUAAAAUGUUUUAUUUUAAAUAUACUUAAGAAUAUUUAAAUAGUUCUAAAGCGGGACAUGCUAUUCCAAAUUAAUGACUACAAAACAUAUAUAUCCUAAUUUAACGAGGGUGAGAAAGAAAUAAGUCUCUUAUAUCAUUAGAAUAAUUUUAUAUUAUAUGUUCUUUCAAUAAUAUAAAUGCAAAAUAUUUGAAUAAAUUUCUGGUUGCCUGAGAAAAUUUUUCAUUAAAAACAUUAAAAAUUAAAAAAUUAUGCAACAAUAAGACUUGAUCUAUUUUUUGUUUUAUCAAAAAUGUUUUUUAAUAAAAUUUAAAAAUACUAGUUAAUAAUUAAUGUAAAGUUGCUAUUCUAAGAGUUUUAUCAUCUUCGACGUAAACGCUUUUAACCUUUUUUUUUCCUAUACCUUUAACCUUUUCAAUGAAACGAAAGGCGAAAGCAAAGGUGAAAUGAGAUUUCCGUUGGUAGAAAUCUGUAGUAAAAAAAUAGUAGUAUUUCAUUAAGGAAAAAAAAAAGACCAAUUGCUCAAAAGGAAAAUGGCCCAUUACAAGAGGCAACGGAAAGGCUUAGUAGCUGCCUACUGGGAUUUUUGCCCCUUAAAUACAUUUUUUUUUUUUUAUGGUUGUGUAUGGGAUGAAGAUUCAAAAUUUUAAGAAAUUUAAGAUACAUAAAAAUUUAAUUAUAUUAAUUAAUUUUUUUACAAUAUUUUGUUUAGAGAAAAUGUUUAUUUUUUUGUUUGAAUUUUUUAUUUUAAAAACUACUUUAAUUUCAUAAUUUGUAAAGUUUUCUUUAUGAAUGUUUACUUUUAAAAAUGCUUUAAUAUAAAAUCUAUUUUUGACUGCAAUAAAUGUUUAUUUUAGUAAUUGUUAGUGAUUUACCAUAAAUGUUAGUCAAAACUUAAAAAAUGAAAAGAAAGUAAUUAGUAAAAUAGAAAAAUGUAUUAAAUGGAAUGAUUAAUUAUGCAUUUUUUAGAUAGCGAAUAAAUGCAAAAUAUAUACUUUUUUUUAAAGGUACAAAAUCAUAUACUAAGUACUUAGGAUUUUUAUUUUAACAUAAUUUUACGACUGUGAAAAUGCUGUUUGAUAAAAAAAAGACUGAAAAGAGUAAACAGUGAUAAUUUUUUAUUACUAAUAAAUAUGUAAAUAUAUAUUUUAUUGCUAAAAAAUAUAUUUAUUUAUAAAUAUGAAUUAAGAUUUAAGAGAGGUGUAAGAAAAGAAAAGUGGUGUAGAAAAAAGAGCCAAAGCAAUGUGUAGAAAAGAGUGAGGGAGGGGAGAGAUGUAAUUGAGAAAAAAAAGAAGAAAAAAAGAGAUAUAUGAAAGAUGAGAAAGGGAGAAUAGAGGAAAGAGAGAUGAGAGUAGAUAUUCAUACUAAGACAGAAAAUAAAGAACUUAAUUUGUUUCCGUUUUAAAAGAUAUUUAAAUUAUCUUUAUUUCACUUUAAAAAAAUCUUACAAGAUAUCCACCAUUUUGAAAAAUUGUCUAAUUUUAAUAUUCAAACAAGUCAUUUUACUACAUACUAGUCUCAAAUUCCGUUGAAAAAAUAAACUUUCAUCAAACUACACUACCAGUUAGUCAAACAGCAAAAAAAAAAAAAGUCCACUUUCCAUUUUCUAAAUAGCUAGCCUUAAUUUUUUUUUUAUAUAAAAAAGAAAGAAUUAAUCAAAAAAAAAAGAAAAAAAAAACAAAUAUGACACUCCACAUGCAUAAAAUUAGUUUUUUCCUGUACAGGAGAUCCAGCUCGGAGGCCACGCUACGAAUCAGAGGCAUAUUAAGUUUCAUCUGGACCACUCCAACAUGCGGGCCCGACUCCGAACCUUCCCCUUAAGAAAAAUUAAAAAAUGAUUUUGUGGUUAAAUUUAUGAAAUUAUUUUAUUAUUAAAUUAUAAUAUUCAAUGAUUAGUUUUACAAUAAAUUAAUAUCUAAUUUAAUUAUCUAUUAAAUCAAUUUGUCAUAUUUUUGAUCAUCUAAAUUUUCCAUAUUCCAGAGCAAUGAAUCACUUCCUCACGUUUUCUUUAAAUCUGAAAAUAAAACACCGGUCACCCGCGCGACACACCGGUCUCUCCUUGCACGUGAACGUACGCUACCACUUCCCCUCUGAAAAAAAACACCUUCGAUUCUCUCUCAUUUCUCUUUCUCGCAACAGAGGCUUUGCUAUAAUACGUGACACCCACCACCCACCACCCACCACCCUCCCCUCACGCCACUCACACCACUCUCUCUUGUUUUAGUUUUUAGUAUUUACUUUUUAUUUCCUCAGCACAGCAACACCUCAGUCCCAUGUUGUUUCAUGUUUGUUCCCCCAUGGCGCCAAUUCCCUAACCAACCACGACAUCAAUACCACCACCAAGCACGUUCAGAGCUUUUGGGUUCGAGUCCGAUAUAUGCAGCUGUCUUAAAUACUUGGACUAGAAUUAAACUAGAUUACCUCGGACGACUUGAACCACUAAAAUGAAGUCCGCGCGAGUCAAAGAAGCGAUUCUGUUAGUGUUUAUGUUUACUAUCUUAACCAUUGCAGGUUCGGAUCUAGCUUCGGACAGAGCCGGGUUAUUGUUACUCCGAAGCGCGGUGGGGGGACGCACUUUGUUAUGGAACGCCACCCAAACAAGCCCUUGUUCGUGGACCGGCGUGGUCUGCGCCAGCGGGAGAGUAAUCAUGCUGCGUCUUCCCGCGAUGGGUCUCUCCGGUUCGCUUCCCUCCGGUUUGGGCAACCUCACCGAACUGCAGACGCUCUCUCUCCGGUUCAACGCGCUAACCGGACAAAUCCCCGAUGAUUUCGCUAACCUGAAAGGCUCUCCGUAACCUCUAUCUACAGGGAAACUUCUUCUCCGGCCAAGUCUCCGAUUCGGUGUUCGCGUUGCAGAAUCUCGUGAGGUUGAAUUUAGGUAACAACAAUUUCAGCGGCGAGAUUUCGCCAAAGUUCAAUAGCCUCACUCGUUUGGCCACUCUUAUCUCGAACGCAACAAUUUCACUGGUUCGAUCCCUGACCUCGAUGCUCCGCCGCUCGAUCAGUUUAAUGUGUCGUUUAAUUCGCUAACCGGAUCCAUUCCGAACCGGUUUUCGCGUCUGGACCGAACCGCUUUUCUCGGAAACUCGCUGCUCUGCGGGAAGCCUUUGCAGCUUUGCCCCGGAACUGAGGAGAAGAAGGGUAAACUAUCCGGUGGCGCCAUUGCGGGCAUUGUGAUUGGUUCCGUGGUUGGUGUGUUGUUGAUUCUGUUGCUUUUGUUCUUUUUGUGUAGAAAAAAUAAUAGGAAAAAUGAGAAUGAAACUUUGCCACCUGAGAAGCGUGUUGUGGAAGGUGAAGUGGUGUCUCGUGAGAGUGGCGGGAAUUCAGGUUCGGCAGUGGCGGGUUCGGUGGAGAAGAGUGAGAUUCGGAGUAGUAGUGGUGGUGGUGCCGGAGAUAAUAAGAGUUUGGUGUUUUUUGGGAAUGUGAGUAGAGUGUUUAGUUUGGAUGAGCUGUUGAGGGCUUCAGCUGAAGUUUUAGGGAAAGGCACGUUUGGGACGACUUAUAAGGCGACGAUGGAGAUGGGGGCGAGUGUGGCAGUGAAGAGGUUGAAGGAUGUUACUGCAACAGAGAAGGAAUUCAGGGAGAAGAUUGAGCAAGUGGGGAAGAUGGUUCAUCACAACUUGGUCUCACUAAGGGGCUAUUACUUUAGCAGGGAUGAGAAGCUGGUUGUGUAUGACUACAUGCCUAUGGGAAGCUUAUCUGCUCUCUUACAUGGUAAUUGGUACCCCCAUCUUUCAUGCUUGGUUGUUGUUGUUUUUGGACAAUAGUGUCUUCUCUUUUUUCUCUGUCUUUGUGCUAAUUGCUUUCGUUUCUAAUUCAGGUGAAUGAAUGAUUGUGGUUGUUCUUGUGUCUACUCCAUGUUAUCUCUUUGGGUGACUACUUGUUGUUUUUAUGUUUCUCUAUGCUUUUGUUGUUGUUUCUUGUUCAGUUUUGUAAUGUACUGUCAUGGCCUAGUUUUCAGUUCUGCUAACUGUCUUGUCUAGAGUGUGCCUUCAUUUUAUCACAUUUUCUGCUUGUCGGAUUUUGGUUUACUUUUUCUGAGUUAAAAGGGUUUGGUUUAGUGACAAAAUUGAUGUUUGAUAUUCUAGUUUGGAUAUAUAAUGGACGCCAAUGCAUACUUGCACUAGAUUAUGUCCAAGGGAGAGAGAAUCUUGUAUCAAGAGUGAAGUCUGGUGUCUAAAAAAUAAUCUGAGAAAGCUGAAGUUUUUUGCCUCUUAAUUAGGUCUUCAGCUGAUCCUCAAUGUUCUAAUGGAAAAUUUGUCGUCAGUAAAUGUUUUCUUUCAGGAUUGUACUUUCUAACACUUAAAAAGUUAUUUUGUAGUAAUGUUGACUAUGUAAGGCUCCAGGAUUUAGUGAUUGGUUGUUAAAUUCUUCUUCACUUGUGAAAUGUAGUCUGAGGCUCAAAGGCUCUACUUCUGAUGAAAUGAAAAAUGUAGGCUGCAUUUGGUAAUUUGUAGUUGAAUGAAACUGCAAUGAAUUUGAAUUGGGAUGCAAUUUUUUUUUAAUUUGGAUGCUAUGAAGUCAAGCACCAUGAUCUGACAUUUUAGUCUUAUAUAUGUUUCUGUUUUUGUUGUUAUAGCAAAUGGUGGAGUAGGGAGGACUCCACUGAAUUGGGAAACAAGGUCUGCCAUUGCCCUUGGUGCUGCUCGUGGGAUUGCAUACAUUCAUUCGCAUGGCCCAACAUCCUCCCAUGGAAACAUCAAGUCAUCGAAUAUCCUUCUCACCAAAACUUUUGAAGCUCGUGUCUCUGACUUUGGCCUUGCUUACCUUGCUCUCCCAACCUCUACACCAAACCGUGUGUCUGGUUACCGUGCGCCAGAGGUCACUGAUGCACGCAAGAUAUCCCAAAAGGCCGAUGUCUAUAGCUUUGGUAUCAUGCUUUUGGAGCUGCUUACAGGGAAGGCUCCUACUCAUUCUUCACUAACUGAGGAAGGGGUGGACCUCCCAAGAUGGGUCCAAUCUGUGGUUCAAGAUGAGUGGAACACUGAGGUAUUUGACAUGGAGCUUCUAAGGUACCAAAAUGUUGAGGAGGAAAUGGUCAAGCUUUUGCAGCUUGCCCUUGAAUGUACCGCUCAAUAUCCUGACAAGAGACCUUCAAUGGAUGUGGUGGCAAGCAAGAUUGAGGAAAUUUGUCAUCCUAGUUUAGAGAAAGAGGAAGGGAAGAACCAUGAUUUUAAAGAUGCUGAUAAUGGAUUUUCCCAACAGUACUAUUCUGUUGACUCGGGUGUGUCACAAGCUUGAAUACAGAAUUGAAGAAAGACCCCUUAUAUCAUCAUUAGCCACACCCAAGCUUGAAUAUAGAAUUGAAGAAAUACCUCAUUAUUUCAUCGUUGGCCUGUUUUUGGUAUGCAUAUUACACAAGUGUUGUUUGUUUGUUUGUUUAUUCAUUUGAGGAAUUAUAGAAAACCAGCUGUGUAUGUCCUUUGUCUUACACUCUUACUACCUUUUUUUCUCCUUAGAUUUUGUUAUUCUGAAUCUUUGUUGGGGGUUUCUAUUCCCCACUAUAUUUACUACUUCAGUUUUAGAGGAUUAUUAUGCGUGAAUUUGUGAAUAAUUUGUUUGAAUAUAUCUACAUUGUUUCUCCCUCCUAUUUUUAGUCGGAUUGCGUUGUGUCUAGCAGUGAGGUAAAGUCAUAUAUUCUGGCCUAUAGUUUUUCAAUAACUGUGUGCCUAAGGUGGUGAGGGAUCGAGGUAGCUCUGCAUAAUAAUGUCAAAACACAUUUCUUCCAAUUUGGAGGUUUCAUUGACGCUAAUGCUAAGAAGAAAAGAAUCAGUUUCUGUGAUGAUCCAAAGUUGUUUUUCUUCAAACAAUCUUAACUACUCACCCAUCACAUUAAGAGGUAUAAUUAAAAAUACGAAUCAGCUUUUUUGAAGUGACAGCUAAGGUUCAAACUCGUUAAGAUAAAACUAAAGAGUAUAUCUCUCUAGGUUAUUAUUAGGCAGUCUAUGUUGACAAAACAAAAGUUCAUCGUGAAAUUAUUUUUUAUUCAACUAAUUUUUUGUUUGAAAUACAAAAUACAAGUAAAUUCAAGAAAAGCAGAGCAUGUAAAUAUGUAAGGAUAUAACGAGGACAAUGAAAUUUAAAUGUAGGAUCUCAUAAUUAAAUAACUUAAUGACAUUUGAAAAGGCAUGAAUCACCAUAUACCAAGUUAAAUUUCAAAUCUCAAUUAAAAAUGAUAUAUAUUAUUGCAUUAACAAAUUUAAUUGGUACUGAUAGUGGAGUCCAAUAGAAAGACCUAAUCUCAUAUAACACGAUGAAUUAAAAUUUAAAAUUUGAUUGAAAGAGAUAUUCACAUUUAAUGUUUAAUAGUGUCUCAAAUAAAAUUGUUUCAAAAAGAAAAUGUUUAUGAAAAAAAUUAUUAGGUUAAAAAUAUUUUAAAAUAUAUUUUUAAAGAAGUAUUACUUGCUUUCUUUUAAAAUAUUUUUGAAAGAUUUUGUAUAAUAAUUGGAAAGUUGUUAAAUGUGUUUUAAUUCCUAAAUAUACUAUUAUAUACACCAUCCUGUUUUGGCUGUGUUCUAUUCUUGGGCAACAUCUUUGUAUCUUCAAAUUCUAAGAUAAAUCUUGGCCAAAAGAAAAGAAAAGAAAAAAACAAUUAUAAUACAUCAACACCCGACCUCAGACCAUGAUAGAGAUAGAAUUUUCUGCUCAGUGCUUUCCUUUUAAGGCAUUUGUUCUUGUUCUUGGGAAGUUGACAUAUUCUUUGUUGCACACGUUUUUGAGUGACAAAGAGCAUUUAUGCUUUUAAAUUUUUACCACUGCCAAAAAAAAAAGUGCAUUUAAUUGCAUACGAAAAUGUUUUAUUAUGCUUCUUUUGCUUUUUGAUUCAACUUCAGUUUGUUGAAACUUAGUUGUAAAGAUUCUAAAGAAUUAUGCUUUCCAACUUAUAAUCUAAAAUUAUGCCAUCCGAGAAGAAAAAGAGAAAAAGACAGAUAAAAGUGAAAUCUGGCUUCGCUUCUGAUGCAAUUUUGAUUUGUUGAAACUGAGUUGUUUCAGUUAGUUUGGAAAGUGAUUAUCUGAGUUUAGUGCUAUCAAAUACUUCACCACAUGCUUCUACACAUGUUAUUUUAGUAGAGCAUGACAUAAGAAUUAAGGCUGUAGUGGAGGAGGUUGGGAAUAUAAUGUCAGGAAUUCGAAUUUCAAUACGCAAAAGAAAAAUAAAUUAGGUUAGAUAAAGAUGAAAAAAGUGGGUCAAAAAUUCAUAUGGUAUUUAUCCAAGUAUGCAUGGUUAUAUGUAGCAUUUGAAUUUUUUUUUUAAUCUUAUUUUUCUAUUUAAUAACAUUCACCGUCAGAAGACUAGGUUCCAUCUACAAAAUAUUCAAUUGAAAAUUAAAUUUUUGCUGGAUAAGCUUGAAAUUAUUUUAGGCACGUUGAGUCUCAAUUUCAAAGGGACCGUAAGGUCUGAAGUAGUUAACUGUCAGUCUUGGAAGCAAAUGUCUUACUCCAUGAACUGGACCCUUAAUCCACUACGGCCGAAUAAAUACUUAUAUAAGAAAAAUUAAGAAAAAUAUAAUUCUUAUCAAUAAACUAAAAUUAAUUUAUGUAUAACAGUAUAAGUCGACUUAUACAAGUUAUCUCAAUUUACUUUCUCCACAAGUUUAUUUAGUCAAACCAACUUAUAAAUUAUUAAAUUAACUUGUUAAACACACUAUAUUAUACACUAGACAGAAAACCUAGGUGAUGCACGGAAAUUGUGAAGGGACUAAUUUUUUGUCUGUAAAAAAAAUAUUGAUAAUUUUGUCAAUUUCUUAUAUCUUUUAAAAAAAAUACUAUAAAAAGAAAAGAAAACAAAGAAAUGAGCAUUUCCUGUUUCAUAUUAUGAGCCAAUGGUUAUCUACAAAUGUAGACAAAUAUUUUCUUUUAAUUUUAAUUCAAAUGCUCCAUUCUUUCAAAGAAAAAAAAAAGUUAUAUACCAACAAUGUAAAUUUUUUUACAUAAAUCAUUCAAUUUAUAAUAAUAAUAAUAAUAAUAAUAAUAAUAAUAAUAAUAAUAAUAAGUUUGUUAAAUUUUAAAAUGAUCAUCUUAAAAUAAUUCAAAACAAUAAUUUAUGACUAAAUGAUAUUAUAAAAUAAUUUUAUACACGUCUUUGUACCCUUAGUACAUAAACAUUAAAUUUUUUUUCAAAAAUAAUCUUUUCACGAAGACAUGAUUUCACUAAAAAAAUAUGUAAUAAAAAUAUAUUUCUAUUGUGUAAGAAAUGCAAACCUGUCAUUCCACUAUAUAGUUUUACAAAAUAUCAGAAAUUGAGUUUAAUUGGCUUGAUCUUAAAUGAAACUAGCAUAUAAGUUGAUAAAAUGAUAGUUCGUACUAACUUGAAUGAUAUCCGGUAUAGUACUUUCUAUUUAAGAAUGAUUUUUUUCUAAAACGUGGUCUCAACAGUUUAGCAUAAAAUAUUAUUCACACUCCCAAAGUUAUUCAACACACCUCCCUUUCCUUUUUUAUAUUUGUUAUUUUCUAAAAUGCCCUUUUAUUCAUACCUCUCCCUAAUUAUCCAAGAUGUUGGGAUGGAGGUAUCCUGAUAUAGAUCAGGACUAUGUGACUGAAUUUGGCUAAAAUAUAUGGCACAAAACUCUGCCGAGGAUGGCUUUAUAACUAAUUCUGAUCAUUACAAUACAGACUACAUUCGGGAAAUCUAUUCUAAUACUAAUGAUUGCAAGAAGAGCCAUAGUUUUUUUAUUAGUUUGUUGGCUGCUGCACUGUAUACAAUGCGUUUUUAGAUAAUGGAGGGGUAGGUUUAUUUAAAGCAUGGCUUGGAGGUAUUUUGAAGUAGACAAGGUGGGUAUAAAUAUGGAAUCUGGUUGCUCCGGUUGGCUGGAAUUCGAGAUAAUAAUUUAAAUGUCUUGAUGAAGUUGCUCCGGUUCAUCUUUGCCUUCGUCAUUAGCAACGAGUAGGGGCAGAGAGUUUGGAUAAUUAGAAAAAGUAUAAAUAAAAAGGCAUUUUGGAUAAUAACAAAUAUAAAAAAGGAAAGAAAUAUAAGGUUAGUCUAAUGGUUGAAGAAUGAUGAAGGAAGAAGAGGAAAAGGUUGUGAGUUCAUUUCUUCCAACUAACAUUUCUAAUAAAACUAAUAAAUUAGCAUUUGCUGAGAAAAAAAAGGGAGGUAUGUUAAAUAAUUUAUUGGUAUGAAUAACAUUAGUCUGCGACAUAAUGCAACUGGAUUUUCCAGCCCGAACACAUUUAUUUGGGCCUGGUAAUGAGUCAACAGCGUUUCAUUUCUUGUUUAGGCUAAGGGAGUUACUAUUUGCACUCCCACAUGUGGCUAAUACACUCUCCUUUUGAAAAUUUCCCCCCAAAAUAUCCUGUGCUUUAGAAAUUAAAAUACCACGGUGCUCCUUAUGCCGAUUGCCUACAUGGUUGCUUCUCCUACUACUAUCUUCGACCUCAAUUCCUCUCCAUCACCACUAUCCUCGUUGUCAUACCAAGGACUUCAUCUCUAGUUUUAUAAAGCACCAGUGCAACUUCAUCCCUAAAUCCAAGUACCUAUCAAAAUCUGAUAAAAAUCAUUUUUGUUUUCUUCUGAAAUCUUCUUGUUUCUCCUUAAUCUCCACCAUUGCUCAACACCCUCAUUAACCCAACAAAGAGGAUCAUAGAUCCAACUUAAACCUACAUCAUUAGAUCCAAUAACAAAGAACCCACUCUUGCUACAGUGACGAACAUGUGCUCAAGCCUCAAGGUGGACCUUUCAACAUCAAGAUAAGGGAUACCAUCAAAAGGGCCAAGUAGAGGGGAGUGCAUUAGUUUAUGAAAUAUAGGGUAUUUUGGGAAAAUAAAUUACAAAAGAGAGUGCAUUAGAAAUAAAGGGCAGUGUAAAUAGCAACUCCCUAGGCUAAUUGGUUGGGUUGAGCUUGGAGUCUGGCAUUAGAACCGGGACAAGUUAAGGUGGGAGAAAAAAGAAAAAUAAGCUUAGUCACUUAGUUGGUAAAUGUAAAUCAAUUGUUGAUUCUAAACCUAUUUUAAUGUUUUAUCAUUUAAUAAUCAAUAUCAAUUUGUUUCUAAAGCUAUUUACGCAUAUAAUAUUGUAUAUAAAAACGAAUUAAGGGAGAAGAUAUCACAUAUUUGUCUUCGUAAACAUGAUACGUAUUAAAGAUAGGAACAAUACAAUGACAUGAAAUUGGUGAGCUCAUAGAGAAAAUUUUAGAAAAGGAACUGCAUUUACACUUGACAACGACAAUUGUGGUGUGGCAAUUCCAUGAAGAAAAAAUGUUAGAGACUUGAGGGAUAAUACUAUGGUUCGGAGAAUCUCUGCUUUUGAGACAAUGGGGUCGACUCAACAAUUAAUUUGCACUACAAUAUAAUCCCAUCGUGUUAUUUUCCAAGUCAAGCUUCACUAUAAUAUAAAGUUUUAGCUAGUAAAUACAAUAAAACAAGAUGAUAGGAUGACCUUGUUAUAUCCUCUUGAAGGGAUGGAGAAUAUGAAAUGGGAAAAUAUUUCUUAAUCUUUUCAUGUUGGUUUGUAAGUCAACCUGUACUACAAAAUAUAAAUCUUUAAGUGGUAAAUAGAAUAAAAUGAGCAAUUGAUAGUACAUUUUUUUUCCUGCCACUAUGCAGGAAGUUAUGUAAGGAUGCUCUGUUUUUUUUUUUUUUUUUUUUUUGAAUAAAAAAGGUUAGGAGAUACAUACAAGUAUUGGCAGGGAGGAGUCCUAGACGUAGGCAGCACAAAUAAUCUGUAGCAGCAUGUGCUAUUCCAACUUUAAUGACACAUUUGAUCGGAUAUAGAUACGGAUAUAAAUAUUAUCUUACUUAAAUAAGGAUGAAGAUAAAAAUGAAUAUUAAAACCUUAAUAUAUAAUUUAUUUGAAAAUAUAUAAAUAAAUUUAAAUUAUAAAAAAAUGUAAUCCCAUAUACGCAUGGGCUAUUUCACUCCAUUCUUUAUUUUACGUUUUCUUGGGAAAAUUAAUUGCAAAUAAAUUUCAAUCCAUUUAAUCGAUCAACUCGCUAAAACCCCGUAUUUUUUUAUUUUUUUUUAAGUCAAAUUUUGCUUUGAUUACCCUAGUAAAGAUAUAUCAUGCAUCUGAACUCAAUAAAACUCGACAGAUAUGAGAAUAAAUAUUAAAAUUAUAAAUUCACAUCUUUUAUUUAUAUUUAUAUUGUAGCCGUUCUGUCUUUUAAAAGAAUGAAAACGAGAAGCAUCAUACUCAUCGGCGAUCCUCGGAGUUGCCAUCCCUAUUUGGAUGUGCUUGAAUUGCAUAUUUUCUGUGGACCGCAUCUCCUGCUUAAUCUAAUGCUCUUAUGUUUUAAUAGAUGUCGUUUUGCCUUUCCAAAUAAAUAAAAUGAGUAUGUUUGAUUAUUAUAUAUUUAGAAAAUUAUUUUAUAAAUUAAAACUGAAAAACUGAUUUUCAGAGUGUAGAAGUAGGGGGAGAUGAUAUAAAAAAUGUAUAAAAAAAAGAACAUGAGUAAUAGGAAACUGAAAUAAUUUAAAGAUAUUCUAUUUUUUGUUUGUUUUAAAACUCUAAACGAACGUAUUCAUUUUGAUUUUUUUUUUAAAUCAGAAAAUAGUUUUAAAAAUCAUGAAACAAAGAGGGCCUAAGUAAUAGAAUUAUCUGAUCAUAUUUUUUUGUUAAAAUUAUCUUAUCAUAUUUUAGUAAGAGACAGAGAAAACCAAAGUGAAAGUAAAUAGCAAAAUAUAUUCUCAAUUCUAUCAUAAUAUAAUAUAAAAUUUUAACUGAUAAAUAAAAUAAGAUGAAAACAGUUAUGUUACCAUAUCCUCUUAAUUCAAGAAAUUAUCCUGUAGAUUAAGAUUAAACACAAAAAGUUGUGUUUAUCUUAUGUCCAGCAAAAAAAACACCGUGUUUAUCUUAUCGGUUUAAUUAAGGUGUUUUUAUCAUUUGUAUCUUUGUCCUUAUAGAAGAAGUGAUUUUUUUAAUUUUUAUAGUUUAUAUUAAUUAUCUUUUAGUUUCUGUAGUUUGAAAAUAAUUUUAGUUUUUAUAAUUUGUAUUUUAAUUUUUUUUAGUCUUUAUAAUUUAUAUUUUAAUUCACUUUUAAUCCUUAACAUCAAAAUAUGAGUAAUAUUAUCAAUUCCAAUUAAUUAGAAAAAUAUUAGUAACUAAUUCAUAAUUAAUUUAUCGCAAGAUAAUAUGUAAUAAAAAAAUAAUUGAUAAUUUAUAAAUAAAAAAAUAGUUGAUAAUUUAUAAUUAAUUUGUAGCUAAUUAUUUUUAUAUAAUUUUUUGUAAUAAAAACUAAAAGAUAAUUAAAAUAUAAAUUAUAUAAACUAAAAAAAUCAUUUUUAAAUUAUAGGUACUAAAAAAUAGUUAAAAUAUAAAUUAUAAGGAUUAAAAAGACCACUUUUAAAUUAUAAGGACUAAAAGAAAAUUAAAAUAUAAAUUAUAAAUAAAAAAAACCACACUCAAAUUAUAAAAACUAAAAAUACAAAUAAUGAAAUGAUAAGAAACAAAUAAUUAAUUUAACUUGCUAAAAAUAAAAAUGGGGCGUAACGUAAGAGUGAAAUGAGAUAGAGCAGUAUGUAGAGUACAAGUGGAGAGGUUGAAACAGCGGUUAUAUAAGAAAAACAAGGUACUAGAAAAGACAGAGACAUAUAUAUUAUGUCGUAUUGCCAUCCUAGAUUCCAAUCCUUCCUUCCUUCACAUUCUAUUCUAUUUACCCUUUGUUGGUCCGCGAAGUUUCUUGUUUCCUCCAACAUAUAAUACCUCAUCUUUCUCUUUCAAUUUCUCUCUUCGCUUUUUUUUGAUUCACACACAAUGGGUCUCUGGGAUUCCUUCCUCAAUUGGCUCCGCAGGUAAACCUCUUAUCCACAAUACUACUAUUUGUUCAUUAUAUAUAUAUAUAUAUAUAUAUAUAUAUAUAUAUAUAUAUAUAUAUAUAUAUAUAUAUAUAUUUGUACUUAUUUGGGAUUUAUUAUCUGUGAAAUUUCAUCCUAAAUUUUGGGACAUGCUUUAUUGAUUGAGAUUCAGAAAAGCCUUAAAAGUUGAGCUUAGGUUAAUUGGUUUUAAGGGUUCCUUUUAAGUCAAGCCCUUUAAUGAUUGUGAGUUUCUGUUUGUUGGUUGUGUCAGCUUGUUUUUUAAACAGGAGAUGGAACUUUCACUUGUUGGCCUUCAGAAUGCUGGCAAGACUUCUCUUGUCAAUGCAAUUGCUGUGAGUUGCUGCUGCUGCUGCGUUGCAAUUUUUUACUCAAUUUAGAAACCCUGAAGUUCAGUUCUAGUAUAACUGUUAUUGACAUUGGUAUUUGGUUUUGUUUACCUGCAGACUGGGGGCUACAGUGAGGACAUGAUUCCAACUGUGUGUAUCUAUCUUUGCUUUUUGAUUGCAUCUUGAAUGGUUACAUGUUUGAAGAUUGUGAGCAUGUUUGCCUUUGUAAUUGAAAUAUAAUUCUUGGUGUUAAACCCAGGUUGGUUUCAACAUGAGAAAAGUGACUAAGGGAAAUGUCACAAUAAAGCUUUGGGACCUUGGGGGACAGAGGAGGUUCCGAUCAAUGUGGGAGCGAUACUGUCGGGGUGUCUCUGCUAUCGUGUAUUGUCUCUCUUACUGCUCUCUCUUUCAGCUAUAUAUUCGUGAGUGCAAACAUAUGUAUAUACAUUCACACACACACAUGACACAUGCAUAUCUUUCAUUGUGUUUUUUAAGUUUGGCUUUGAAUCAAAAGUUGCCAAUAAUCUUAGACUAAUAGGAUAUUUCAGUAUAGUGUUUUAAGGAUAAUGAUUUUUACCCCUCAAAAGUUCUCUCAAGAAGCUGGCACAAAAUUGAUUAUUUCUCCAAAAUAAGUUUGAGCCAAACAAAUACUGACUUGUAAUUUUUAGGUUUUAUAUGCUCUUUUUUUUUCUUUUUAACUUUUUAGUUUUUAGACUUCAAACAGGAAAUUGUCUGCAUUGUACAAUUUCAUUGGAGGUUUUUGUAAAUAGAGUUCCAUUUCAUGCCAUUUUACUUAAGAUACCUCAUACUGUUAGAGGGUUUUUUCUGGUUCCUUGGAGAAGUCUAGAAUAAUCAACCAUGUAAAUGAGGGUUUUAUCCUUACCCUAAGUGUGCAUUUGUUUGAAGAAGUAGUAAGUUAUUUUUAGGAAAGUGAACUUGGGAAUAUAAUAUUUUCAUGUUAUAAAUUUUUAAAAAAUUGAGCAUUAUUAAUUCCCUGGCAAGUGACACAUUCCAAGUCCUGUCUUUUUUUUAUUCCUGUGAUGAGGGAUGGCCGGAUGGCUAUGUUGCUUUCCCAUUCCUAAGCUAUCUUGUCAUCCAACCUCUGUGGCACUACCACUCCCCACUUCUACCACAGUCUUUAUCCCAUCAUUUGAAUUUUGCAAAACAUUUCCAAAAAUGUUACAAUGCUAGCCAAACAUUCAUAAGCAUAUUCUUUCAAAACACAAAGGCCUCCUAAGAUCUUUUUAGGAAUUAGGAGAAAAGGAAAAUGUUUGUGAAGCCUACUCUUAUAAUGAUUACCUAUUGCAAUGACUAACCAUCCUUUAAGUUUAUUUAAGCUAUCAAGAAAAUACUUGGGAACAGUUUUUAUUUACAUCAAUAAUAUGUACCCUCAUGCAAAUAGACUUUGGGAUUUAAGUGAGGACAAAUUUUAUUUCACCACUAACAUAUGCUGAAGCAUAAUUUGAUAUAAGAUGGAAGUAUUAAGAAUUGAACACCUGACUUACUCAUGGAAGAGGCUCAUAUGCCAUAUGAUGGUUCAAUCAUCCUUGAAGACACAUGGAUAUUGUCAUUUAUAUUGCAUAGAUCUCUAACAACAUAUAAUACAGGAUACUCACCCCAAAAGCAGUUUUUAUACUGUUGUCUUUUCCUGUUUAUGUUUCAAACACAAAGAAUGGAAAACGUAAUGCUUGGUUGUAUCAAAAUCUAUUGUUUCUGAUGAUCUAAUGGAAUGUUGGUCAUGCAUGCUUCAUCUUGUGGAGUGUUAUUAUAUAUAGCUCUUUCAAAUUAUUGGAAAUGUCCAUUCUCCUUGUUUUUACACUUUUGUUCUUUUCCUUGAUGGAUGCUAAGACAGAUAUGUUGUAGAUGCCGCUGAUAGAGACAGUGUUCCAAUAUCUCGAAGUGAGUUACAUGAUCUAUUGACAAAACCUUCUUUGAGUGCGAUUCCUUUGCUUGUUCUUGGAAACAAAAUUGACAAGUCAGAAGCUCUUUCUAAGCAAGCAUUGGUAGAUCAGCUGUGAGUUCUAGAUAUCAAUAUUGUCUUAUAUCUUUUUUCUUUAAAAAAAAAAAAUUGUCCUGAUGUGUUAUGUAACUAAUUGAACAUUUGGAUUUUCUCCUUGGUUGAUUUCAGAGGACUUGAGUCAAUUAAAGACAGAGAGGUCUGCUGCUAUAUGAUUUCAUGCAAGGAUUCUGUUAACAUAGAUGUAGUCAUUGACUGGCUAAUCAAACACUCAAAAACUGCAAAGUGAUCCUUGGUUUGGCCAGUAUUUCAUUUUUAGUCAAAGAUACAAGGCGUUGAGGAAAUUCCUUCUUGGUAGAAGAAUACAUUUUCAUUAAUUUAGUUGUGGUUCAAGUUUGUUUGUAUAGUAAUCAAACCAGGUCAGAUCACUCAAAUAUUGCAUGCAGUGUUCCUAUGUAUCAUAAACCGAUUAGUUGAUCUCGUACAUUUUAUUUUUUUUGGUUUCUAUUUUUAAUAAAAUACAAGUCCAACAAGUUUAUUUGUCUGAAAAAUUGAAUACUAUUGUGUUCCUUAUAUGGGGAAAAAAGUUAUAUCUUGAUGAAUGCUUCCCAAAUCACCAUUUGAAAAUGUAUCAACACUUGUCUUAGCAUUUGAAAGUAGCAAAGGCAUUGGAUAUUACUUGGCAAUCAAUUUAUUAUAUACAAGAAAGAUGGGCAUUAUUUAGAUUAGCGUGUGAUUUUUUGGUAUUUUUGUUUUUCGUUAUCUAGAAAAUAGCCGUGUUUGUAAGUUGUAACUUGUAACGCUUGUUUUAUAUGAUAAUAUGCAGCAGCAUAACAUGAGAAAUGACCUGUAUCUUUUCGGUUACAACAACAGUAAAAAUGACCAUUAAAUUACUGGAGUUGAAUGAUGAAUCUUUGGAAAUAGAAAACGCACAAAUUUCAUAUUGUGGUGUACAACUAUAGGGUUUUUCUUUCUAAAAUAAUACUAAAAUAAUAUUUAUCAAAAUAAUAAAAAAUAUAAUUACCAGUUUACGUAUAAUUAGAAAACGCCUAAUAAAAAGAUGUCAUUGCUCUUUUACAAGUUUAUAUUUUUGUUUUUCUAAGAAAACUGAAAAUGCCGACUUGUUAGGCGUUAACACCAUCUUUUAUAUUUUUAAAUAAAAAUAAAAAUAUAAUAAAUAUAAGUAAUGAUUAUAAGCAUACUCGUAUAUUAUAAUUUUAGUUAAAAUAUACUUGUAUCCUUCGUCUUAUUUUUAUUUUUUGGUUCUUUAAAAGUACUAAAAGAAUUGAAUUGGAGGAUAUAUAUUACAAGUUAUAACUUCACUAAAUAACUACAAACAAUAUCGGGCAAGUUAAACUUUUUUAACACAUCAUGGUGUAAAGUGAAAAAUCGUUCUUAGAUUGUCUCAUUGGUUAAUUAAGUAUGUGACAUCAUGACAACUUAUUCUUUUAUUUUAUUUUUAUAUUUAUGAUCAAGAAGCCUUAUUGAUAAAUUUGUGAGAUCAGGUCUCGGGUGAUAGGUGAUGGAUAAGGGAUGUCUUCCUUAGAAUAAUAAUUUCAAUAUUUGAACUCUUAAUAUUAUAAGUUUAACUGCUGUAAAAAAAAAUAUUAUAAGUUUAACUUAUAGUUAACUUUUAUUGGUAUUAAUAAAUAGUACAUGAAUUGAUAGUGUAAUAAAAAUUACAUUAUUAUUUAAUUAAAAAUUAUCAUAUAUAUAAUAAGUUUAUUAACUUUUAUAAUGACUCUCAUAAAAUUGAUAUCAAUAAUGAUUUGAAAUUAAUUGACAGUUUAAAAACUUUUUAUGCUCAAGGUACAUGCAUAUUAAUUUUUUAAAGUAUGUGACAAGUUGGAAUGCAAUAAAUAGAAUACAAAUUUUUUUUUUGAAGAAAAUUAAAUUUAUAAUAGCCUGAGUAAAAGAGAGAACUUGAUUUAGAUUUUUGUUAUACUUAGUAAAUUUAAACUGAUGUUUACUUUACAAAUUUUUCCAUAAAGAGCUUUUUCAUAUGGACCGUAUAAUCGCCCAUAACCCAUUAGAUAGAUGACUCCAAACCAAUUUCUCAGAAGGCCCACGACUUCUUGAAAAAAUAAUUUUGUUUUAUCUCAUCUGAAGGUUAAAAAUAUCUAUUCUUUCUAUGUAUUGCUAAUUUGAUUCAAUGGUCAUUAUUAAUUCAAAUAUUUAUUUAUUUUUAUUUGGUGGACUAUGGCUAUUGCCCAGCUGCCUGUGCGUAAUUGUUUUUGUUUGGCCACUAUUAUAAAAAUUAAAUGAUAAAUACAUAUAAGUAUUUUUCACAAAAGGUUUCACUAAACAUGAAAGUCAUGGCUGGGAUUUUUUUGCCAAUUACUUUCUAGCAGCCCUAAAAAUAUCAACUAUUAAUUCCUUUGUGUAGACUUUUGUGAUAAAUCUUUGUCUUUCAACCACUAUUUUUUAUACUAAAACAUGUUAAUUAGCUUAUUUCUUCAAUAGCGUCUGCGUUAUGCUAAAUUAUUAUACUUCCUUCUCAAAACUAUUUUUAAUAGAUGAUGUGUUUGAUUGAAUGCAACGUUUUUGACGCAAGUUUCCCCAAGCAAGAAUUGGAAUUUUCUAUAUAUGCAAUGUAUGAUCGAAAAUCCGUGAAAUAUCUUUGAGAAAACCAAUCAACGGAGAAGAAAAAACAUCACCCUAGGCAGUAUAUAUAUAUAUUUUUUUUCCUGAAAAUUUCAAGUAUACUUUUCCUCGUUGAAAAUUUUGUGGAUUUGAGAGAAGCACCUGUUAACAUUUGAGUUGACCGUGAUGUCAGCAACGUCAAAUUUUAAACUUCUUGAGGUAACAAUUAUGAUGUAAGCGUGAAGUGUCACGAAUAGAGAAAUUAGAUUAAAUUAUAUAGAUAGACGAAAAAAUACACAUAUAAUAUAUUAAUAACUUAAUACUCAAUGAAUAUAAUUCCGUUGACAAUACAUGCACUCUCACAUUGGACUAAAAAUCCUAAUUGGAUUGGUUGAAAAAAAUAUUAACCACCUAAUUACCUAAUAAUUGACCGAAUCACAAUUGAGAUUUUUGAUUUGUACGCUAAGAGCUCUACACGCAUGCACUUGUUUGUCUAAAUGUGUCAAGUACUUUAACAGUGCCGAGAGGAAGUUCAAAAGAGCACGUUGUCCUGUAGUUCUUUCUUUUCUUUCCCUCAUAGUUGUGUACAUAAUUAUUUUCAAUAAAUAUUAAUUGCAUUAGACAUGAUGAUAAAAGUUUCCAAUUAGGCACAACAUAUUUUGAAACCUAGCUAGUUCCAUGAUACUCAAAAUUAUCGCUCGUUAUAGUCAAGAAUUUAUUUAUUUUGUUGGAUGAUUUUGAAAAUCAUUGUUCCCAUGGACUUUGCGACUCUUAUCUAAGAUUUCAAACACUUAUUAACGUAAUAACACAGGCAUCAUUUCCUCACUAUUGUUGUGUAGGACAAUUAUGUCUCUCACUGACAUGUGAAAGGGCAAAAGAGGAUCGGUGGUUGCAUACACCAGCCACACGUUAGAAUGAUCUCAAAAUUUAUAAUAUAAAAUGUUAAUAAAAUGAUUUUAAAAAAUUGUCUAAAGUUCAAAGUCAGUACUACAUGACUUAUUAGGUGGCACUACGCAGGUAAGUCCAAGAUGGGUAGUUGUUGUUAUACGUCAAGGAUUUAUACUCUACUGAGAGAAUUGAAUAAAACAUAGAUCUUACGAAAUCGAAUUAACCCAGAAGCAGUUUUGUCAAGAAACCAGGAUACAUGCAUAGAAAGAGGAUACGUACAAAUCCAAUUUUUAUGCCAUUUUUAUACAAUAUAAAAUGUUUUUAUUCAUCAAUUUUAGUUUAUAUGGAGUUAAAUUUGUACCCUUUUUGUUGUUCAUUUUUAAUACUUCUUAAUUAAGGACUAAAAUUCAUAAAUAAAAAUAAACGAGGGUAUAAAAAUAAAUAAAUAAAUUUUAAUAAUUAAAAUCUGAAACCUGAAAUUGUAUAGAGACAAAACCUGAUUUAACUGAAAAAUUGAAUAAAGCAUAUAUGUUAGGAAAUCCAACUAACCAGCAGCAGUUUGGUCCAGAAACCAGGAUACAGAAACAUAUAGGAUAGGUACAAAUCUAAAUAAAAUAAAAUAACGGUCUUCUUAAUUAGUGUUCUGAUUUUUAUUUUGUUUUUGAAAGAACUAGUGUUCUGAUUUAGAGAUUAACAAUAUAAUUUUUUUAAUUAAAAUUUUCCUUAAGUAUGUACUGAAAGUAUACUGAGAUGCAUUAGUAACACUUUUUAAUGUACUUUUUUAACUAUUUUUUUUACGGUAUAAUGAGAAGUAGUAGUAACUUUAUUUUGUUUCUUUAAUCACAUUGGUUACUCUUUGUCAUUAAAAAAAUAUAGAUACAAAGAUGAUUUAGAUGGAUAAAAACAAGUUAGUGAAUGUCCCCUAAACUUAUUAUACCUACACAAUCUUGCUGUUAAUUAACAACUCAAACUCGGAGAAGAUUUAACUUGGGAACCGGCUGCUAGAAGAAGCAGGACUAAUCGUCAGUUAUUAAAUACAUAGAUUCUUCCAAUUUGGAGACACAACUUGAUUUUUGGGACCUAUGGUAGAGAACUGAAUCGCUAGUGUUUCGUUAAUUAAAGAAUGAUCAUGCAUAAAUUAAAAAUGAUGUAUAUCAUAUCAUUGGAAGGAAACUCAACAAAUAAUAAACAAAAACAGAGUUGUUAAUGGAGUAAGUAAAUGCUAUCGGUUAGAGAAGGUUGAUUUCAACAUUAAAAAUGCUUUUUUUUUUGCCAAAUCGAUCAAUAAAUAGUGAUAAUGUAUGAUCAUGAUAAUCUUCUAGGGAACUAGGGAAUGAACGGUCAAACACAUUAUUAUAAUCAUGUGUCCUAAUGGACCGUAGAUAAAUAUUAAUUAGAAAUUUAGAAUUAUAAACUUCGUUGUUGACAACUAUGAACCUUAUGUGUAUUUUUACUAUUUUGGUAUAACUAUUAAAGAUGUGUUUGUACUUUGUAUAUCAGUUGAAUUAUUGUGUCUUAUUGAUAUCAAGACAAAUUUAACAGGUGAAGUUGAGUGUUGCAUGAUUUAAUUUUGAGAAACAAUUCAAUGACAAUGAUAAUUUCUUGCCGUGCUCAAACGUGAUUUGCUUUGCUCUCUAACGGAUAUUAGGUGCCAUUUGUUUAGGGUUUGAUAAAAUUAAUUUUCGUUGUUGAAUGUGAUUCAGAUCUGAGAUAUAAUUAUGUUUGAGUCGGUCGGUGGAUAGAAUUAUUAUGUAUGGUAAUUUUUUUUGAAUAUUUGAUAUAAUUAUAUAUAUUUAAGAUUCGGAAUUAAGAUUAUUGUUUAAAUUUUAAAAAAAAAUUGUUUAAGAAUUUUGAGGACGAUGUCCCUACACUAUAUAUAAGGAUACAUGUUUAAGAAUUUUUUCCUUCUAGCUAUAAUUUUCCAACUUUCCAAAGUGUAUAGUUUCUGCCCUCCAUUGACCUUUCAUUGCGCAAGCAAUCUUUCAAUAUAAUUUUCUCCAAAUUAAUACGAGUCUCUUCACUAUUUUUUUGGAUAACGUUAUAUAUAUGAACAUGGUACUUCGUUUUCUGAAUCAUUUAUCAAUAUGAAGGAUAUAUUUAAGUAGAAAAAGCAUCACUCUUCUUUCGGGAGUGAAGCAACAAUUUGGAUAAAACAAUCACAGUUGAGUCCAUUCACCAUAUAUACAAUUAAGACGAUGCUAUUAUCAUGACACAAUAGUCAACAGCAAAAAUAGUUUGCAAAUGUCAAAUUCAAAGGUUGCUACUACUCUCUACUGGGUUGUUGCUGUUUCAUUUUCUCCAUCCCCUCAAAAAUAGCCGGCAGAUAUACUUACCUAGGCAAAUUCAUUCAGUCACCAAGACACACAAAUAAUAAUAAUAAUAAUCGCAUAUACCUCUUUGAAAUAUCGAUCGAUCAGCUAUGAACUCAGAAUAAUAUAUAGAGGUUACACACUAAAAGAAAAUAAAUUAAUUAACAAAAUAUGCUGUGAUAUAUAUAUAUAUAUAUAUAUAUAUAUAUAUAUAUAUAUAUAUAUAUAUAUAUAAUUAUAAUUAAACCUGUAUCUUAGUGUUAGCAAUUCUAUUCCAUGGGGGUUGGGGAAUUCAUUAUUCAUGAUAUGACGUGACUACACAGUGAAGAAUGGCAUACUAAAAUACCUUGUCAUUUUAUUAAUCAUCUCUACAGGGAUAUCUUUAUUUUGUAGCUAUUUAUCAUCUCUAUUCAAGUUGCAGUCAGAGAAGCUUAAAAACUCCAUCGAGUAUUAAAAUAUACAGUUGUAUUUUCAGGUAACAAACAUAGGAUUACUGAUGAAGAUUAAUCAGUCUCUAUCAGCUACGUCCUCCUUGGUUUGAUUAUUAUAUCUGAGGUUAGAUUUAAAAAAGUUUAUAGAUAUAAAGGUUACUCAGGUGCAUUUAUUUUCUUUAUACGUAUUUUAAUUUGAACACGUUAUCAAUUCGUCAUGUCCCUGCUAUCUCCCUUAAUUUCAUGUCAAAAAAGAAAAUUUCAAAAAAGUGUAUAAAGUACAGUGUAAUUAGACAAAAUCCCAAAAAUACACCAACAAAAUCUCAAAAACAAAAAGAAAGCAACAAAAUCUUGAUUAAGUGUCACAAUAUUCAUAGGAAAAUGUUUUAGUUAAGAUGGAAUAGAAACUUUUAUUUUAAAAUAUUUAUUAUAUAAAAAGAUAUGUGCUUAAAAAGUAUUUGAUAAAAUAUAUUUAGUGUUCCUUAGUCAUCCACUAGUUUUGCUGGAUACUUGUCCAGAUUUUCUCAAUGUUUUGUCACAAUUGAUGCUGUACGUAGGAGCUGUGUUCCUUCGUCUGUAAUCUUUUUCUUUAAUUUUCAUACGGAUAAAAAAAUACUUACAAUACUUUUUUUUUAUCACUUUUACAAUUUUCAAAAAUAAAAAAGAAUGCAGUAUUUUAUAAUUUUUCAUAAAAAUUAAACAUAAUAACAUUUUCUUAAAUUAUAUACUGUUUGGCUAUUUUUUUUCUCAACGUAAGUAUUAAACUACGAGAGGCUCAUGCUGUAUGACACACCAUCGUUGGGUCGCUCACAAAUCCUAAGUGGCUGUUUCUAUAAUUUUCGUAAUAGAGUGGCAAAAGGUCAAACCUUAUUAUGAAUACGUACAAAUAAUCUUUCAAGACCUUAAUAGAAAAAAAAGAAAGAAAGAAAGAUACAUAUAAAUGUGAUGUGAGGAAGCAUGACUAAGGUUGGUUUUGAUAAGUUCUUUUUCUAAUUACAAGUAAACUUUCAAAAAAAUUGUAAUGAUUGAAAAAGUUUAUUUUAACCCACUAAAAUUAACUUAAUGUGAUAAAGUAGAGAUAUAACAUUGAUCUAAUAAGUGAGAAAGGAUAAAAAAAGGAAAGAAUUUGCAUGUUCAAAUUUCUCUAAUAAAUAAUACUUUUUAAUAAAAUUAUUAAACUAACAAGCUACCAUUUACUGUUUUAAAAAAAUUGUGAUAAAGUGUUUAGGUAAUACAAAGUUUUAAGUUAAAAUUUUAUGGUUGUCAUUGCAUAAAAAAGAAUAACAUUAUUUUAAUGUUGUAUAUAUAUUUUUUUUCAAAAACAUAACCGCCUACUUUAAUUUUAAAACUACAUAUUCUUAUCAUCUUUUUAGAAAAAUUAUCCCAUAUAUAUUAUGAUAUUAUGGAAUUUUUUUAAUUUUGUUAUUAUACAUCUAAAUGAACAAUUUUUAUUUUUGAACCAAAAUAUCCAUUAAUUGAGAGCUAAGAACUAAUCCUUCAAACCAUUAAUCACAUAUUUAAAAGAUAAAAUUACAAUUAUGUUACAAUAAUUUAGUAUCUAAAAGAACAAUUAAUCCUGCACCCUUUUCUUUUGUUGGCAUUGAUGGCCAAUCUUUCUUGUUAUAUGUAUAGGUGUUAGCCCUCCCAUUUGCCGCUUAAAAAAAUAAUAGUUGCAAAUUUUUUGACAAUAUUUUAUUAAAAUUUGGCCUAGGUCUAACAUUUUUUAUUUUCUAGCAAGGGUAUAAUAGAAAUCUAAAUCGGAAUAUUCAAAUUUCAAACUUCUGUUUCAUUGACUUGAUGUUUUUAUCCAUCCAAAAUACUAGUUAAAAACAAAUGAUCAAUUUCCCUGUUUCUGUCCCUCUCUUGUUCUCACUUCUCACCACGUUCACACAUUGGAAGUAGUAGUAGUUAUAGUUAUUAUAAAUUGAAAAAACGUCCGAGAAAAAAAAAGAGAAGAGACUUAUGAUGUGUGUAUCAUUUGCGGUAAUGUCUUACUUUUACUUAAUACUCUUACCAUCCUCAUAGUCAUAGCCAUAGGUUUGAGUUAGUGAGUGGAGUAUCUCACGCUUCCAUCACAAGCAAAGCUGGUGGACGAGGUGGUGCUUUCUGAUUGAGACCCGGCACGUGCCUCAUCCCCAAUGCACACGUGCCCAUUUUAAACACAAAUCCAUAAUAACCGAUAAAACAAGAACAAUACAAGAAAGUAGUAUUAGAGAAAGAAAUAGUAUUGAAUAAUGCACACAAUUUUGUUCAUCAAUAAAUAAAAUAUAAAAUUGUGAUAGUGGGAUUUAGGACUUUUAGCGACUUUGAAGUUUAGAGGGGUUGAUUUCUAUAUAUAAAUAAGUUGGUGGUGGUGCUCUAUCCUAACUUGUGUGCAUAUUCAUUCCUCUUGGCUCCCUUAAACUCUCUUUCUCUCUUUGUGUGUCUCUUUCUCUAUUUCUGAGUCUCAGUGUUAGGGGGGUUAUUCAUUAUUCAUAAUAACUUGGCUUUAUAGCAUUUUCCCUUUUGAUAUAAAAUGGGAAGGCAACCUUGUUGUGACAAAGUUGGGUUGAAGAAGGGGCCAUGGACUGCAGAGGAGGAUAAGAAGCUCAUAAGCUUCAUCCUCACUAAUGGCCAAUGUUGCUGGAGAGCUGUCCCUAAGCUAGCAGGUCUCCUCAAUUUAAUCCUUAAUUUCUAGCCAUUCAAAUCAUUUAUGAAUAAUGAAAUGCCACAGUUUUUCAUGCUUCAUUUGCUAUUUGGUUAUGAAUAUCAUUAAAAUGGUUCAACAAUAUUUUGCAUUAUGGUCAAUUGGUUUUGUGGUCUUUCUUCAUGGUUCCUCUGUUCCGCAGCUCCUUUGAUUUCCAUUCUGUCAAUAACAAUGAAAUCAAGCACCACUCAAAAUUGUCAUACUCUUUUCACCUUUUAGUUAGAACUAAUCUUCAAAACAUGUUACAACAAAAGUUGAGCUUGCAUGUGUUUCUUAUGCCUUUUUAUUUGGAGAAAUCAUAUUUUUUUUCCCUUGGCUUCGUAGAUUGAGUGGAGAAAAUAAUCUUCAUGUUUGUUCGUUUUGUAAUUUUGAAUAAAAAUGCUAGGCAGAAACAAUUACUUCACUAAAAUUAAAUUUAACAAUUGGAGUGUGACUUCAUGCAGGGCUUUUAAGGUGUGGGAAGAGUUGCAGGCUCAGGUGGACAAAUUACUUGAGGCCAGACUUAAAGAGAGGUCUUUUAUCAGAAUACGAAGAAAAAAUGGUCAUUGAUCUUCAUGCUCAACUUGGCAAUAGGUUAUUUCCUAGCCCACUAUUUUCCCUUGUUUGCUUUUUCUGCAUGUAUAUUUUUCCUUGAAGAACAUUACUAAUAAUUAUAAUCAGUGAUUGUUACAGUGCUUAUUUGAAAUACUACUAGACUAGGCUUAUCUCAGGAAAUGAUGAAAAGCUCAAAAGAUAUCUUAAGUAUCACCAAACGCACCAACCUAAUUGAAUUUAUUAUUUUCAUAAUACAUACACCCCAAGUUGUAAUUCUUUAUUCAUCUUAGGGAAAAAGACGUGGUCCCAUGUCUCAAACCUGGUAGGGAAAGGAGGCGUACAUAAAUUGUAGACUAAGCUCUUUUAUUUUCAUAUUAUUUUUCCUUUUUUCGGGAUUAAAAAAAAAACUUCUCAUGAUUGCAGUUAAAAUUGACUAAAAUGGAAUGUCAUUGACGUAGAAAAGUAAAUAUGGGCCAAAUUUGUCUUGUGGGGAUUUUUUUUCUGUUUUCGUAACUUGCAUGGCAUAUGGAGCAUUUUAGUGGCUAUUAAUUCUUCCUUUCAAGUGAUCUCCGCAUAGACCUUAUGUUAAUGAAGGAAUCUUUGUUUCUUUCGCGUGUUUUCUUUUGUAAUCAAUACUGUAUAAUACUAUAUAUUAUUCUACUAAGGCAAAUGUUAACUAAUCCACCAGUUAAAAAAUUUAAAAUAAAAAUAUUUUUAUUAGAAAAUAUAAAAUUCUGCUAUUCAUAAUUUUUUUCAUGUUUUUUUAUGACUUUUAGAUUAAAAUUCGGUUAGUCAUACUCUUUUAUUAAUUAUUGAUAUUUUUUUCUUGUCAUUUUUUUUUUUACUCAGAUGGUCUAAGAUUGCUUCUCAUCUCCCUGGAAGAACUGAUAAUGAGAUAAAAAAUCAUUGGAACACACACAUAAAGAAAAAGCUCAAGAAAAUGGGCAUUGAUCCUGCCACACAUAAACCACUUCCUAAUGCAAAUGAACAAAACCAAAAUCAAACCAGACAAGAUCAACAACUACACCACCAACCAGUAGAAUUAGAAGAGCCUAACCAACAACCUUUGCAAGUUGACUUUGACCCCAAAGUUGACCCAAAUAAGGAGCCAGAGAAGCCAGAGACUUCAUUGGAAUCAUCAACCAUCACUGAAGAAGCCAAAGAGGAAGACCAAAUCAUAACACCCUUAUUUGACACAAUGGAGCUAAUGAAUGGUUUCUGCACAGAUGAAGUUCCAAUAAUUGAACCUCAUGAGAUUCUAAUGCCUUGUGCUCCUUCCUCUUCAUCCACCACCUCUUCAUCAUCUUCUUCAAAUUCAACCAAUUUUCUUGAAGACUUGCAGCUACCAGAUUUUGAAUGGUCUUGUAAUUACAAUGAUAAUAACACUAUUACUAACAAUAACAACAAUGAAGACAAAGACGACGACAACAACAACAAUAGCAGCAUGGCCUUGUGGGAUGAUGACAUUAUUGGCAACCGUUAUUGGCUGAUUAAUGAAGAUGAUGAUAGUGAUGAAAACCAAGUGUUUGAUGCUUCUCUCACUCAAUUCUCAAAAAUGUUCAUGGAAUCAGAAUCUUGGGGAUAUGGCUUAUUUUGAUUUGAAUUUUCUCCCCAUUAUUUGCGAUUUGCUUCUAAGUUUUUACGAAGAAUAAACGGUUAAUAAUUUAUUAGGAAGAACACAACUGUUGUUUAGCAUUACCAACUUUUCACUUUAUCAUUUACACAAAUUACAUGUAAUAUGUUAAUGGAAAUAAUAAGUUUCUUUCUUUGCAGUAAAAGUAAAAGUUUCUCUCUUUUUUUUCUCUGUUUUAUUUUUUUAAUUCAAUAGAUAUACAUUGUUAAUAUAAUAAAUAUUUUUUAUUUUGUUAAUUAAUAACAAAUUAUUUUUCUCUUAUGACUUAUUCUCAUUAUUAUUAUUACUCAUUGUAGUCUUUUUCUUACUAGCGCUUUCUGUUUAUUUCUUUUAUUAUGAAUCGGAUAUGAAAUUUUCUUGCCACUCAUGUUGGUUUGUUGUUCUAUUCGGUCGAAGUCAUUUUUUUACUUUUUCAUUUUUUGGUAUAAUUGUUGAGGUGGUUCUAAUGCUAGUUUCAGAGUCCUUAUCUUUCAAAUAAAUAAAAAGUCCUUAUCUUCAUACAACUAUAAAAUUCAUGUUUAUUUUAUUUUAAGGUUUUGUUAAGCAGACUCCUUUACUUAGAAAUAAUAAUAGAUUAUUUUUAUUAAAAAUCAUGUUAAGAUUUAAGAAUACAGUAAUGCAUAAAUAAUAUAUAUCAAUAUUUUUACCAAUAAAAUUGUUUAGUUUUUUGGUGGAAUAUGGAAUACAAAAAAACAACUAAAAUCCACACGAUAAACCAACAAAGGAAUAAUCAACUAACAAGAAAACAAAGAUAGAAUUUAGGACAACAACAAAAUCUCUUUCUGUAAUAUGUAUGGAUAGAAUGAACUUGGCGAAGGCAUUUGCCACCCAUUAUUGCAAUACUGCAUACUUUGAGUGAUGGAGUUAUGGCAAGACAUUCAAAGCUGACAUCCAUUAAUUGUGGAGGAGAUUUAGAGUCACAAUUUUGAAUUAUAUUUGACAUGAAUAUUUCUAAAAUCACAGCUAAGUCAGGUAAAUCCUCCAAAAAUCUAAGUGGGUUAAAUCACCGAAGGUAGAGGAAUAAACAAUGAUAAAUGUACUCUUACAAGUAACCAUUUAUUAAAAAAAUUCAAAAAAAAAAAAUCCAUAGUUAUAAAAGGAAUAGGACUAAUCAGUAAUAGACAAAAUCGUUCAAAGAAAAUCAUGAUAUGUAGACGUGAACCUAAUUACAAGACUUUCAAUUUAAAAUAUUUUAAUGAAGAAGUUCUUGUGUAGAUACAAUCUACAAAAGAUAUUUAUACUAAAACAAUAAAUGACAUACACACCAUUAUUGUUACUAAUGUAAAUUACAGUAACUUUUAACCACAUAUUUAUGCAACAAUUUAAUUAACGGAAAAUGAUGAUAAAUGCCAUAUAUUUAUGAAAAAUGUUAUAUGAAUACCCAAUGUCCUAUUUGAUCCCGGAUGGAGGAAAAAACAUAUAAGUAUGAUAAAAUUAUGAUGUAAUAAGAAGAAAUGGAUAAAAAUAGAGUGUUUUUUUUAUCAAAUAGAAAGAAAUAAUGAUUUGUGCAUAUCAUUACUCUAUAUUUAUUGACAUAUUCAGUACAACAAUAAUUUUUGCAAGUCUUUCAACUUUCAUCAAGCUCUUGCAUUCACAAGCGUGUUGACAUUUUCCCUUACCCAGUGGUUCCAAAUAUGGGGGUCAAUAUCACUACAACGAAAAGUGACAUUUAGUCAUGCAAUUAAUUACAAGAUGUGAGUCCAAGAAAAGAGAAUUACAAUAUGUGAGAAUAGUCUUCUGAAUUAUACCUAAUCGUGCGCAUCAUUCUCAAUCCAUACCACGUACGCGUCCUUUGCUCAUCGAAUCUACAUAGAAAAAAAUCAACUUACGUUAGGACAAGCACAAUGAGACUUCCUCAAAAUAACUAAUCAUUUAUGUCUUUUAUGCAUAGUCACAAUCGGAAACAAGAUAUAAUAUUAUAAUAAUCAGUUAGAUUCAUCUUUUAUUAUUUUCAAUUAUGAAAAAUUUGUAUAAAAAUGUAGACUAUCUAUUCUCUCUCUCUCUCUCUUUAUAUAUAUAUAUAUAUAUAUAUAUAUAUAUAUAUAUAUAUAUAUAUAUAUAAAAUUAUUUAUACAGUGUUAGUUUACAAACAAAUUAUUUAAUUUUUUUGUACCACACAAUUAUUUUGUUUAAAAUUAUAAACUAAUCUCACGAUUUAUGUAGCAUACAAGAAACAUGUUUCAUGAGAUUUCAUGUAGCUAUACCUCAACACUUGGAAUCAAAUUAGAUAAAUUUCACAAAAAAUACUUUUUUUAAAGGCAAAAUCAGAUUGUUGUUAAUAAAAACUGAUCAAUAACACAAGAAGCGUCUAAAACCAGGGAUAAAUUUCAGCCAAGGAAUACAAUUCCUAUCGGAUUAUUAUAUAUACAAUUCAACACAGGCGGCACAAAAGUCCCUUGGUUACCUAUAAAUUUAGGGUAUAUGUUUGGAUAAAUUUUUCAUAAAUAUUUUUAGCAAAAGAAAAAAGAAAAUGAAAAAAUUUAUUCAUAAACUAAAAUUAGUCAAUACAUGGAUUAAUUUAAUUUGUAGAAAUUUUUUCAUAUAAUUUUCUAUAAAAAAAACUUAUGUAUACAAAUUAAUUUUAACUUGAAGUUCAUUUUUUUCUCUAGAAGUAUUUCUGGAUAUGUUUAUUUAAGUAGACCCUCAAAAGAAAAUAAAAUAGAUCAAAUGCAUAAGUUAUUCAAUUUUUCAACUUUUAUAUUAUCAUUCUCGUCUAACCUUUUCGUAAACAUCAUAAAAUUUAUAGGUCUAGAAAAUUUUAGUACCAACAAAUAGAUCAUACAUUAAGAAAUACUAAAUACCAGCAAUAAUGAAUGAGAAAAAUAAAUUUAUAAAUGUAAGAUGUUCUUCAAUGUAGGAGAAGUCACAAAAACGUUGAGAAAGAUAAUCAUAGAAGAAAAAAAAGGUUAAGUAGCCAUCAAAUUUAGGAACCGAAUUGAAAUUAUUAUUAUUAUUAUCAGUGACUCAUUUAACCAUUAGUCACAUAGAUAAAUCUGUGACCGAACUGAUUUUUUUUUUUUUUUACUUAAAUAACUUUUUAGUCUAUAUAAAACAGGAGGCUACUGAUAUUAUUACUAUUUCUAAAAAAAUGGGGGCGAUGCGUUAAAAUGAUUAGGAACAAAAUCCAUGAAAAAGUGAUAAGUUAGGAUAAAAAAGUGUAAUCAAUCCUUUUAUAUUUUUAAACCAGCAAAUGAAUCGAGAAGAAAAACUAGAGAAAAAUUACUUUGGAAAAAUCUAUGCAGCUUUUUUAAAGAAAUAUUCAAUUUUUCGUGCAGAUUUAAAUAUGCAAGAAAAUUUACAAAAUGUAAAAAAUUUCUAGAAAUUUUUUUGUCAAUAAUCAAUAAUAAAACAUACAGUACACGUCUGUAGCAAAAUUAAUUUACAGGAAACUCGAGCUAAAAAUUUUGCAAAAAAAAAAAAACCAUGAAUCCCUAGUAGUGUAAUUUGUAUAAUUAGUAAUUUGAAAAAUACAUUACUUUAAUGUGAGAUAGAAGAAGAAAAUUCUGUAAAUGAUUAGGUAAGCUUAAUAAGGAUAUUGUCCGAGCAAGUUCAUUAGUUCUUACCGUGUAAAACUUGUCUUAUAGUUUGUGAUUGGUGUGUGAAGCAUUUCCAACGAGGUCAUAAUUAAACUAUUAAGCAGUUGUUAGAUGGUCAAUUCAUAGAUCCCUACGAUUGCACAUUAUUUCCAAUAUCUACAUUCAUUGUAAUCCCUUGGUAGAUCCUAAUUUCAUUCAUACAUUAAAAAGCCAAUAGGAAAUCGUCAUUUUAAGUUCAUAUAUAUAUAUAUAUAUAUAUAUAUAUAUAUAUGUGUGUGUGUGUGUGUGUGUUAAGAAACAGUCAGAUUAUGGACUAAAUAAAUAUUGUAUAUAUAAUUUUUCCGAUAAUAAUUAUUAAAAAAAAGUCUAGGCUUCAUAAUAAAACAAACACGGAGCCCAUUUUUUACGAGUAUGGAGGGAAAUUGUAUAGUAUAUAUGCUUUUAUCUUAACUCGUGACUUGUAAACUUAAUUUAUCUAAAAACAAAUUUGAUAAUAAUUAAAUUAUUAUUGCAAAAGAACAAUUGAAAAAUGUUUAUGUAACUGAUUUUUGAAUAAAAACAUUAAUUUAUUUUUUGGGAGUUUUCCUUUAAUAUUUUUUUUUUUUGAAAAAAUAUAACAUGCUUUGUUUGCAGAAAUUAUGAACUAACGACGAAGCCUCGAACAGCUAUGCUACGAAUAUUUAGCACCGGACCCAUCCUUCUUUAGUUCUGAUUAACUAUCACUCUUACUUUUUUGACAAAAUAACUUUCACUUGAUGGAAUACAUUUGAGCUUAUUAGUCUUGCAGAAUAUUCUUUCAGGCUGAUCAAUAUUAAAUCAAGGAAAAAAUUAUUUUUACUCUCUACUUUUGGCCAGAUGUGAUUAAGGUCGCUACUUGUUCCUCAAACUUUUGAAAACAUGCAAAUUUAGUAUUUUCUGAUUAAAGAAUUUAUCAUGUUAAAGUUAUAAGGAAUUAAAUUAUGUGUUUUGAAAAUUUUAUUGAAAAUCAAAUAAAUAAAUUAAUAUGAAGCGUAUAAAUACCUUGGCAAUGUUUGACUGAAAGUAUAACAACUAAAAAUACAUUUUCUUUAAAUUAAUAUAUUUUUGCAGUAUACAGAUUUUAUAUAAGUGGUUAAAUUGUUAACGAUUAUAUAUAUAUAUAUAUAUAUAUAUAUAUAUAUAUAUAUAUAUAUAUAUAUAUAUAUAUAUAAUUAACGGAGAGAAUUAAUUUACAAGAAUUAAGAUAGAAAAAGGUAAAAAAAAAAAAAAGAGUGAGAAACUAAAAAGGUAAAAUGAUUGAAUCCAAGGUUUAUAUAUGGCUGUUUUUUUUUUGCUAAAGGGAAUUUUUGUAUAGUGUAUACAAGCAAACAAGAAUUCUAGAAACAUCUUUUAUCAUGCAAUUGGCGAAAUAAUUAACUUCCCCGUUGAACAAUAUUAUCCUGCUUAAGGGGUUAGCAACCAACUCAAAGUGAAAAUAAAGUUAGCAAUUUCAUGUAAAAUACAUCAGUGCGUAGUAUAAAACAAAUCUAUUUAAAUUUGGAUUCCCUCGUUUACUUUACUUUAAUAAUUUACAUAUUGAAAAUCAUUAUUUAAAGUUCAGUGCAGAUUAUGAAAAUAAAGUAAUAAAAUUAAAUUAAAUUUAAAUAUUAAUAUCUUAAUUAUGUUAUUUAACUUUUUUUUCCGUAGAAAUUAAACAGGAUGAAAAAGAUUUAUAAUACUUAAACCUCUUUGAGCUAGACCCUUUUAUGUUAUUUUACUUUGUAAUCCCAUUUUCAAUAUGUAUAACAAAUGCGAUGCAUAAAGGCCACGAGCGAGAGUAAUAUAUAGAUGAAAAAGUACCAACAAAUAUGCACAGGUGUAUGUAGUAUAAAGUGAGGGGCAUAAAGUGUUGUAUAAAACAAUAUACAUGUGAAAAGGGCAGACCAUAGGUUUCAUGUCAUCCACAGAAACACGAGCAGAGAUUAGAACAAAUAGAAAAAUAAAGAGGCAUGGGAAUAAAAGCUGUUGAUGGUCCAUGGAUUGGGCAAAGAGGGAGGUAGAUAUGAUUUUUUAAGAAGAAAAAGCGAUUUAGAAGAAGUGAAGUUGGUAGUAAGUGUUUUAUUUUUGUUUUGUUUAAAUUCUCAACAGAGAGGAUAUAAGGAAAUGAAAGAUGCAUGAUUGAUAGUAUUUGGUGAUUUGGUAGGUCACUCCUUUUUUGAACUUAUUUUUAGUAUGAUAUAUUGGAUGGAAUGUGAGAUGAGAGAAAAUAUUAGAUAGUUCAGAAUUAUUAUAAUUUUCUUAAUUUAUAUAUGACACAUAAUUAAUUGAUAAUUAAGUAUAUAUUGUUAAUUGUUUUCAUAAAUAAAAAAUAGAAUUUAAUGACGAUAUAUUUUAUUAUUUGUAUGAUUUUAAGUUAAUUAAAUUAAAAUUUAAUAAAUUUAUUAUCCAUAAUAAAUUAUUAAUUAUGAUUAAAUAAUAAUAUAAAAUUAAUUUACACCAUUAAUAUAUAUAGUCUUUUAUCUCAAAAACUUAAAUAUGUAUUAUAUAGAGAUUAAUCGGGAUAAUGAAUAUUAUGAUUUUAUAUUAGUAUUAUUUUUUUUUAUAAGAAAUAAGUUUCAGUUUUGAUUUUUUUUAUAAAAAACAAAUUUAUGGUAUUUUAUAAGAAAACUUAUUUCUUAACAAAAAAAAAAAAAACAGAAAUCAGUGUGAUGGGAUACACUGGCACAAAAAGUGCAUAACUGAAAUGAGAAAUAAGUAAGAUAUGGGGCGGUGCAGUUUGGUCUCCCAAAACGAAUAGGACGGUAGACCCAAUCACGCAUGGAUUCCAUUGGUGGAUGUAGUGGAAUUUUGGGCCCCAUAUGUGACUCACCAAAAUCCUAAUGCUUCCAAAAGGUUUGAUAAAUAAGGGCCUUAGAACAAAGGUAUACAAUACUCUCUCUCUCUCUCCCAACAUGCUUUUCAUCAUGUUUCAAAUGAAUCAAUCUUCAAAUGAGUGCUUCUUCACAAGUCAAAUUUUUUGUGCUUUAAGGUGUUAAAUUAAGAUUUAUAUUCAUUCAUUUCGUCCAAAUGUUUAUGUCAUUAACCGUUGAUUCAAUUAUUCCUUUCGCCUUUGGGAUAUCCUUACAGCUAAUCAGCUACAAUUAUGGGAUAAUAUGCCAAACCAAAGUGAGAAUUAAGUAAAACUUUCCUUAGGGUGGCAAUUUCAAUAUCUAACCUCUUCAUAUUCCAAGUAAAAGUUUCAUGGUAUUAUAAAUAUUAAUUGUAUUUCUACCACGAUGGACCGAUGUUUACUAUAUAUUGUUGAGAUAAAUCUUUAAUGAGAUCAACUCAACACCAUGCAUGACAUCAUGAGGUCAAUAGUUUCAUAAUAGUUCUCUCUUCUUCUUUUUAUCAGCAAACAAAAGGAACUAUUAUUUCACCACAAUAGUCUCUUAUUCUUAAAAACCACCGUAAUAAGAAGGACAAACAGUUACACGCGUGAUCCAGUACUGUUAAAGCAUCUCACACUAUAAAUGACUUCACCCUUGUAAUAACAUUCCCUUGUUUGCAUCUAUCAUACAUAUUAUUAUGUUGUCAUUCACUAAUUUGAGAGUUGAAGUGCUUUUUAUAAUACUCACCCCAUCUCUCAAAGGAGUCUUGAAACUUGAGGAAAAAGAGGAUUAUCAACCCUAUUGGAGUCUAUAAACUAACCACACAGAAUUUAGUUAAUAUUUGUAUAUAAGUUCAUCUCAUAAGUAUCAAUGUUAAUUUAAGUAGUGAAAUUAAAUUAUGGGUAAAAAGUUUUGAAUUCAACUUUCGUUAAUAUUUUUAUUAAUUAGAUUGCCAUCUGUUAGUUACUCGUUAUAAGCUCUAAUUAUGGUUCGAGACAAUGUCCUAAUUUUAGCAUUGAAUAACAUCUCGCCCUUAUACUUUAAUAUUUACUAGCUAAUCGAGGGAUUAAGUUUAAAAGAAUAAUUAGUAUAUAAGAUGAUUUUAAUUUGAUUAAAAAAAGAUGAUUUUCAUUAAAACAUGCCAGACGUGUCAUGUUCUAAAUUAUUUUAAUCGAACAUUUUCGUCAUUUAUUAUAUUUUAUUGACAAACAAGUAUUUUUUUUAUAAAAUUAAAAGCUCAAAUUAGUAUUUAUAAAAAUUUAUUCCUUAAAUUAGUUUUUAUAGAGAUUAUUAAACAGUCAAAUAAUGCUUUACUCAAAGGAAAAUGAAAUUCGCUAAAAAGAACUAGAAUAUAUGUAUCUGGUGCAUUUCUUUUCUUCACUUUCAUGCAUGACCCUUUUUUUGUUUUCUUUCAAUCUCUAUCUCUGUUUAGAUUUGGUUAGUGGAUGUUAAUUAAUUUACACAUGGCAUAUGAAUUCCCUAAUGCUUUGGUCAUUCAUACAUAUGCUAGCUAGCUUGAAAACCUAUUUGCUAGAAUGACUUCUACAACCUAAUAAUAGUGACUUCAGCAACGCACUAGCUUGACGCAAUAAUACUAGCCCUAUAUAAUUAAUUUAGAAUAAUAGAUUGACAUCCUGGUACCUUCCUUUUUCUAACUAAUUGUGGAACAUUAUGAUUAUGCUGUUUUCUCAAAAUUGGCAUGUUCUGAAAUGGUGAGAUGACUGUGUUUCGAAUAAAAUUAUUCUUUGAAAAAUGACUUGUAAAAAAACGAAAGAAAGAAUUAGUGUCACAUUACACUGAAAUCCCUCGGUCCACACCCCUUACCAAAUGGUGGAAUAAUUUCUGGUUCAGUCUUCGGAUAUGACUGCUUGCCAACGCAACAGAAACUUAAAAGAGAUACCAACAAUUUAGAGAAGGCACUGCUUUUAUGAAACCGACCAGCUGAAGAAAUAAAAAGAGAGAAUAUCAUUAUUUUUCAUCACCAACUUUCAAUUAUAUAUAUAUAUAUACAUAUAUAUAUAUAUAUAUAUAUAUAUAUAUAUAUAUAUAUAUGAUACAUCCUAUAACUUUAAGUAAUGAUGGGUAUUCAGAAGCCUAUUAGGUAUUCUAUUUUUUUAUGGAUGUGUCACGACGUAUCCUUUCUUAAUUUUCAUACAAACCUUAUUUUUUCAUAUGUACUAUUGCAAUGCAGCAACAUUACAAUAUGAGAACCACAUAUUAUGUUUUGGAGAAAAAGGUGUGAUGUAGACACAAACACUUUGUCCCAGACAUUUAUACUUGGCUUUGCAUUUUGGUCUUUCAUAUGAUCGAUUAUAGGUGCUAUUUAAGCUUGCUUUCAAUGAAUUUUCAAAUAUUCUAGCAUUCUGAAUGAGUUGGCAGAAGCAGUGUCUUUCCGGACCUCUUGGUUGUUUUCUAGUCAAAUAGGGUACCGAAGCAUUGAUUUAAGUAAUUUUAACUACUCUAUUUUACUAGUUUAUGUUAUGUUCCAUUUCAAAUGAAAUUCUACGGGGCGUGGUGGAAUAGUAAUUUAUUGAAUAUAACAUUAGGUAGAGUGCUAUUAAAAAUAACCAAACCCCCAAACACUCUCGAGUUUNNNNNNNNNNNNNNNNNNNNNNNNNNNNNNNNNNNNNNNNNNNNNNNNNNNNNNNNNNNNNNNNNNNNNNNNNNNNNNNNNNNNNNNNNNNNNNNNNNNNNNNNNNNNNNNNNNNNNNNNNNNNNNNNNNNNNNNNNNNNNNNNNNNNNNNNNNNNNNNNNNNNNNNNNNNNNNNNNNNNNNNNNNNNNNNNNNNNNNNNNNNNNNNNNNNNNNNNNNNNNNNNNNNNNNNNNNNNNNNNNNNNNNNNNNNNNNNNNNNNNNNNNNNNNNNNNNNNNNNNNNNNNNNNNNNNNNNNNNNNNNNNNNNNNNNNNNNNNNNNNNNNNNNNNNNNNNNNNNNNNNNNNNNNNNNNNNNNNNNNNNNNNNNNNNNNNNNNNNNNNNNNNNNNNNNNNNNNNNNNNNNNNNNNNNNNNNNNNNNNNNNNNNNNNNNNNNNNNNNNNNNNNNNNNNNNNNNNNNNNNNNNNNNNNNNNNNNNNNNNNNNNNNNNNNNNNNNNNNNNNNNNNNNNNNNNNNNNNNNNNNNNNNNNNNNNNNNNNNNNNNNNNNNNNNNNNNNNNNNNNNNNNNNNNNNNNNNNNNNNNNNNNNNNNNNNNNNNNNNNNNNNNNNNNNNNNNNNNNNNNNNNNNNNNNNNNNNNNNNNNNNNNNNNNNNNNNNNNNNNNNNNNNNNNNNNNNNNNNNNNNNNNNNNNNNNNNNNNNNNNNNNNNNNNNNNNNNNNNNNNNNNNNNNNNNNNNNNNNNNNNNNNNNNNNNNNNNNNNNNNNNNNNNNNNNNNNNNNNNNNNNNNNNNNNNNNNNNNNNNNNNNNNNNNNNNNNNNUAUCGAUUAUGACAUAUAAAUAGAUACAUAUUACAUAUAUAUAUAUAUAUAUAUAUAUAUAUAUAUAUAUAUAUAUAUAUAUAUAUAGAUUAAAUUAUAUUGAUGUAACUUUGAUAAUUAUUACAUUAUUUUAUAAGUUUCAAUUGAAUAAUAUUUUCUUAAAACUCAUCGUUGGAUUGAAAGUUUCUUUCACAUAGAUCAUAUGUAUAAAUUUUCAUAUUAAUUCAAAAUCAUUUGUUACCUUAUUCAUAUAGAUUAAAAUCAACAUAAUAUAAACAUUUCAAAAUAUAUUAAAAUAUGAAUUAUUUAAUUACAUUUUUGUUGUUGUUUAAUUAUGACAAAAUUUGACAUAAACGAUAUUGAUAAUAUAUAGAUAUAUUCAACAGUUGAAUCAAUAAAAAUCAUAUUUUAUAUCAAGUUAUAAAAAUUAUGUAAUAUGUUAUAGUUAUAGCGGUGUAAUUUAAUCUCUCUUCUCUCUAUUUAUAAGAAUUUUAUAUUUUAAUUAUAUUUCUUUUUUGUUACUAAAUACAAUGUUUUUAUUUUUUCAAAACAGUGAAUAAAAGAAAAUAUAAUUUCUCUUUACAAGCAAUUUUAUUUUAGAAGGUAAUGAAUAUUUUUCCUUUUGCUUUAUUAUUAUUUUCUUUGCUCCCAAAUAAGACAUGUUCUUUUAAGAAAUAUAUAAAGUGCUUUAAGAACCACCGAUUGUCCUAUAUUAUAAUAGUCAUUGGAUAUGAUUAUGUAAAAUUUAAAAAGUAUUAAAAUAAUUUGCAUAUUCAUCAUAGUCAAUAAAAACCAAUCGAUGGUCUAAAAUUUAGGUGGAUUAUCCUUUAAAAAUCCAUCUUUUCAAUAGCUUGGUAAAAUGAAGCAACUGAAAGUACCUACUUAAGUGGACCCAAUAAUAAUGAUAAAAGAAAGUACCAAACUAAUGAAAUAAUGUAACGAACCUAGUACAAAGUUCCAGUGUCUUUGUUCAUUUUUGUUCCCAUAGGAAAGUGGGGUCUUCUGUUGGUUAUAACUCAAAGGGUAGGGACCUGAAAGCCCAAAUGAAAAAAAAACCCGUGUAAUAUUAUUAUAAAUUUUUCUACACUAUCAACCAUAGAUGUAAAACUUGGUUCAUUCUGGUUCAAUUGGAGUCUAGUGGUAUAACUAGAUUGAUUUUAUUAUUAGAUUGUUUAUGUAUGUGAUUCGGGAUGAUCCGAUCAAACUUAGUCAAUUUUAUGAAAAUUCAACGACCUGACCGAUCUUUAAAACACGAGUUCGAUUGUGUACAUUAAAAAAAAUUGUCACGUUUGAGAACAACGUCGUUUUGAAUCAACCCUAAAAUCUUAGUCACUUCUCUUCUUCACGCUCAUCUGCUUAAGACUCUCGACCCUUCUCUUCAUCUAAAUGCUUGUCUCGACCACCACCGCACUACAAGCCGUCGCCGUCGCCGUCGCCGCACUACAAGGGAACUCGUCGUGCCAACCUCGUCGCCAGUAAUGCGAAUGAAGAGGUCAACGACCUAGGAGGGGUCAAACUUUGACGACAUUGUGAAGCGGUGAUGAUCGAAGAGGAAGAGGAGUGGUUUUGAAGCGAGAAACAGAGAAAAUGAGGCGCAACAUGAAGAGAGGGUUAUAUAUAUAUAUAUGGAGGAUUAGGAUUUUUGGUUAUUUGAAAGCUUCUAUUGGGCCUAAUCCGCCCGGAUUCACUUAUUAAGAUGUUGCUUCUUGUACUCCUUUUAUUGCUACCCGCACUUUUCAUUUUGCAUUUCAUAAUGGUCUUUUCCAUUAUAUAUUGGGAAGUGCAGAAAACAAUAAUGGGGGUGCAGAAAGUUUAUCCACACUUUUUUGUUUAUUGGAAAACUGGACUUCUUGGCUCAUUGUGUUUAUUGGAAAUUGGACUUUGUUUUAAUUUAGGUAGUUGCUAUUUACACUCUUUUAUUACUAAUACACUUCACUUGUGUUAUCAACUUUAAUACUUUAAUUAUUAUUUUAAAUUUUGGAAUAUAGAAUUAUGAAUGAAUUUUUCUUAAUCAAAUAAUAUUAGUUAUAUAGUUAUAUAUAAUAGAUACAUAUAUAACUUUAAAUUUUUUAAUAUAAAUCGGGUCAAAUCGAACUAAGUACUAAUCCACCGGUUGAACCACUGACCAACUAUUUUAAUCGGAUCAAUGACUAAAAUGGGUUUCACUAUGCUAUUAACUAGUUAAAAUGAUCUUAAAUGAAAACUUUAAAGUAACUAUUACAAAACUUAAUAAUCUUAUCAUAUUUGUGACAAUCUAUUCUAUUUACUACUAGAUAAGGGAGUAAUAAAUAUUAUUAGUGUGUUUCAAUUAAAUUAAAAAUCAAACAUCCUGUAACUGAGCAUGAUUUUUUUAAUAAUAUUAAUCUGUGAAUAAGUGAAAAAAUUUAUUUCCUUUUAAGUGAGUUUUUUUUUUGUAAUAUUUGUCUAAAAUUAUUAAUUUUCUUAUGAUAAUUUACUGUAAAUAUAUUAUUUUUAAGAAAUUUACAUAAAAUUAAAUAUACUUCAUAACUUUGUCAAAUGGGCAUUUAGGUAAGAAUAUAAGAAUUACCUCUAACUUAAAACGCCAUUCAAAAUGAAUUUUGUUUCCCAUUCAUUAAAAAAACUCUGGUAAAUAGCUCUUCCAAACCAUUCAAAAUAAAUUUUUCAAGAUGGAUUGCUUUUGACUGUACAGCAAAGUGGAGCCUCAUCAAUGCCAUCCGUAAUCUUCUUCGAAGGGAUUGGACUUGGAGGACUAGAAUCAUCCCAUUGAAACAUCAAUUUUAAGACUCAAACUAUUAAAAUUAUAGAUAAAAUUCUUACGAUCCUUGUUAGAUAUUCUAGAAAUAUUUUUCCAGAAUAUUUAAUAAAAAUAAUUCUCGAAAUGAUGCCUCAAUUGGUAAAAAGUGAUCAAAUAGGAGAAAAAUGAAACUAAAUAUUAUGUUGUUUUGGGCCAUCUCAACUCAAAGCACUACAUCAAGUCAAAUUGUAAAAGUGUUGACCAGGGUCAACUUCCCAUGUAGGUGCAAGAUUUUUAAAAUACAUUUAUGAACAAUGAAUUCUACAUCGGUCCAAAGUAAAAUUACUUGAUCUCUACAUGCCAAAGAGCAAAACCAACAUCAAGACACCUCUAUUUACUUGAAGUACACUUCAUAAAUUCAAUCCAAAUUUCAAACAAAGUCAAGCAUCCUACCUUGAAUACAUCAUUUAUCAAAUGCUCUAAAAUUGAUGUCUCAGUUUUCAUAAAUCACUGCAUCAUCCAUCAAUUCUAGUUAAAAUUAAGAAAACUUAAUAGGCCAAUUAAACCGAUUAAAUCAAGAACCAAUCCAUGUCAGUUUAACUUAACAGUUUAAAAGGAACCUAACAAAGUUAAGUCAAACACUAUAAUCCCAAAUGCAAUUUUGGUAUUCAAACAAUGAAAAUUGAAUCUAAUGCAAAUAAUAAACCAAACUUGACUUCUGAGAAAAACGAGAUCAACAUAAAGAAAUGAAAACAAAAGUUAAUCACUUUUUUAAUGCUAUAACAUGGUUAUGUAUCUACUUUGAAGGCAGAAUUUGUCGUUUGCCUGAAUAUUAAAAUCUGAACUCCUUUACAGUGGUAAAGCAUGGUUUGAAGCAUAACUAUUUGAAGCUCCACCAUGCAUUCCUGAAAAGGAUGUAUUGUAGCUCGGAACAAAUGUUGAAAGUUUUCAUGUUGAACUACUUUAUAAUUGCAUGGUCAUGGUCUCAAAGAAUGUUACCAAUAAAUAUACAAGGUAUACAUAUGGAAACAUUUUCUGCACAAGCUAACCUCUAAUCAGACAUGGGACUACUACAGCUUAUGUUACUGUCAGGGCUUUGAGAACACAUGUAUUCUGCAACUUUUCUGGGGACGGUAGGCAUCACUAUGGUUCCACCAUUAUAACCAUCCUCCAGCAACUUCCCUAUUUUAGAUCGCCACUCUGAAGAAUUGUCCUCAUUUUUUGCUGUCAUGCACAACUCUGUCACAGUAGUUAAGCAUAGUUGCCAGGCCAGUAUUUGGUGUCCAACCAUAUUCCAUUAGCACCUUGGCUUCACCUUACCUCAAAUCUUCUCCAACCUUGGCAUCAAGCAUAGUUCCGCCACUAGAGGGUGCGUGUGAUGUGAUUAUGGGAACAAAACAACUCUUUCACGUUUCUCUUUUUUUAAUUAUUGGCAUUUUUUUAUUAAUACAACUUUGCUGCUUUCUUUUUUUUUGGGGGGAGGGGAUGUUCUGGUAUUUCUAUUUGGCUUCUUUUUGUAUGCCAUCUAUUAUGAGAAACACUUAAUUUUGUGAAGCAUUGAAGUUUUUCCUCUUUUAAUUGCUGAACUUUGAAAAUUAUACUCUUAAGUUGCUGGAUUCUCCCACAUUUCAAGAUAAGUAAAGAGGACUCUAGGAGAGUUGCGUGAGGGUUCUGUUACUAAUGGAGCAUAUAGGAUGAUAGUGAUCUUGAUGAAUGUUUCUGGUUGUGCAUGGUUGAGCAGUAAUAAACUUUACUCUAUAUGCAAAUAUGAACUGUAUAAGUGGUUUAAGAUGUUAGCAAGAAAGAAUUGAAAAGGGUAUACUCUUAUUGCUGAAGUAUAUCUGGCAAUCCAUGAAUUCAAAUUUUUCUAUUAAAAAUUUAGAACUUUUCAACAAAUUUAGGAUAUAUCUGAUAAGUGUGUUUUGUGUGUGUUGGAGCGAGGUUAUGCAACUGCUAAUGCCACUUGAGAAAUGUAUAAACUCACUUGAGAAAUGAAAGGAACAUAUUUUAACCAUAUAAUUAUUAAACUAAGUAAAUAAAAACAAUUUUAAUUAUCUGGCGUGGAAGUUCAUUGUUUAUUGCUUAUUGUAUAGUAUAGUGGUAAUUGCUUGUUUGAUUGUAUCUGUUGAUAACUGCAGUUGGAAAGAGGUUCCAAAUAGUGAUGAUUAUGUAUUAUUUUAAAAAGCUGCGAUCGAGUUUGGUAAUAAUCCAUUAUAUAUGGAUAUCAAUCAGUAGCAAAAUAAAAUUUUGGAGGAAUGAAUAAUAGAUGUACUUCUAAUGAUUGAAAUUAGGAGUGUAGUUAGUUUUAUUUUGAAGGAAUGAAUAAUACAUUUAAUGUUUGGGUUACAUACAUUUAAGACUUUUUGAAUCUUGUCUGGAAUAUUUAAAAUUUGUUUUCAAUAUUUAAAACUUAUGUUAAUUGUUUGUUAUUGAUAAUUAUAUUUUUGAUGUUGUGACCGGUAUCAUAAUUAUUACUUUGAUUUAUAUUAUGAUUAUUGUUUAUAUAUAAAUUUUUAAUAGGCAGAGGAUAAAUUUUUAACCCCGUCAUUUUUUAAGGGUGGGAGUAGGAGUUGUUAUGAGAUUCAAGGCAGAGUAAGCAAAAAUCGCCCCUAACCAUCUCAUUGUCAACCCUACUUGCUCCCUUCCCCCCACUAAUGUCUCUUUUAGAUCAAAUUGAUCAUUUUAUUAAUUUUUAACACCAACAAUAUCAAUAUUAAUUACGCAAAUUAAUAAAAGUAACAAUUUGAUUCAACAAAGAUAAAUAUUUAUUAGUAAUUUUUUAAUUAAUACUUUAUUAUAUAUAACUAUGAUUUUCAUAUGAUGCACAAAUUUAUCAUUAUAACUAUGUAAAAGAAUCUUUAUAAUUUAUAUAUUAUUAUAUUGUUAUAAAACUUUCAUCUUUGUUUAAUUAAUAUUUAGCCUUGUUAGCAAUUCUACUCAGUUAAAUAAUUAUAUCUUUAAUAUAAAUAUUUUUAUCCUAAUUGAUAUCCCCUAAAUACUCAAUUAAUAAUUGACUUUAAUUUUUUCAAAUAAGACCCCUAAUUUCAGGAUUGUAAAUUUUUUUCUUCAUUUGCGUGACUCAAAAUUGCACAAAUGACAACAACCAUCAUAUCAUAGAAUUAUUUUUGUUAUUGCAAUGUAAGGGAAUUGAGUUUGGUCCUUAAAAAUUAAUAUACGUAAAUUUGGGUAUCAUAAUUAUUUUGAUUGAAAUUAAUUAAUAUUCUAGUUGAAUAUUUAAAUAAUCUGAGGAAUUUUUUUCUUUAAGUUUAUAGUAUCAAAUUAUAUCAUUUAAUUAAUUAAUUAAUUAAUUAAUUGAUAUUAAAUUUGAAUUCAAAAUAUAUUUUACAUAACAUAUAUUGUCCCAUGCAAUACAUGUUUUUACAUAUUUUUAAAUACUUGUAGAUUUUUUUUUAUUACUUGGAGAUUUUUUCAUAUUUUAUAUAUUAUAAAUUAUAAAUAUUUAAUAUAACUUUUUUACCAUAAUUACCGCAAGUAUUAAAAAAAAUUAUUACUAUAAUAUUAAAUACAAUUAUUUAAUUUUUAUUUUCAGAAUAAUCAAAUAACAAAAACUUUAAGCAAUUAAUCACUAUUAUUUUCUAAUUUAUUUUAAUUAAACUAAUUAAUUAUUUAUAAUUACCUUAAUUGUGUAAAAGUGAAAACAUCAUAUUAGUUGCGGACAAACAGAUUUCAUUUUUAAUUAAAAUAUCUUAUGUUUUGUUAAUUAAGUUGUUGCUAAAUAAGAUUUUGUAUUGAUAAUCUAAUCAAAGACUUUUUGUUCUUAAAUUAUUUAUUUAUUUUUGAAUAUUUUUCUUUUUACUCAUAUUUUAGAUAGGAAAAUGUUAUCUUUAAGAGAAUUUUAAUGUUUUUAGUUUUUCUCCAACUUUUAGCCCAAUUAAAAGCAAUCUACACAACUGAUUAGAAAAUAUUAAAAUGAGAAACUGAUAAAAAAAAAAAGUGUUUGUAAUGUGUGUGUUUCUAAUAUUUAAAGAAGACAUUAUAGACUUAAUUCAAAGUUAUUCUCCCAAUAGUUAUUAUGAAUUGAGAUCAUAUAAUAUAUAGUAUCCAAAUCAUAGACCAUCAAUCAAACCAAAAACUAUGAAACUCAUUACACAUUAAAGCAUGGGUUCUCGUAUAGUCUUUACAUUUUAUUUUUUAUUUUUUGUUAUCUUUUUGAGGGUGUUGGAGUGUUCCUCCCUUUUCGUAAUUGCUUCUAGUCUUUUCUAAAAACACCACAAACAUUACAAACUAUACAACCUAAUUUGGUGUAGAUAAUGAUAUCAUGUUUCACACAAAUAAUAUGUACACAUUUCCACUACAAUUUAUAGAUUUUUGAUAGACUUGUGUUUGCGUGGAUGAUAAAUUAUUUUAACGCAUUUAUUCUUACUCAUCAAAUACCUAUAUUAUAUUUAUAACUGGUGAUAUUACUAGGUCUUUAGUUAUGUUAAACACGGUCUUUUAUAUAUAUUUUUGGUAUUCUAAUACUGGGAUUUUACAUUAAUAUCUGAUGCUAUUACUAGGAUUUUAAUUUUGUAUCAGUAUUAUAUUUAGUUGACAAAAUAGUAAACAUGAAUGGUAUUCUAAUACUAACACUACAAUGUAAAUAAAAUUAAAAUAAAAAAUAUUAAUUAAAAUAUAAGAGUUGAUUGAAAUAUAUCAUAUGAAUAUGGUUAGAAUAAGGUAUUAAUUAAAGUAACCAUACCCAUGUCUAUAUCCACAAAAAAUUAUGACCAGUUAUUAAUUUAUACUUAGACCAAAAAAUAGAUUUUAGUUUACAUCCUUUUUUAAAAAAAUUAUGCUGUUAAUUAAAUAAAGUUAUUUUGGAUAUAAUUUUUAAUAUAAUUAUUGUAAAAAUUAAUAAUUUUAUAGUAUAUAAUAACUCGUGAUUAGAUCACGAUGUAAAAUAUUAUUUAUUAUUUAUUACGAGUAAUUUUCAUAAGUAACUAGCCAACAAAUUUAGGCACAUAGAAUAAAUGGUUAGAUUGGAAAAAGUGUUACUCCCAGGUGCCAACUGGGUGUACUCGUUGUUUUUGACCCAAAAUUCAAUUAUUUCUAAUGUUCUUUGUUUCAGUUGGGUCCCCACAAGCCUAUUAAACCGGGCUAAGUUAUAUUGGGUUUGACCCAAUAAAGCGUGUGAAUGGUUCUGUAUUAAUAAUUGUUGACCCAGCCAUUCAAUUUUUCAACUAUUUACCAUUAUUAGUUUCGCUUACAAGUUAGAGUAAGUUUUUUUUUUUUUUAAAUCUCAAUGAGGUAAACUCAAAUUUUUUUUAAUUCCAUAUGCACCUUACAUCACUAAGACAAUUCUUUAGAUUGGUAAACUCUUAAAUGUGAAGCACAAAACUAUUUUUCCCAAAAUAUUAAGUGCUUGUUUGAAUUAAUUAUAACUAUGCAUUUUAACUUAUACAAUUGCAAUGUAUAAAUAAUUCAUGAUAAAAAAAUAUAAUGUAUAAAUAUUUUAAUGUUUAAAAAAAUUCAAGUAUAAAAUAUGUUAAACUUUAAAAUUUAAAGGAAAUUAUUUAAAAGAUAAGGAUAAUUUUCAAUUAUUAAUUAAUUUUUAUUAUAAUUUAAACUAAAAUAAAAAGAGUCACGUGAAUAGUAUUAUAUAAGAGUAAAUUUAAAAUUUUGUGAUGCUAAGAAAAUAUUUCUUUAAUAAAUAAAAAUGACAAAUUAAUACUACUAUUUGACAAAUUAGUUUUUCUUAUGGGAAUUUGACAAAUUAGUUAAUCACUCACAAACUCAAAUAACAUCAACAAUAAUCUAUUUUUGUUGAGAAAACGUUUAUGUUAAACAAUUUCAGUUUAAAAUAAUAUUUAUAAUAUAUGUAUAAAUAUUUUGGUACACACAUUUUUUAUCGUAUGUUAUCCUUAUAACUGCUCUCAUAAAUAUUUUUUUCUUCCUUUAAUUACACUAUUCAAACAACAUAUACUAAUAGUUACAUUAAUUAUGAAAACUACCACUAUUUAUUAAUUAACUUUCAUUAUUGUUACUCUAAAAAAAAAGACUUUCAUUAUUGUUCCCUUUUCUUUUCUUUUUUUUAAAUUAUAGAGGAGAACUGAAUGCAUUUUCUCUGCUAGUAUAAAAAAAGUAAAGAAACAUUUAAGGAACACCCAGCAUAAUAAAAAUUGGGAUGGAUAAAAAGAGUUACUGAUCAAAAUUUAAAACAUUGUAGCGUAUCCAAUAAAUAAUGGCGUGUUAUGGCGUAUCUAAUAAUAACAGCAUGGACAAUAGCAUUUACAAGGUGGCCCAAUUGUUGGUUGGUACGAAUCCCGUAAGAAGUGUUGGAUUGGACCGUUGAUAGAUGAUAAACAUUAUUAAUUUUAUUUAUGAUUAAUUUUAAUGAGAUUUUUUAUUUAUAGGAAUUAAAAUUAAAAUUUUACUUAAAAAAAUUAAAUUCAGUACUACUCUAUAUUAACUUGUAGGUCCAUUGCUAGUAUUGUUACUGUUACAUGCUAGUGCCUAGUGAGAGAGAAAGUCCUUUUGGUGUCUUCAGAGAUCAGAGAUGCAUGCAACCAUUCCUUGUUUGUUUCCUUCUUUUUAAAAACCACAAAACAUGUGUAUACAGAUUCCAGGUUUAAGGAGUGCAAACAAACAGAGCGUCAGACACAGACACAGCUAUUACUACAACACAACAAAAAACACUUAUACUGAGAAAAUAAAUCACCGUACGUUAACGGCUAGGAGAACAGGUGCAUGUCUUCCUCCUCCACAUGCACAUUAAACACACUAAUCAUUAUAAAGUAGUAUUUGUAUACCAACUUACACUCAUAAUUCAUUCUUAAUUUGCUAUUCCAACUCCUUUUUUUUUAUCAUAACUUGAGAUGAGAGUACACUAAAAAAAAGAAAAGAGGUGAGAAUAUUUAAUUAUAAUUAAUAAAAAGGCAUACCCAACGACUAACGUGCAUAUGUAUGUUUACAUAUUUUUAUUUUUAAUAAGAUGUUGAAUUUGAUAUAUUUGUCAGUUUUUUUUUUUUUUUUUUUACAUAUAUACUAAUGUGUAUGCUAUAAUUUUGGUUUGUUAAUUUAAUUUUUAACUUAUUAAAACCGAAUAUGAGAAAGAUAAAAUGAGAGAAGUGGGUGAUAUCUUUAAAGAAAUAAUUAAAGGAUAAAAUUAUUUAAUAUAAUGUGUACGCAUAAAAAAGUUGUCUUUAUUAUUGAUAUAGAUCAUUAGAUUAAAAUUAGAAUUUUAAAUUAAUUAUUUAACUAUAAAUAUUUAUUAAUAAAUAUGUGAUUUAAAAUCUUAAUUUUAAUUAAAUGACUAAAAAAUUAAUUUUUCUAACAACAAUUAAGAAUAUAUGCUCUCUUUUUCUCCUUUUUUUAGUACACAUUUUUCCUUUUUUUUGUGUGUGUACACCUUUUCCUCUCUCUAUUUAUCCUAGUUUGAGUUAAAUACAUCAAACAUUCGGUGCGAUUAACUCUUUCGUUUAAACGUUUUUAUAUGUAAGGUUUAAAUUUGAAGCCUUAUUAAAUAUUAUUAUUAAUGAACUCAUUAAUAGUAUAGUUUAAACUAUUCAAACUAUACGAGUUUUUGGCAUUGCUUGAUCUAACUGUUAAAGCAAGCUCGAUUCUUUUAAAAAAUAUUCGAGUCUUACAUAACCCGAAGUUUAUUUAAGUACCUCACGUAAUCUUUACAACUACAUUUUCACAUUAUAAAAUGAAGAUACGAAUAACUAAACAAAUAAAACAUUAAAAGGAGAAAAAGGUGCUUCUUAAUCUCAACUCAAGUCUUGUUAAUGUUUCCUGGGUUUUGGGCUAAUUCUUUAGCUUGGGUAUCGUUUGGUAGGGUGAAAAACAUAAAAAGAAAAUAAGAUGCAAUCAAAAUUUUGAAUUAAAAUAUGAAUUUUAUUUUAUUUUAUUACUUUUUUUUCUCUUUAUGCAAACUAUUGGAGAAACUUACCACUUGUCAAUAGUUGUAUAAUAUUUACACAAUGUAAUGAUUUAUUAGCGUGGGAUUGAAUAAACGUUGAUAAAAUUAAUUUUAAAAUAAUAUAAUUUAUAUUUAGAUAUUUUAUUAUAAAAUUAAAUGAAAAAUAAAAUUUAUUAUAAAUUUUUGAAUUCAAUGUAAAAAUAACUCAAAAUUCCUUGACAGAAUAGUUUUGGCAAGCCAAAGACACACUUACCCGUUUAAUUUGUCUGACAAGCUUUCCACGUGUGAUUUCUGUCUUGAUCUUGUAGCCCCCUCUCUCAAACACAACACAGUCAUAUAUUCUCUCCUACAACUUUACCCCACUUUCUCUGCUUUUCAAUUUUACUCCUUCUUCCGGUUUUCAUUUUCAUUUUCUUCACAUUCCUCCUUUCUCUCUCUUUCAUUAUUGAGAGAGAGUUCUUCUCUCCAGACUUCUCAAUCCUAUGGCUCUGCAUUUUCUUCUCCUCCUGCUUUUUGCAGUGUCUUUUGUUGCUGCUGAUGAAGGUUAGUGACUUGACACUUUUACCCCUCUCCCCCCUUUUUGUUUUCUUUGCUAACUCUCCUGUUAUGAGAUCCUGUGUUUUCCACUAUUUUGAGUUAUGCUUGCAUUCUGAAUCUUUCAUUGCCCUUUAUUUUGUUUUCUCUACUUAGUUUGGCAUUGUUUUAGAAUCACUGCAAAACUCACUUUUGUUUAACCUGCAUGGUUCUUCUUGAGCCUUUACUUGUUCAGUUCUCAGUUCUCCUAUGACUCCUUGCUGUUUUCUUGAGGAGUUUUUGGAGUUUGCUUUGUGGGGAAUAGAACUUAACCAUGCUUUGUCAUAUCAAGGUCCAAAUACACUCUUCCCAUUUUCACACCUUUCCUAGCAGUAGCACACCCUUGCUGUGGAUUAGGAACUUAGAAUGUUAUUUGAGAUUUAAUUAGUGUUAAAAUGUUCAGAACCAAGGUUUGAUGGGGUCAUGCAAUAGCUGAGAUAUAAUUGGUUAUUUUGUUAGUCUGUUUCCUAGUAGAGUUUGUGUGUUUUUCCUUUGCAUUUUUAUCCUGUAUGGGAUUGAACUUCUGGCUAAUAAUUAAUAAACAUAUGUUUUUAAAAAUAGUCAGGGUUUUGUUGGUUGUUGAUCUUCUUGGAUGCGGUCCUCCUGUAGGAUUCAGAUUUUUGUAAAUUGAAUAGGACGUUUCUUUUGUCCUUCUAGUAAGUCACGUAUUGUCAUUUUCCCCAACAUUUGGAUGUGUGUAAUACUUUGUAGUAGAGGUUGGGGAAGUUAUUUUUGGAAAAGCUUUCUACUUUUGGGGAGCUAUUCUAUUGUCAUUUUCCCUCAAAACUUGGUUUGUUUGGAACAAACAUAAUGUGCGUAAGAGUCUGCUUGCAUAUGUUUCCCAGUUACAACUGGACUUGGUUAAUUCAGUGAGGACUUAAAUCUAAUUUUUGAUGGAUCUUAAUGUUUGUACCUUGCAGAACCAUUUAUAGGAGUGAAUAUUGGAACAGAUCUCUCUGAUAUGCCACACCCUACUCAAGUAGUAGCUCUACUUAAAGCCCAACAAAUUCGUCAUGUUCGUUUGUAUGAUGCAGACCAAGCUAUGCUCCUUGCACUUGCAAAGACAGGCAUUCAGGUUGUUGUGACUGUCCCAAAUGAAGAGAUCCUGGCAAUUGGUCAAUCGAAUUCCACGGCUGCCAAUUGGGUUUCCCGCAACGUGGUAGCACAUUAUCCAGCCACCAAUAUCACAGCCAUUUGUGUUGGUUCUGAGGUUUUAACUACCCUCCCGAAUGCGGCAAAAGUACUUGUCAGUGCGAUUAAAUACAUCCAUUCAGCCCUUGUGGCAUCCAAUCUUGAUCGCCAAGUUAAAGUUUCAACACCCCUUUCCUCAUCCAUCAUUCUUGAUUCAUUUCCACCUUCUCAGGCUUUCUUUAACCGCUCACUCAAUCCAGUUUUAGUCCCACUACUUGAUUUCUUGCAAUCCACUGGCUCUUAUCUGAUGCUAAACAUAUACCCUUACUAUGACUACAUGCAAUCAAAUGGAGUGAUUCCAUUAGAUUAUGCACUUUUCAAAUCUCUCCCUCCAAACAAAGAAGCUGUUGAUUCCAAUACCCUCCUCCACUACACCAAUGUCUUUGAUGCCAUGGUUGAUGCUGCAUACUUUGCCAUAGCUUUUCUAAAUUACACCAACAUUCCUGUUGUGGUGACUGAGUCAGGGUGGCCCUCAAAAGGUGGCUCCAACGAACCUGAUGCAACGGUGGACAAUGCAAAUACUUACAACAGCAAUUUGAUCAAACAUGUGUUUAACAAAACCGGAACUCCCAAACAUCCUGGAAUUGCUGUUAGUACUUACAUCUAUGAGCUCUACAACGAGGAUAUGAAGCCUGGGCCAUUGUCAGAGAAGAACUGGGGACUGUUUGAUGCAAAUGGAACACCUAUUUACAUUCUACACUUGACAGAGUCAGGGGCAGUCUUAGCAAAUGAUACCAGCAACAAUACUUUCUGCAUUGCAAAGGACGGUGCUGACCCGAAGAUGCUGCAGGCUGCACUAGAUUGGGCAUGUGGACCGGGCAAGGUCGAAUGCUCUCCAUUGCUGCAGGGGCAACCAUGCUAUGAACCGGACAAUGUGAUUGCACAUGCAAAUUAUGCAUUUGACACUUACUAUCAUAAGAUGGGAAAGACUCCUGAUGCAUGUGACUUCAAUGGAGUGGCUACUAUCUCCACCUCAGAUCCAAGUAAAUUAUUGUUCCCUAAUGCUAUGCUGGAUUAGCUUUAGCAUUUUUAUAUUUCUGUCAAUUUCUAUCUGCAAUCACUUCUAGGAUAAUUAACACAUUUUUUGAAUGAUUGUAUAGGUCAUGGUUCUUGUUUAUUUCCUGGAAGGUAAGAUAAGAUAUUUGCUUCUUUGGUUCAUUUUCAUUCUUUUCAUUAUCAUCCUAUGUUUGUUGUGUUGUUAACUUGUUAUUGCUCAAAAGUGAUGUCUUUGUGAAUAUGUGCAGUGUUGGCAAAAAUGGAACCUUAGGUAACUUCACAGCUCCAUCCAUGAAUUCUACAAAUUCAGAUUCCUCAGCCUACAAAUUCAGCUCUGACUUGAGAAUUAGAAGCCUUUUAAUGGUAGCAGGAUUUCUAUUAUGGGGAGUGGUUUUGCUAUAAAGUGGUAUAUGUCAGAUCGUGUUACUUUGAAAAAUUUUGUGGUGGAUGAUAAUGCUACUACUACAUAUUCGUCUUGGUAGCAUUGUGUUGUUCAUAGUGGUCCAUUCAAUUUUGUACAAAAACCAGCCAAGGGUUUGGACCGAAUGAGGCCGCAACUGAAUCAUCAUCAUCAUUAUUAUUCUUUUCAACUAGAAUUGAUUCAAUCUUUAUCAACCAUUGACUAUUUUUUAUUGGGUUAGUUAUAAUCUUGUGCUAUAUAAAUAUAUAUUGCACCCCCUCCCUCCCCCAAAAAAGGAAAAAAGAAGACUAUACUCAUUAUACAAAUCCACAGGGCUAUUAUUACAAAUUUGUCUAUGUAACUUUGUUUGAUUCAACUUGAAAGAGAAUAUAAAUUAGUAAGCCCAUCAUUAACCGAAAAACGUCUGAAAAUGUCAUGGGUUCUUGAGGUUAUAUUCAUUUGUUAACACGGGGCUUGUUUUUCUAUUACUGAAUUAGUCCAAGUGUCUAAUAUAGACAAAUUGCCGUUUCUGGUAUGUAUAUCUAUUGCUAAUUAGUUAGAUCAAUCGUAAUCUGGUAUGUUUCUAUUGUAUAAAUUGCUAGGCCUAUAGGAAUUAGGAAUACUCAGUUUAGAAUUUUAAUUUUAACCUUAUAUUCAAUUUUUUAAAAUGCAAAUGCUUUUUAAUUUCGUGUCUUUUUCGAGUUUUUCUUGUUAAUAAAAGUAUUUUUUUUAUUCAAAACAUCUUAUAUACAAAUAACGUAAAAGAAUAAACUAUAAAGGAAUGUCACGGUUAUAUAUAUAUAUACAUUGUAUCCAGUCUCAAUAGUUAUUAAAGGAAAUAAGAGCAUUUAGUUUUAAUCAUUGAAUUAAUUGCUCAGAUUGCAUUUUUUAUUAUAAAUAUCAUGCAAUUUGAAUUAAAAAAUCGUGUGAAGUUUAUAAAUUAGCAUGCAUUUUGAAGUGUUAAUUUUAAUCAAAUGAUUGUAAUUAAAUUCAUUUAUUUAUCAUAGUCAAAAGUUUUCACCUUAUUGUCACUUUAUAGAUAGAGAUAGAGGUGGAUUAUUGUUUCCCAAAAAUGUUUUAAUAUUUUUGAAAAAUCAUAUGAACUUUGUUUUUUUAUAUGUAAAUAAAAAUGAUCAAAUAGUUCAAGAACCGUAGAUUAAUUUAACCUUUGAAAAAUGAGUUGGAAGCAUUAACUCACUUUUUUGGGGAUAGACGGGCAAAAUGAUAUAAGUUAAUCUGUAUUAAUUUGAAGAAAAAACAGUAAUUGAAAUUUGAAAAACUAACUAAAAUUUUUAAAAAACUAAUUAAUAGCUAAUAGUUGUUAGGUUAAUUUUUUGUUACAAUAUUUUUUUUUUGUCAAAAAGAAGAGUUUAAGCUUGAUCUUGUUUUGAUUAUAGUUGUCGUGUGGAAAAAAAAUCAGUUAAGUAUAUAAAGCAAAUAAAAUUGGUUUGCACUACUCUUUUUUUUUUUAUGAAAAUUUGUUUGCACUACUUUUUGAUUGUUAUCUCCCUCCACAGGACAACUCUAUGCAUAUAAAUUAUUCAGUUUUAUACUUUAUUUUAUUUUUUAAUUAUAUAUACAUUUUAACAUUUUUUUUUAAAAUCCCGACUUAACACACGACAACUCUUGCAUUUUUGGCAUCGUGCAUAGGUGCUCGGUGCUCCCGUUUUUCGGCUUAAACGGCGGUACAGCCGAACAGUUACAGUGGCAAAUUGGUAAUUUCCAAAUCCCAAAACCCUAGCUCAAUCGGGGAUAUAUAAAUCAACUACGAGCCUCAUCCUCCCACAAGUUUCUCUGUUUUUUUUUUUUUUUUUUCAGUUCUGAUCAUUUUUCUUAACCUUAGAUGGAUAUCACUUCUCCAAUUUUUUCUGUUUUCAAUAAGCGAUUUUUUGUUGAAAGUGACGUGCAUCUACUAUGAUUCUCUUUUGCUCUAACAGUGGAAUAGAGAAUACGAAAAGAUGCAAAAUCAACAGGUUCCUCUAUGGACUGGCAUAGUCCCAAUUCUCAAUGGAUUUUUGCUAUUUCUCGUAGGUUCCACAAUUUCUAACCUUUUAACCAAUUUUCGCUUUCCCCCCUUUCUGGGUUUUGGUUUUCAUUCCCCAAAAUUAAGGAAUCCAUUGCAAGCAUCUUACUUUUACUUUUGCUUUUUAAUUUUUUUUAGUCUUCUGGGUUCUGAUUAUUUUUCCAUAAAAUUAACAAAUUCAUUACAAAGUUUGCAUUUUUUUUUGUUUGAAUCGAAUUGGAACCGUUCUAUGUUUUAUUGUUUUUCAGAUCUCACUUCUGGGUUCUUUUAUUUUUCCUUAAAGUUAACGAAUCCAUUACAAAGUUUGCAUUCUUUUUUGUUUGAAUUGAAAUAGAACCAUUUUAUGUUUAUUGUUUUUCUGAUCUCUCAUCUGGGUUCUGAUUAUUUUUCCUUAAAGUUAACGAAUUCAUUACAAGGUUUGCAUUUUUUGUUGUUUGAAUUGAAUUGGAACAGUUUUAUGUUUUUUUUAUUGUUUUUCUGAUCUCUACUCUAUGUAUAUGAAUGCUCGAUGAUUUUUUUGCUUUAACCACACCGAAUAGGGGCUGGACGAGGUUAUGGGUUCCCUUUUUCUUUAAGUGAUCUUUUUGUACUUGGUUUUGCCUCGUGAUUUCAUCUUCUAGCUGAAGAGGUAUUUAGUUACCUCUCCUUUUAGACAUUGGGAGAGGGCAUUUUCCAGCACUUGAAGUCUCGGCUUAAAUUGUAGGGGUCUUUACUCGUCUCAAGUUUUCUCAUGUGGAAAAAACUGGCCUUUCAACUGAGAGCAAUUCAUUACUGUAACUCUUCGAUGUUUUUGAAAAAUUGUUUUUAAUUCGCUUGUCAUUCUUGAUUGUUGAUUUGUCUCAUGGUGAUUGUUAUGGAUCUAUGGAAAGGAAGAUUGAAUUGGAUUGAUUAGGUCUUCUGCAGGUCCCAGAAGACUGCAGGGGGGGUGUUCUA
rnacentral:lncRNA from 1 species